rnacentral:lncRNA from 1 species
CAUUACAUUUUCUACCUUCACAAACCCUUCUCCAUGAUCGCACACCGAAGAUGUCUGUAGCCGCUUCCUGACACAACCACCGGACCCAUUUCUCAUAGACCAUUCCAUUGGGUACUUGGGCUCGAACCCAGGUAAACAGGCACAUCCAAAGGUAUUAUAACUGGCAAGUUCACACGUACUAUAAGCACCACAGUAUCCAUAAUAGUCGCACUGUAACUGAGGGCACUUCGAGUAUUCCCUCCACUUACCAUCACUUUCUCGCCAAGUUAACACCUUUGAAAGUCCUGAAUGAUCCACUAUUAGUCUUACCAGAUAAUAACCAUCAGGAACUGUUAAUUCACUGUAUAUUUCAUCUGGAUCAUUUACAAAAACCAUUUUGUAUAAGCCCAUCUGACUUAUACUAAUUGGCCAAGGGGGAGAUCUACUAAUUGGCUUUGUACCAGUAUAGAGAAAGAAUUGUGGUGAGCCAUUUGGGUUGAUCCUAACUGAAAAGUCUCCAAUCCCAGGGUCAUCAGCUGAUCUCCAUGAUGUUAGGAACCGAUCAGUUCCUAAUUUUCGAUCCAGCCCCAGUUUCAUUCCAGGAAGCAGGAUGUUCGUAGGAUAAUCGAAGCUUUGCCAUACUGUUUUUCUGCUUCUUUUCCUGACCAAUAUCAAAUUUCCUGAAUCCAAGAGUUGAGCUGCACAAGUAUCAUUUUCUUCCACUGAAACAUUUGUAGACCACACAGGAAGCUUUUGGUCAUCGUUACCAUAGAGAACGAGGUUACCAUAUUGGUCUACAAAGAGAAAUCCUGAGGAACCAAUGAUUGGAUCGUUCCUGUUUGCAACCCACACCACAGUUUGUUCUGGUACUUUAUGGUACCAAAUUCCAAGAUAUCUAUUGCUAGAACUACCUGGACUGAAAAAUCCUAGUGCAAAAUUAUUUCCUUCGGAGAUAAGAACGUCACCUUCUUUAAUGGUUUGGUUCGUCUUUAAGGAGUCUAGGGAUGUACAAGAUGAGAAAUGGAGCAUUAAAAGAGAAAAAAGCAGGAACAGUUUUUCAGCUUCCAUGAUGGGGUAAAGUGGAUCUUGGCUUUUGGAAAGUGUCAAAUUUUGCUUUGUGGAGAAUGGAUAUGGCCUUCAGACAAGUCUCCAGAGAAGUUGCGUGACGGAAUUAGGCAUCUCUUUAAUGAGUUACUCUUUUCAACCUUCAAAGUCUAGACAAUGACUUGUUUUUGUUAAAAUAUCAAUGUAGAUUUUUUGGAAACGACACCGUCCUCUAGUUUUAGAAAUAUGUAGUAGGUUGCAGACACAUACAAAAACAACAUAAAAAAGACAAUAUAAACACAAAGACCGUAAUAAUUAUAAUUCAAACUUUUAUUAGUCAAUAUUUUUCUAAACAAAUUUAAAUAUUAAAGCUUUUAAUAAAUCACCAUAAACAAAACUUAAAAAUUAAUAAAAUAUUUCUAAGUAAAUAAAAAACAAAUUUAAAUCAACUUGGAAAAUAUGACAUUUUCAAAAUAGUAAUUUCUAGUACUAGUUUGGAGGCUUUAACGAGCUUAGAUGCCUUCAUAAAUCAAACCCUAUACAGAGAUCAUGGCUUCUAGAAAUAAAAUUUAUGUUCAUUAUUUUAAGGUCAUAUGUUGGAUAAAAAUCUCCUACAUCAAUCUCCUCGUGUUGGAAAUAACUCGUCUUCAAGUUCAAAUUGUUCUCGUUUUGACCUCAUGAAUGCUCAAUCAAAGCUCUAAAACUCCCUUCCAUUCUUCCCUUAAGGUAUAUAACAAUAUUAUAUAUCAACUUAAAUUCUUUAUUAAUAUAUGUUGUAUCUAUAUAAUUUUUGAACAAUUCUAUCUUUGUGAUAAUAAUAAACUUAUAAUUAAAAGGAUCAACAUAACCUAAAUCAAUAAUUUAAUUUUGUUACUUUGCACAUAAUUUCUAACCUAUCAAUAUGAACACCAUUGAUAACAUUAUUGCUACUUUGCAAUCAUUGUUUAUGCUAUUAUUAUUAUCAUAAGUUUGGCUAGGUGAUCAUAUAUAUAUAUAUAUGAUUUUAGUGUUCUUUGUUUUUUUUUUCACUUGGAUCGUUUUUUAGAACUUGAUUUUGGUUCUUGAGAAAUAAUUAGAGUUGUCAGUGUCACGCAAAAAAAUAAGGAAGGAUUUGAUCUUCCAUGUGUUUGGUCUAACAAAUCUAAGCUACGUGGCUUUCUAACUUCUUUUUUUUUUUAUGUGUUUCUUGUGCUAUGUUGUUGAUUCCUCUUUUUGUUCCAUGAUCUUAGGAGGUUUUUAAAUAUUGUAAGGAUCUCUUGCUUUCUCAAUUUAUUAUAUUUUGUUGCACUCUAUUUUUUUUUUUGCAUAUAUAUUGUGUUUGAGCAUAGCAUGUGUUGUUAUUUAUUUUUGGACCUCACAUAAACAUACAAAAUACAAAAAAAAAAUUAAAAAAAAUGGAAAACAAAUAUACAUUAGUGGGAAGAACAUGAAAGAUAUCUAGAAAAUUGUCACAGACUAGGAAGGGAGAAUCAAAAUAUUCAAAGUUAAAAAAUUGACAGUUCAAUUUUGAAUCAUGAAAGCCCUAUUAACAAGAAAAGUUCAAUUUGAGAAGAAAAAUUCAAAAUUAGAUGUUUAAUAACUCAAUUGAAAAUUUUCAAGGUUUAAUUGUAUUUAUUGAGGGCUUAAUUGCAAUAAAAAUUAGUUUUAAAGUUCAAUUUGGACUUUAAUGGGAAGAAAUUGAAGUUUGGGGGUUGAAUUGUAAUUUUAAAAAGCUAAUUUAGUUAGUUAAAAACAUGACAUGACAUCAUUAAUAUGAUGCGGCAGAUAGAGUGAUGGUGCACCCUUCCUGUUGUAACCCAAUUUUGACUCAUUGGCUUUUAAAUUUAAUUUUACAGGGUUUAAAAUUUAAAAUUAAAAGAUAAGAGAUUUAUUUCGAUGAAAAGUGUGAUUUGUCAACUUGCAUGAAAACUAGAGACUACAAUGUGCUUUUGUCAUUCUAUCCUUAUCUUUAAGAUAAUCCCUGUCUUCAAGAUAAUCCUUGUCUUCAAGAUAAAAAUAGUUAUAUGUUUCCAAAUUUGAUUCUUAAUCAAAUUCAAACUUUAAAGAAGAGAAUGAGUUUAAUUGAAACUUUGUUUCUCACACGCGAAGGGACUCUGACACUAUAAAUACAAAUAUCAGUGUAUGCACAAAGGGGGGAAGACAAUAUAGAGAAAAAACAAAAAAAAAAACAAAGGAGAAAAACAGGGGAGACGACAGAAGUAAGAAAACAAAGGAGAGAACCAAAAAAAAAAAAAACCAAGAAUAGAGGGAGAAGAGAUUGAAAAGAGGAGAAGAAGGAGAGCAUUCUCCUGCUGAUGCCUGCACUGCUACCUUUGCCUUCAGCUUCACCAGGUAAAGUCUUCUUCAUCUCUCUGUUUUUGUGUAAUUGUUGCAAGAAAAUAGUGUCAAUGUAACUUAAUUACCUUCAUACUAUGCAGUGUACGUGUGGGUUGAGCCACGCUUGCUUGCUGCCCAACCGGGUCACUGGCUUGGGGCCAGUGACCAAGCUGGGUUGGCUGGGUCCAGCCCAGCCCAUGUUGGUUAGGCUAGACCCAGCCCCAAAAAAAAAAGAAAAGAAAAGAGAGAGGGUCAAAUCUGGGCUUUAGGCUCAGCCAGCCCAAAUUAUGUUUAUUAAGGGUGUGUUUGGCAAAACACACCCUUAUGCCUUGGCUAUAAUUUUUAUGCUCAUUUUAGUUUGAUAUUUAGCCAAACGAGUCCCUUUUUGAUAUCAGAAAAUUCCAAAAAUAUUUGAGGAUCUUUGUUGAUUUAUUUGUGGGCCCCUCGCACUUUGAUUUAUUUUUUUUCUUUGCGUUUUGUAUUUGUUUUAAGUUAUGUGCUCAAUCUGGGGCCUAUUAUUGUUAAAUACAAAUAUGUCGUGCAAUAUUUUUUUUUAUUUCCAUCUAAAAAGGGCAAAUAAUAAUAAAGGAUAAACAAGAAAAAAUAUGACAUAGAAAAUUUCUUCUUCAAAUGUAUUUUUUGUGAAAAUAUUCACUGACGCUAGAGUUAGGAGUAUCGUAUUUUUUGGAUUUGUGCGAUAUUUACCAACGUCAGAGUUAUAAAUAUUCGUAGGAAUUGUUCACUGAUACCAGAGUCAGGAACAUGAAAGGAAGAAUAAAAAAAGGGAAAAGGAGAACAAAUUCUUAAGCAAUUUUAAAGAAAACCAGCAAUGCAGCCUGCCUCAAGUAAGACGCUUAGGGGGGUGAUAGCAUUUUCCCUUUUGCAUAACCAGUCUUGUACCAUAAAAUCUUUGUUGACCAGUUAAGGUUCCUAGUGACCGUAAUACUAGGUGGCGACUCCUUGAACUAGAUAUUUUCCCCUAAAAGAACAAGAUGUCAGAUAUCUGUUCUUUUUUCUAGUAGAGUGAUAAUUUUUAAUCGGUCACCGCGAUGUCCGGGUGUGACACUUCCGAUGGUGAAACCUGAAAAUAUUUUAAUAUAGUGCAUCCUUAGUUUUCAAUUGAAUCAAGAAACCAGCAUCUUGGGUUAUGUAUAGACAAAUUCAAUUCAUUCGGAUCAUUUGAUACUCCUUGUUGGUCCGUGAUACAUUUUACAAAUUGUCACCAGAUAUGUGUAUAAGGCCGAAGUUCAUGUUUUUAUCAACAGUCAUACCUGGUUAUAAUAGUCCGAGUUAAAAUAUAGAUGUUUGUCUUCGAUGGUGGUUUGAAAGGAUUUCAAACCUUCAUACAUCUCUGAGGUUAUAUGGGCAAAAUAUAUUUAGCAUGUGAUGUCUGAUCAUUUUGUGCGACAAUCACACUCUAGUGCAAAGAACCAGAACUAGCAAGUUCACGAAUUUGUUACCCACACAUCAGCAGCUCUAUUCCAUUUGUUUCACAUGUGAAACCAAUAGUAAGAUUUGUUUUUCAUUAUAUAUAUUUUUUAUUUGUUGUUUUCUAUAAAUAUAUUUAAUUAACAGUUUUAUCUUGCAGUAUACAGAUUUUCGACAUAAACCAAGCCCCAUUGAUGACCGCAAAAAAGUUAAGGGUGCAAUUUCAUAUUUUAGAUUAGCUAGGACACAUUAUGCUUAAUUGAUAAUUCCUAGAAAGUAUUUUAAUUCAUUGCAAGCAUUCGUGCGUUUUGGAUAAGAUAUGGUCAUCUAGCCAGGUGGCACGCAUCGUUUGGCAGAGACCACAGGCGUUGGAAUUUUUGCCUUAAGGUGUUUUUUCUAUGUUAACUUUUCAGUCCAAGUUUUGUAUAGUUGUUAGACCUUUUAGUUAGGGUAAGUGAAAAUAUCAUAAUCUCAAUUAUGAGUCUGAUGAAAAUAAUAUUUAUUUAAUAUUCUAAUAUUUAUUUGAUUUGAUUUUUAUUAGUUAUGUCAACUUAAUUUAUUAUUUAAAACAAUUUUAUACUUUAGUGGCAUUCCACAAUUGAUAUUCAAAAUUUAUUAAAUCAGAUUUUUUUUAAUUUCUUAACUAUGAUUUUUAAAUAUAAAAAACUUUAAUUUAUUAAUUUCAAAGAUAUUAUUUUUUAAUAUUUAAAUAGUUACCCUUAAGAGAUAUUACUGCACAACCAUUUAAGUAAUUAUAUUGUAUAAAAAGUAAAAAGCCCAAGAAGCCCAUGAUUAUUUUUAUAAUAAUCAAUUAAGUACGUGAAAAUACCGUGUUAUCCUUAAAAGAUAGGCAAAGUUUUUAAAUUGAGAAAGGCAAAAUAGUAAAUUCAAACAUAUAUAAUUUUUAAGUUUUUGUUAAUUCUACAUGGAAAUAAGGAGUUGAUGUAUGAUAUAUAUUUUUUAGAACAUUAUAAUAUUUGAUUUCAAACAUGUUGGAAGCGAAAAUGGAAAAACGGGUAAAAGGGAGAAAAUUGACAUUGAAAUUGUGGGAUCGGAUAAUUGGUCUUUUCAAUGCAUUUUUCAAUUUUUUUUAUAUAUAAAAUGCUUAAAAGACUGGAAAGAGAGUUUUGCACUUUCGUGGCCAAGGUCCACACAUGCUCAAAUUUUGGAUAUGAAGACUUUUGGGCUUUCCUUGUGUGUGUGUAUAUAUAUAAAAUUAAAAAAAUCAGAGAUUACCUUGAGUUUAUUAUUCUAGAAAUCGAAGCAAAAACAUAAGUUGUCAAUAUAUAUAUAUAUUCUAAGAUGAAAAAACUAAAAUUAAUGUCUAAAAUUGAUAUAUACUUAAAAUGAAGAGUUUUAAUUUGACAUGCAAACAAUUAAAUAAUAGUAAUUUGAAUUUAUUGACGAGUUUUUUCUAAUAAAAUGAGACUAAUGAAGAAGGAUUUUUUUUUCAAUAUACAACUUUAACUUUAUAUUAAUGAGUACAAUUUUCAAUUUCAUGGUUAGCUCAUGCUAUAACUUUGGUAAAAGAUUUCAAAAGCUUUAUUUUCUUGAGGGUAAAAAGACCAUACCCAUCUGAGUUCAAAAGAGGCCAAAAAAUUACUAUUUAAGAUUUUUUAUAUUUUCUAGUUAAUUUAUGAUUUUUUUUUAUUUUGAUUAAAACUUUUUUAUUAUUUUUUUAUUUUUAUUUAGGAUGUUUUUCCUAGUUUUCUUAUGACUUUUAUUACUUUUCAUUUAUUUUCUGAAUUUAUAGUUAGUUUAGUUAAGUUUUUAGGUUUAUUGAAGGAAUUGCAAACCUCUUAAAGUGAUAGAUUAUUUGGAAAAAAAAUAUUCAAUUAUAAAAUUAUAAAUUAAAAUUUCUAUGUGAUUUGUUUUAGAAUUAUUUUGUAUUUUUUUGUUUUUAUCUUUCUCGUGGUACUUUCAUCUGCAUCAGUAGUAUAAAAAACUUCAAUUUAUAAUUUUAUUAUUAAAUAUUUAUCUUCAAAUAAUCUCUUAAAAUACAAGAUAAAAAUCUUACUUAUACUAGAAAAAACACCCUAAAAAAAACUAAAAAAAAUAAUAAAAGAGUUUCAAACUAAAUAGAAUGUUUUUUUAAAUCAACUAAGUAAAUAUUGCAAAUCCCAAACAAUAAUUUCUUAGACUUAUUUGAAAGUCUCUUCAUAUUUGGAUUGAUACAAAACUUUAACUUUAUAAUAAAUAAAGCACAAAAGGAAUUCCCAUUAAAAUAACCUAAUUCAAUAGUUGAAUUAAAAGGAAUUCCCAUUAAAAUAAAGUUGGAUUCUAAAAAAACAAUAGUCUCCUACAUCAUAAAACACUACUUGUACUCGCCCUGUGCUAGUUUUUUAAUUUUAUUUAAAGGUACUAGGUUUUUUUAAAAAAAAUCAGAAAAAAGAAAACGCAAGGACAUGGUUAAAAUAAAGAAUUCUAAUCUUUACCAAAUUUGGUUAUGAAGAACUUUUUCCCAUAAUAAAUAUAAAGAGACUUAAUAUCACGCCUCGAACCAAGACUCAUGAAAUUAUUUUAUGUGCACGAAAGAAAUUUUAACUUCAAAAAUAAAAAUUACAUUCAAAAUAAUAUUCAAUUAAAAGAAAAUACAUUGAAUCAUAAGUUAAUUAAGACUUUAAUAAUAUAAAUCUAACUUUAAAGUCAAAUAAAAACAAAUGUAAGUCUAAAUCAAAGAUAAUAAAUUGAUUUAAUUAUUUAAAUAUUAAAGUCUAGAAAUUAGCUAUAAACUUCCAAAACAACUAAAUGACAUUCUAAGCCUUUUCCAAAAUUAAAUAAAAGGUGAGUGCCACACACCGAUAACAAUUCAUACUUAACUAGAUCAAACAUGUCAAAACUUAUAAAUUAAUGCUACUAUAUUGAUUGAUAAUUUUACCCAUAUUUACCUUGUAUUUUACCCAUAUUUUAUAUAUAAAAUGCUUGAUAUUAAUUAUUUUAUAUUUUGAAUGUACUUUAGAUGUAAGAUUCGAAAAUAAGUAAUUUGGUGAUAAAAUUCAGACCAUGUUCUAGCUAGUGUUGAAUAUUGAUAUAUUGACAUUUGAUCGAUAUUUUACAUAGAACUUGAGCUGUAUGGUUGAAAUAAAGUGAUUCAUAUGGAAUUAAAAAGCUAACAUCCAUACCUUUUUAUACAUAUAUAGCAAGAAAAAAAAAGCAUUGAAAUCAUAGCCUUCAGAAACAAGUUUUGCAUUUUGCCAGUUUUGACCUUAGGUCAUUUCGACUUGAAUAUCUUGAGUUAGAGAAGUCUAUUUGAUGCAAACUCAAUUUUGUUGGAUUUCUGACUCAAAGACCUAUCAACCUAUGGAAUUUCAGCUAAAAAAAAUCUCAUGUGAGAGAUAUGAUAUUUCUAAGACAACCUAUAAAUUCUGUUAACAGACAGGUUUUGUGAAGAAAUAAGUCUCAAACAUCCAAACCGACAGGACAAUUAUUUUUUCAUAUGAAAAUGGUUUUUAUUUAGGCAAAUUAACUUCACUAAAUCCAAAGUCAAAACUUGAAGAUUUUAUAUAAGACUAUUUUUCCUUCUUUAUAAGAAAGUAAUUAUUGUGUUACUUAAAUAUAGAUUGUCUAUUUUGGAAAUGACUUUUAUAUUUUUAGGAUACAAACGGACUAGUAGGAAUGUGAGGAUUAUGGUUUCCUAUCAUAUAAAAAGAAAGAGAGAGAGGAAGAGAGGGAGGCGAUAACAAAAGAAGAAGAAACUCUCAUCUUUUUUUCCUACACUUGACAUUUUGUUUUCAUCCUUUCUUUUCCUUAGUUUUUUUAUAGUCAUACGAGACUAAGUUAUUUUUCUUGGUUGAAAAGAUACAGAAGCCUUAAAAUUUCAAAAAAGCUAUGAGAUCUAUUUUAUCUUUUCUUUUCAGUUUAUAUGAUGAGUAUGGAUGUUUUUCUAUGCUUAUUUUUUUAUGACUGUUUAGUUUGAUUGAUUAGAACGACUAAGUUUUUAUUCUUACCAAUCUAUUGCUAAAUUUUCUAUCAAAAUCAGAGUUGUGAUAUUUAACUUGUGAAGCGGCUAAGUUUAAUAAUUAUGAAAGAUCUAUGCUAUUAAUUUUAGGGAAAACAAUCAAUUAAAUUGAACAUAGACUGUAGACAGAUAUGUUGUCUAGAUUUAUCAACCUAUCUAGUUCUUAAGGCUACCGUUGAAUUAAAUUGCUAGUGCGGACGCAAUGGUUUCUUUAAUGGUUAGAUUAGUUAUACUGCAUGUCAGUUAACUGAUUAAUAUUAAGAAAAGAUAAAUAUUCAGAAUAUAAAUUGACGAAUCGUUUCAAUAAUUAGUUUUGAUUUCUGUCGUUGAACAUUUAAUUGAAAUGUUUUUCUCUUAAUAAGUUUCGGUUUAUUUAACUUAGUUUGAGUACUUUAUUUUGUUUACCUUACCUAGCUUAGAUAAUUUCAACCCCUCAACUUUGAAUCAUUUAGCAUAAAAACCCGAACUAAAUCUUUCUCGUGGGAUCGACCUCUUACUUGCUCUAUAUUAUCUUAUUUGUUUAAGUUAGGGUAAUUAAUUUGUGUGAUCAUGACAUUGCAACACAAAUAAAUAUAGCUUAAAGUAUAUUCAAAGAACUUUUGCAAUCAUAAACAUAUUUUUAUAAAACACUUAACAUUAUUUACAAAAUCAUUUACAUGCAUGAUCCACCUAAUUUACAAAACAAUAAUUAUUUGAAAAACUCAUUUUGUACAUAAGUAUAUAUUUUCUAACUUAAAAUAACUAACCAAAGUGAUGAAAUAUUACUUGCAUGUUACACAAAUCCAAUAUAUAUUUGUCCUAGAGACAACCAAGCACUCUUAACAACCUAACAAUAAUAAUCAUUAUAAAUUAUAUGCUCAUUGAUAUCCAAUGCAAUACAUGAGCUUGUUUCUAAUUCAUAAUUUAAUAAAAAAAAAUUAAAUAUAUCACUUGCUUCAAUGACCUUAAAAUUUCCAUGAAAAAUCACCCAAUACUAGAACCGUGUUAUUACAACCCCUUAUUUUACUUAUAAAAUAUCUAUUUUUAAUAAUUAAAUACCAAAAAUCACCCAAUGCUAGAACCAUGUUAUUACAACCCCCUAUUUUACUUUUAAAAUAUCUAUUUUUAAUAAUUAAAUACCAAAAAUAAUUAUGUAAAACAUAUGACUAUUAUAGUUCAAAUUUAAGAACAUUAUAAAAUCUAUUAGAAAAGGAUAAUAAAUAUUUUUAUUUCAACUAAAACAAUAUUAUAAGUAUAAUUAAAGUGGAGGUGUCAAAAAUUAUUAAGUGCAACUAUUUUUUUAAAAUAAUUUGUUUAGUAAAUAAAUUAAUUCAUAUACAAAUCAAGUUCUUUAUGAAAUACUUUUCACUAAUUCAAAUUCUACAUGAAAAGAAAUUGAUAGUAGUAUAUUAAAAUGUUUAAAACUUAAUUAUAAAAGUUAUUCAUCAAUCUUCAAAAUAAAUUUUAGUUAUUAACUACUAAAUUUCACUAAUAAAAAGUAUUUUUUUCAUAAAUUUAAAAAUACUAAAAAAUAUAUUAAAAGCACACUAAAAUUUCCUAGUAACAUAUUAAAUAGAAACAACAAACUUUAGGUCUUAAAAUAUUCAGGGAGAAUUGCACUUUUUAAUAAAAAAAAAUAAAAUUAAAGAGUAUUUUAUAAACUUAUAAAUUACAAAUUCAAGUGACUUACAUCCGACUGUCAUAAUUUUUAAUCCACAACUUUGAUUUGGGCAAAUGACUUAUCAAAUCAAAGAACUUACAACAUACUAUAACUAGGUACUAAAUUCCAACCAUAACAAUCAUUGGAAGACCAGAUUCCUGCGGUCCAAAAUUACCAACUCAUCCUUUUUUUUCAAAUCUCUUAAUUUCACUAUUACUUCUUAAAAAUAUUUUUUAUUAAAAUAUUUUUUUUAAAAGAAUAUAUAUAUUAAAAUAUUUUUUUUAUUUUUUAAUAAAAUUUAUUUUUAAAAUUAGCAAAUUAAAAUGAUUUAAAAAUAUAAAAAAAAUUUAAUUUGAAACAUUUUUUAUAAAAAUUUUGCAAAUCUCUAUUUAAACCACACUGUUUUUUCUUUUUAAUUUUAACCUACUCGAAGGCCGCUCAAUUUUUUUUUUAAUUUUAAUUAUAUGAGUUCUUUAACAUACCUCAAAUUUUUGAUAUUGAUGUUGACACUUUUGUUAUUCACAACAUAUAUUUAGUAGAGAAAUUGUGUCCUACAAAAUCAGAAAUCAUAUGAUUGAGAUUGUAAAAUUCAAAAAAUAAAAAGUUUUAAAUCCAAAAAAUAAACUAAUCUUAAAAUGGUUUCAGUUUUUUUAUUUAGUUUUUUCAAUCAUCAUUCAUCUAGUUGAAUUGAUUUUUUUUUUCAAAAUAAAGAGUUUUACAAGGACUAAAUUGCAUAAAUUUUAAGGGUGCAAUUUCAUAUUUUAGAUUAGGACACAUUGUGCUUAAAUGCUAAUUCCUGAGAAAGUAUUUUAAUUCAUUGCAAGCAUUCGUGCGUUUUGGAUAAGAUAUUGUCAUCUAGCCAGGUGGCACGCAUCGUUUGGCCGAGACCACAUGCCUUAAGGUGUUUUUUCUAUUAUAACUUUUCAGUCCAAGUUCUGUAUAGUUGUGAGACCUUUUACUUAGGGUAAGUGAAAAUAUCAUAUUCUCAAUUACGAGUCUGAUGAAAAUAAUAUUCAUUUAAUAUUCUAAUAUUUAUUUGAUUUGAUUUUUAUUAGUUAUGUCAACUUAAUUUAUUAUUUAAAACAAUUUUAUACUUUAGUGGCAUUCCACAAUUGAUAUUCAAAAUUUAUUAAAUCAGAUUUUUUUAAUUUUUUAAAUAAAUUUUCAAAUUUAAGAAACUUUGGUUUAUUAAUUUCCCUAUGCACUGCAUCGCUUGAACUUUAGUCUUUAGGGUUUUCUUUCAAGUGGGCAGCAUGAGAAAAUAUCUAUCGGACAAAAACAGUUUUUUAAGUACUGAUAUAGUUUUUUUUAAGGAAAAAAAUCAAUUAAUAUAAGAUUUGACACACAUUAGAAGAUACUGUUUUUAAUACUAAGACACUUAUACAUUAAAAUUUAUUUUUUAAGUAUUAAAAUAAAAAUAUAUUAAAUAGAUAUGGGUCAACCUGAAUCAAUCAUUUAAAUUUACGAUCAAAGUUAUAAAACUAUGAUAAUCUCAUAAAAAACAAACAAAUAAUUAUGUUCAAUUUCAAAAGCAAUCUAAUAAUGAAGAAUAAAAUUCAAAAUUAAAAUACUCAAUUAAUUUUUUUUUUAAAAUCUAAAUAAACCCGAGACAAUUUAUUAAAUCCAUGAUUUGAAUUAUUUAUUCCACUAGAUUUAAAAAAAUCUAAAAAAAAAGAACAAACAUGACAUGCAUGUGAGAUUAAAAAAAAAGGAACUAACGAAGGUUUUUUCUAUUUUUUUUUAAUCUUCCGGGGGGGCUGAAAAUGCAUCUAGGGGCAUGACCACCCACCUGACCUGUACAAAAAUAAAAAUAUUUAAUGAAAAACAAGUUAAAAAAAAAAGAUAGGAAUGAAACUGAGUUAAUUUGUUAUACUCGGUCAUACAUUCCACUAAAUUUAAUAAUAUAUUAUUUAUUAAGUUAUUUUUUAUUUUGUUAUACAUCAAUCAAGAAUGUAAGAUGUGUUUUUGUAUCAAAUAAAAAAAAUUAAAAUACAACAAACAGGAUAGGCAGGCACGUGUAACAAAACAAUGGUCUCUUUUUAAAGUUAAAUAAGAAAAAAUGGUCUUUUAUAAGCCAAUUUAAAAAGGAAAAAAAAAAAAAAGAGGUCGUAUGCAUCACCUACCAUAAAAGCAUACCAAAUAAAAUAUAAUGCAGUGAGGAUAUGAUAUUUAUAUCUAAACAAUUCACUUAAUUUAACUAAAAAAUAAAAAAAAUAAAAAAAAGCUAAAUUUAACAAAAAGUGACAAAAAAGGACUCGAGAAAACCUAAGUAAUUUUUAAAAUCAGUAACAAAACCCUAUAAACAGUAAAUAAAAAAAAUGAAUUAUUUAAUUAAAUCAAAUAUUGAAGGAUGAAACUUAAAAAAACAUGAGUUUAAAAAAGAACAAAAAAUGAAUCGGAACAAAUCUUCUAAAUCUAAGUUAAUCUUCUAAAUUCAUAACCUAUUAAAUCUUAGAUCUAGGCUCAAUAAAAAAAAGCUUAAUUUAAUUUUGAAGGAUGAAAUAAAAAAAAUCGUAAUUUUUUUUUGUCAAAGCAAAGAAAGUAGCUAUAAAAAUAAAGGUGAAUGAAAUCGUUAAAAAAAUAAAAUUUAAAAAUGAUCUUAAAUAAAAUAAAUAGUAGUCAAAAGAAUGGAUAUCAAAUUUGAUAGAUUAAGAAAAUUUUAAGGAUAAUGAAAUUGAAAAUAAUCAAAUGAAAAAAUAAGGAUCAAAUCAAAAGAAAAAAAAAAGCCAACUAGGGCCAAAUUACUAAAUGGACUUAUAUCACACGCACCACCUAGAGAGGCAGGCCACACUAUAAUGAAUUGAAAAACACCGAAGAAAGCUAUUUUUGAUAGUUGUAAGCCGUCGCACAUACCGUUUAAACACGACAGAGAGGCGUAUUCACUAGCAUGUUCAAUGAAUGCAUUAACCAUUUUUUCUUUUUUUUCUUUAUAUUUAUUAAAAGACUAAAUUGAUCACAUAAUAAUAAUAACAACAACGACGACGACAACAACAAAAAAAAAAAAAGGAAAGUAUGAAUUAGCCCUUAGAGGCAUAGUUAGAAAAUUUUGAUUUUAAGGACAAUAUAAUCAUUUUAUCGUGCUAUAAAAUAUAAAAUAUAAGAAAUGCCUCUAAACUUGAGGAGCAUAGUUUUUUAAAAGCAUUUAAGUAAUUAUACUAUAUAAAAAAAAAUGAAAAGAUCAUGAAGCUCAUGAUUAAUUUUAUAAUGACCAAUAGAGCAUCCAAAAAGAUUGCCCUUGAGAGAUAGGCAAAGUUUUUCGGUUGAAAAGGGAAAGUAGUAAAUUCACUACUAUAAUCCAUAAUAAUUCAAGACAUAUCUAUAGUAAUUUUUCCAUGGGAUUUAGAUUUUUGUUAAUUCUACAUGGAAAUCAAAAGUAGAUGUAUUUACAAUAAUCAUUUCACUGGCUUGGUAUCUUGUAUAAUAUAUAUAUAUAUAUAUAUAUAUAUAUAUAUAUAUAUAUAUAUAUAUAUAUAUACCAAAAAAAAUUAGAGAUUCCCUUGAGUUUAUUAUUCUAGAAAUCAAUGCAAAAAAAUAAUUUUUCAAUUAUUGUUUUCUUAUAUAAAUUUUAAGAUGUGUUGCGAUAUCGCGGUCGCACAAAUUAAUUACCCUAGCUUAAAACACAUAAGAUAGUAUAGAGCAAGUAAGGGAUCGAUCCCACGAGGAAGAUUUAGUUUAGAUUUUUAUGCUAUAUGUUAUGCAAUUGGGGGGUUUUGAUUUGUGAUGAUCUAAACUAUGGAAGAAAUUAAACUAGCAAACAAAAUCAAUUGAAACCGAAAUUAAUCAAGAAAACAAACAUUGGUCGCAAGCACACUACACCAACGAAAAUUAGAACUGAUCCUUGAAACGAAAAUUGCAGUUUAUGUUCUGAAAUUUUAUCUUUUCUUACGUUGAUUAAUUAACGGAUCCGCCGUAUAACUAAUCCUAACCAACAAACAAUCAAAGUGUCUGCACUAAUGAUUUAAUUUAAUGGCAGCUUUAAGAACUAGAUAAUUUCAUCAAGAUUAACAUACAAGCUGUCCGCAGCUUGUGUCACUUUGUUCAAAUGUUCUCCCUAAGUUCAAUAACGUAGUUCCGCCAUAAUUAUCAAGCUUAGUUGCUUCACAAGUUCAUAUAUCACAACUCCGGUUUUGAUAUUAAACUUAGCAAUAGAUUGUUUACAACAAUAACUUAGAGUCCGCUCUAGCAAUCAUCAACAACAAUCAUAGGAAAUAUGCAUAGGAAAACAAUCAUACUCAUUCAUAACAUAAACUGAAAAUAAAAGGAAGAAUAAAUCUCACGGUUCUUGAAAUCCGAAGGUUUUUGCGUCCUUGCAACCAAGAAAAGAGCUUAGCCUUGCAUAACUAUUGAACAACUACUUCUAAAGAUUGAAGAGAGCAUGAUUUUAGGGUUUGUAGAGGAGAGAAUUUAUGUUUAUUCUCUGCUGGCUUCUGCCUCCCUCCUCUCUCCUUCCCUUCUCUCUUUCUUUUUAUAUGCUAAGAAACCCUAGUCCCUAUUUUACAAAAUAGUCCUCCCUUAAGUUGACAGUUUACAUUUAAGUACUUCAAUAACUAUUUUCCUAAAAAAGAGAAAUAGCCUUGCAUUAAAUCUUCAAGCUUUGAAUUAGAGGAGCUAAAUUGUUAAAAUAAAAACUUGGACGCCGGUUUAGAUGCUUCGAAACGUAAUUUGGACAUGUUCCUUCACGAAACCUGUUUGUUGGCAGAAUUCAGCUGUCAUCUUUGGAAACUCAUAUCUCCCUCAUAUGAUAUCGUUUUUGGCUGAAAUUUUGAUAGUUUAUAGGACUGUUAGUCAGCAAUCCAAAAAAUUGAGUUUUCAUUGAACUUCUGUAGCUCCAGAUAUUCAAGUCGGAAUGGACGAAGGUCAACACUGGCAGAUUGCGAGAUUUGACUUUGAAAGCUGCGAUUUCUAUGAUCUUCCUUAUUUUAUUUUCUUGCCUUAGAUGUCCAGAAAGGUAUGGAUGUUGUCUUUUUAAUUCCAUUGGAAUCACUUCAUUUCGACCUCUAGAGCUCACGCUCUGCACAAAACAUCGACUGAAGGUCAAAUCUGCCAAUUACCUCCAAUUUACUCCUUUUUGCAUCUUUCAUCCAAAAGUGCCUUCAAAACAUCAAACAAAGAAUAUCAAGGCAUUUUAUAUAUAAAACAUAGGCAAAACACUAGUUAAAUGUGGGUGAAACUAUCGAAUAAUAUGGUUGCAUCAAGAUGAAAGGAUUAAAAUUGAUAUCUAAAAUUAUUAUAUAUUUAAAACAAAGAAUGCAAAUGGAUUGAAGAGUUUUAAUUUGACAUGCACAUGAUCAAGAUAAAAACAAUUUGAACUCGAUGAAGAGUUCUUUCUAACAAACAGAGACUAACAAAAGAGAUUACUAUUCAGGAUCAAGGUAAAAGAUUCCAAAUGCUUUGUUUUCUUAAGGGUAAAAAGUUCAUACUCAUUAGAGUUUAGAAGGGUCCAAAAAUUACUAUUCAAGAUUUUCUAUAUUUUCUAGUUAAUUUAUGAUUUUUUUUUAUUUAGAUUAAAACUUUUUUAUUAUUUUUUCAGGUUUAAUGAAGAUGUUCUUCCUAGUUUUCUUAUGACUUUUAUUAUUUUUUCUUUAUUUUCAGGUUUUAUUAUUGGUUUAGGUAAGUUUUUAGGUUUAUUGAAGGAAUUGUAAACCUCUUAGAGUGAUGGAUUAUUUAAAAAGAAAUAUUCAGUUAUAAAAUUAUAAAUUAGGGUUUUUGUGUGAUUUUGUUUAGCAUUAUUUUGUAUUCUUGUGUUUGUUAUCUUUCCUGUGUUGCUUCAAUUUGCAUGAGUAGUAUACAAAACUCUAAUUCAUAAUUUUAUUAUUGAAUAUUUCUCUUCAAGUAAUCUUCUAAAAUACAAGAUAAAAAUUCUCUUUAUACUUGAAAAAAUAUCUUAAACAAAACUGAAAAAAUAAUAAAAAAAUUCCAAACCAAAUAUAAAAGAAAUCUUAAAUCAACUAAAAAAAUACUGCAAAUCCCAAAUAAUAAUUUUUUAGACUUAUUUGAAAGUCUUUCCACAUUUGGAUGGAUAUAAAAUUUAAACUUUAUAAGAAAAUAAAAACUUUGAAUUUUUUUAUCAAAAUUUUAAUCCGAUCGAACAGUUAAAUAAAAAAUUACAUCUAUUAAAAUAAAAUUUUAUUUUAGAAAAAAAUAAUAUAUGCCUUCAAUAAAAUAGCUUGAAAGAAAACACUAUUGGGACUAGUGGUUUUUCAAAAACAUCAGCAUUUCCUUUCCAGAGGUGCUGUUUCUUAAGAAAAAAUAUAAAUUUCGCCCUAUGCUAGUUUUUCAAUCUUAUAUUAUUUCUGUGUUAUUCACACAAAUCUGCUCAGAUCAAUUUGACAAUUUUAAAACGUUAUGCUCAUCAAUCACACAAUAUCACUCAGAUCAAUUUGACAAUUUUAUGUUCCAUGCUCCCAUGAUAUGAGAUGAAUUCCUAAAUGCUAUUAGUCUGGUUGGGCAAUCAGAUUUAACAGUGUUACAUCCUGCUAUCAGUAAAAUCCAAUAAUAUUAUGCCAGCCAGAUUUAAUAUUAUUGGAUAUGACUUGGGUUUGGUGGUUAAGUCUGGCUUGACUACUAAAUUCAAGAAUAUUAAGUUUGGAAUUGCUCUCAGAUCUAAGUUGUUUAAUAUAUUUUUUAAAAAUUAUUAUUGACUUGUUACGGAGCUUAAAAUAAUAUACUAUACUAAUUUAAUUUCAAACAUGUUGUAGGUGAAAAUGGACAAAUGAGUAAAAUGGAGAAAAUUGACAUUGAAAUUGUGGGAUCGGAUAAUUGCUCUUUUUCAAUGCAUUUUUCAAUAUUUUUAUAUAUAAAAUGCUUAAAAAACUGGAAAGAGAGUUUUGCACUUCCUUGGGCCAUGGCCCGGGCUCGAAUUUUGGAUAUGAAGAGCUUGAUCUGUUGUGAUGCACAACAUAUAUGUCCCAUUGUUUUCUGCCGCUUUAAAAUAUUUGUUCUGACUGUCUUGCGGAAAGGCAUUCACUAUCGUUAGCAAAUCUAAUGGAACUUCAUAUUAGCAAUUUUUCGGACAGCACAGCUUCAGCGACUAGCGAUUUCAGAAAUUGUCACCUCAUUUACAGAGCACAGUCCAUCUUCAACGUCUAAUGCUAUAUCAGGAAAUUUAUCAGAUUUUCUUAAGAGGAAUGCAGGUUGGGAGUUUUAGCAGGGGGUACGUCUAGUGCUGAAGAGCUUGAUCUGUUGUGAUGUACAACAUAUUUGUUUUCAUUACAAAUCUAAUGGAACUUCAUCUUAGCAAUCAUUCAGACAGUACAGCUUCAGCGACAGGCAAUUUCAGUAAUUGUCACCUCAUUUAGAGAACACUGUCCAUCUUCUACGUCUAAUGCUAUAUCAGGAUUAUUGUCAGAUUUUCUAAAGAGGAAUGCAGGUUGUUCUGGAGAAGGAAUCUCUGUUUCGUUACUCAACAUAAAAACAACUGCCAACAUAGAUGGUCUGUCCGUGGCAUCUUCUUGCACGCACAGUAGACCAAUUUGUAUGCAUUUCAAGGCUUCACGCGGAUGAUACAACUCCUUCAGUGAUGGAUCAACUAUCUCCAAUGCUUUGUCUUCUCUCCAUAAUUCCCACACCUGUGUUGUUCAUAUAAAUCAUUAGCAUACAAGAAAUGAGAGCAGACAACAUCUAAAAUUGUGAACAUUGAAAUUCAACCAAGAGCACUAAAAACUCUCUUGUAACUCACAUAUCCAAUCAAGGUCAAGGGAGGAUUCCGUUGAUAAAAUCUGUUGUUCUUCUUGCCACUCACAAUCUCUAACAACAUGACCCCAAAACUGAAAACAUCUGAUUUUACAGAAAAGUUUCCAAACACAGCAUAUUCUGGUGACAUGUAGCCACUGCAUCAGAAAAACAAGAUUCUGAAGUUUUAGUAUUCCUGGUAAUCAAUGAUAGUACUUUGUCACUCGGUCUUUGUUUUAGGCAAAGGUACUUACUAUGUUCCCACAACUCUCCUUGUCCUAUCUUCAGUUUGGUUGCCUUCAAAUAUUUUUGCCAUUCCAAAAUCUGAUAUUUUUGGGUUCAUCUCUGCAUCCAAUAGAAUGUUGCUGCAUUUUAAAUCCCUGUGAAUGAUUCUCAACCUGGAGUCUUGGUGAAGAUAUAAAAUCCCACGAGCUAUUCCAACAAUAAUAUCAAAGCGUUUUCGCCAAUCCAAUAACAAUCUUCUUGUUUCAUCUGUUGAAACAAUUAUUUUUCAGACAACUAGUGUAAAUCAGGGCAAUAAAAACAUAAAGAGACUUACGGAAAAGAAUCGAGUCCAAGCUUUUGUUCGGCAAGUAUUCAUAGAUUAAGAUUUGUUCUCCAUCCUGAGUGCAAUAACCUAGAAGUUUCACCAGAUUCCUGUGUUGAAGCAUUGCAAUUACCAUAACUUCAUUUUUAAAUUCUUCUGUUCCUUGUCUUGAACUUCUAGAUAACCUUUUUAUUGCAACCUCCAGCCCAUUAGCUAGCAGACCCUAAAAUCAUGUUACAAGAUUAAGCCUCUGGACUAAUAUUAUGCAAAUUAGAGAGGCCAUUUAGUUUUUAGCUAAAUGCAAGAAACUCAACCUUAUAAACAGAGCCAAAACCACCUUGCCCGAGUUUGUUAGCUGGAGAGAAAUUGUUUGUGGCCGCCGUUGUGGUGCUGAGCUUGAAAUAUUUCAAUUCAGUAGAAGUGCUGUUUACCUGCAGUUCAGAACCUUUUUUGGCUCUCUUCUUGAACCACAAAUAAGCAAACAGGCUAAUGAGAAACCACAAUAAUGCAAUUGAUGGUGCUAAAAUGGCCUGCAUCGUUUUUUCACGAGAAUCAUUUGACUUCCUUUUAGUAUCAGCUGCAUGAGAAUGAAAAGAAAAAAGAUUAACUUAAUAGGAAAAACCACCCCAUUUUCCAAUGGAAAUAUGACAAUACAUAUGGCAAAGGGUAGCCCUUUUGGCACCUAAAACGUACCAAUAUCUAUGGUUUCUUUCCUGCAGGGAAGAGCUUAUUAACUACAGUCAAGAGCAGUGACAAGCAUAGGAAAACUCUUAUAAUUCAAUAUUUGUGAUGACAAUCCUAUGAAGUAGUUACUGAGCAGAAAAAGGGUACCUAAUUCAUAUGCAUCAACACGAACAUACAGAUCAUAACUGUUACUCCUAUCAUAUCUAAUGUCUACUAAUUCCUUGUACCAAUUCAAACAACCAUAAUUUUUUCCGGGAAUUCCAAUGAUUGCGUAUGCAGAUUAUGAACAAUUCCUCUUGCAUUCCACUUCACAGUCUGCACGACUCUUGCUCAUGUCUACCCAAGCUGAAUCUGAACUUUCCGGAAGAAUUACAUUUUCUACCUUCACAAACCCUUCUCCAUGCUGGCACAACGAAGACGUCUGUAGCCGCUUCCUGACACAACCAUCGGACCCAUCUCUCGUAGACCAUUCCAAUGGGUACUUGGGCUCGAACCCAGGUAAACAGGCACAUUCAAAUCUAUUAUGAUUGGCAAGUUCACACGUACUAUAAGCACCACACAGUCCAUAAUAGUCGCACUGAAACACUGGGGCCUUCCAGUAAUCCUUCCACUGACCAUCACUUUCUCGCCAUGUUAACACCUUUAGAAGUCCUGAAUGAUCUACUAUUAUUCUUAGCAGAUAAGAAUCAUCAGGAACUGUGUAGACCCAGUAUAUUUCAUCUGGAUGAUUGACAAAAGUGCUUUCGUAUAAGCCCAUUUGACUUCUCCAUGGCCAAGGAGGAGAUCUACUAAUUGGCUCUGUACCAUUAUAGACAAAGAUUUGCGGUGAGCCAUUUGGUUUGAUCAUAAGAGAAAAGUCUCCAAUCCCAGGGUCAUCAGCUGAUCUCCAUGAUGUUAGAAACCGAUGAAUUCCUAAUUUUCGAUCGAGCCCCAAUUUCAUCCCAGGUAGGUGGGUGCUUGUAGGAUAAUCGAAGCUUUGCCAUACAAUGUCUCUGCUUCUUUUCCUGACCAAUAUCAAAUUCCCAGAAUCCAAUAGUUGAGCUGCACAUAUAUCAUUUUCUUCCACUGGAACAUUUGUAGACCACACAGGAAGCUUUUGGUCAUCGUUACCACAGAGAACAAGGUUUCCAUAUUGGUUUAUAAACAGAAAUCCAGAGGAACCAAUGAUUGGAUCGUUCCUGUUGGCGACCCACACCACAGUUUGUUCUGGUAUUUUAUGGUACCAAAUUCCAAGAUAUCACAGUUUGUUCUUUUCCUGACCAAUAUCAAAUUCCCAGAAUCCAAGAGUUGAGCUGCACAGAUAUCAUUUUCUUCCACUGGAACAUUUUUAGACCACACAGGAAGCUUUUGGUCAUCGUUACCAUAGAGAACGAGGUUUCCAUAUUGGUUUGUAAAGAGAAAUCCAGAGGAACCAAUGAUUGGAUCGUUCCUGUUGGCGACCCACACCACAGUUUGUUCUGGUAUUUUAUGGUACCAAAUUCCAAGAUAUCUGUUGCUAGAACUACCUGGACAGAAAAAUCCUAGUGCAAAAUUAUUUCCUUUGGAGAUAAGAAGGUCACCUUCUUUAACGGUGUGGUUCGUCUUUAAGGAGUCUUGGGAUGUACAAGAUGAUAAUUGGAGUAUUAUAAGAGAAAAAAGCAGGAACAGUUUUUCAGCUUCCAUGAUGGAGUAAACUGGAUCUUGGCUUCUGGAAAAGUUUUAAAUUUUGCUUUGUGGAGAAUGGAUAUGGCCUUCAGACAAGUCUCCAGAGAAGUUGCGUGACGGAAUUAGGCAUCUCUUUAAUGAGUUACUCUUUUCAACCUUCAAAGUCUAGACAAUGACUUGUUUUUGUUAAAGUAUCAAUCCAGGAUUUUUGGAAACGACACCGUCCUCUAGUUUUAGAAAUAUGUAGGUGAUUGCAGACGCAUACAAAAACAACAUAAAAAAGACAAUAAACACAAAGAAAGAUGGAAUUGCGUCGAAAAAGACAAAAUCAUUCAAACUUUUAUACUCAAAAAUUUUCUAAUUAAAUUUAAAUAUUAAAGCUCUUCUAAAUUAUUAUAUACUAGGAAAAACACCCUGAACAAAGCUUAAAAAUUAAUAAAAUAUUUCUAAAGUAAAUAAAAAAAUAAUCUAAAUUAACUUGAAAAAUAUGAUAUUUUCAAAAUAGUAAUUUCUAGUACUGGUUUGGAGGCCUUAACUUCAUAAAUAAGACCUUUAGGAAUAUUGCCUCUAGAAUCAAAAUUUAUGUCCAUUAUGAUAAGGUCAUGUGUUGGAUGAAAAUCUCCUACAUCAGUCUCUCUAUGUUGAAAAUAACUUGUUUUCAAGUUCAAAUUAUUCUUGUUUUGAUAUCGUGAAUGCUUAAUCAAAGCUCUCAACCUCUUUUCCUUUCUUUUCUUAAGGUAUAUAACAAUACUAGAUAUUGGUUUUAGUUCUUUAUCAACAUAUGUUGUAUCUAUAUAAUCCUUGAACAAUUCUAUCUUUGUAAUAAUAGUAAACUUGUAAUCAAAAGGAUCAACAUAAUCUAAAUCAAUAAUUUAAUUUUAUUGGUCAUCUUCGAUAUUCUAUUUACACUUAAUUUCUACCUUAUCAAUAUGAACACCAUUGAUGACAUUAUUGCUCCUUCGCUAUCAUUGUUUAUGUUAUUAUUAUUAUCAUAAGUGUGGCUAGGUGAUCACACACAUAUAUAAAAUUUUAGUUUUCUUUGUUAUUUUUUUCACUUGGAUCGUUUUUGUUUUUGAGUUUUUUAGAUCUUGAUUAUGGUUCUUGAGAAAUAAUUAGAGUUGUCAGUGUUACGCAAAAAAAUAUGGAAGGAUUUGAUCUUCCAUGUGUUUGGUCUGAUAAAUCCAAGCUAUGUGGUUUUUACUUUGUUGAUUCAACUUUCUAACUUCUUCUUCUUCUUUUUUAUGUUUCAUGUGUUAUGUUGUUGAUUCCUCUUUUUGCUGGAUGAUCUUAUAAGGUUUUUGAAUACCGUAAGGAUCUCUUGCUUUCUCAAUUUACUGUAUUUUGCUGCACUCUACAUCUAUAUUGAGUUUGAGCAUAGCCAGUGUUGUUAUCUAUUUUGGAACCUCACAUAAACAUAAAAAAAUAAAAAAAAUAAAAAAAUAUACAUCAGUAGGAAGAACAUGAAGAAUGUCCAGAAAAUUGUCAACUAGUUGGGAAGAAUCAAAAUAUCCAAAGUUGAAAAAUUGAUAGUUCAAUUUUGACUCGUGAAGGCCCUAUUAAUAAGAAAAAUUCAAUUUGGAAAGAAAAAUUCAAAAUUAGAUGUUUAAUAACUCAAUUGAAAUUUUUCAAGGUUUAAUUGUAUUUAUUGAGGGAUUGAUUGCAAGGAAAAUUGGUUUUUAAGUUCAAUUUGAACUUUAAUGGGAAGAAAUUGAAAUCUGGGGGUUGAAUUGUAAUUUUAAAAGGCUAAUUUAGUUAGCUAAAAACAUGGCAUUGUAUUAUUAAUAUGAUGCGGUGGAUGGAGUGAUGGUGCACCUUUCCGAUGGUGAAGCCUGAAAACAUUUUAAUAUGAUGCAUCCUUAGUUUUUAAUGGAAUCAAGGAACAUGCAUCUUGGGUUAUGUACAGACAGAUUCAAUCCAUUUGGAUCAUUUGUUGCUCUUUAUUCUUGUUGGCUAAUAAUACUCACAGUUUACAAAUUGUCAUUGGGCAUGUGUAUGAGGUCGGAGUUCAUGUUUUUAUCAACGGUCAUACCAAGUCAUAAUAGUCUGAGUUAGAAUAUAGAUGUUUGUCUUUGGUGGUGAUUCAGAAGGAUUUCAGGCCAACGUACAUCUCAGAGGCCAUGUGGGCGGAAUAUAUUUAGCAUGUGAUGUCUGAUCGUGACGUGCGACAAUCAUACUCCGGUGCAGAGAACCAGAACUAGCAAGUUCAUGGUUUUGUUAUCACGCACACUAGCAGCUCCAUUCGAUUCGUUUCACAUGCAAAACGAAUGGUUAGAUUAGUCUCUCUAACACUACAACCCAGUUCUUGCGAAUAGCCCGUAAUUUUUCAAACCAUUAGAUAUUGUAAUCAGUUUCAAGCACUCAUACUCUAGAGUUCGAGAUGAUUUUAGACCAGCGAAUUAAAGAUUAGACGACCCAUCUUGUUGCUAAUUAUGAAUGACUACUUAGUGUUGAGAUGACCGAACUUCACCAAUUCGUAUUGGAGAUGAGAUCACAUAUGAGUGGUACUUGUGCUCCCUCUUAUUCGCCCCACAGUUUAGGCAAAGACCUGCCUUCUCCUCCUCCUCCAGCACUUCUAUUCUAGAUGAAUUGUAUUUGAACUUAUAAAUAUUUAAAUUUGUAAUAAAUAUUUGAUUUUAUAUUAGUUUAAUUUUUUAAAUACCUUUUGUUUCUGCUUAAUAGAUUUUUUUUAAAUAUAUUUUUGAAUUAUUAAUGACAGGGUUACAAACGAACAUAGUUUGUCGGUAUAUUCCAAAAAGUUGAAAAAUAAUUACUGCAAAUAUCACUGUCAUUGUUUACUAACCGACAAAAUAACAUACAAUAUGUUUGACAAUUACAAGUUAAAUUUACCGAUGGACAUACUGACAGUUGAAAAAAAUCAUCAAUGCAAUGACAUGUGGUUUUUCUGUUAGUGAUAUGUUAUAUUCAAUGUUGGAAAUACUGAUGAAAUGAAGCAGGUAAAGUUUUUUUUUUGCAUGCUUUGUACAUUAUUAAAUGUAUCUGUAAAAUUAUUACCGAUAGAUCACAAAUCAUUAACGAGAGUUUUUUCGAUGGAAGAUUUUUGUCUGUGAUCAUGUCGUUAAGGACAUGAAGCAAAGAGUGAACUUCUUCCUAAUAAACAUGUGACUUGGGACGACAUAACAAAUAGAGAUUAAAGAGUCUUGUCGUACCUUGUUUUGCCCUCUUCUUGAGCCACAAAUAAGCAGUUAACAUUUGAUGCAAUUGAUGGUACUAAAAUGGCCAGCAUCGUUUUUUCAAGAGAAACAUUUGACUUCCUUGUAUUAUUAGCUGCAUGAGAGUGAAAAGAAUAAAGAUUCAACUCCGGAGGAAAAACAACAAUACAGAUCUUAUUAACAUUUGACUUUCUCCAAUGGAAACAUGACAAUACAAUUGCAAAGGCUGGCCCCUUCGACACCUAACAAGUAUCAAUAUCAAUGGUUUCUUUCAUGAAGUACAGAGCUUAUUAACUACAUCCUAGAGCAGUGGCAAACAUUGAAAAGCUUUUAUAAAUCAAUAUUUGAAAUGAAAAUUCUAAGAAAUUGUUACUGAGCAGAAAAAAGGCACCUAAUUCAUAUGCAUCAACACGAACAUAUAGAUCAUAAAUUUCACUCCUUUCAUAUUUGAUGUCUACUAAUUCCUUGUACCAUGUCAAACUGUUGAUAAUAGGUAUAUAAAGAACUGAAUGUUGAUGAUAACCAGAAAAACAAAGAACAAAGAACUUGCAAUAAAUUAAGAAUAAAGAGCAUAAUGUUUUUCAUAUUGGUUACUGCCAUCCCUUAGCUUUUAUUUAUAGAUGAAAUCAAUCACAACACAAUUAAGAAACAUAAUUAACAUAAACUUCUUCAUUUAUGGAGCUAUGUAACUUAUCCUAAAUAAGUUUCAUAUCUAAAGGUAAAAACUCACUAAACAACAUUAAGAUAAUGAUGUUACUAAUAGAUAAACAUUAAUGAAAGAUAAUAUAUGGCUGAGACAUUAAUUUCAGCUUUGGUGCCAUAACUUCAACACUCCUCCUUGGUUCCAAAGCUGCACAUUCCUAUCAUCUCCCUUAGAUCUUCAAAUCUAUCUUUAGCUAAAGGCUUGGUGAACAGGUCUGCUAAUUGCUCUUUUGAAGUGCAGUAUAUCAUCUCUAGUUCCCCUUCUUGCUGGAAUUGCCUGAUAGCAUGGAACUUGAUCUUCAUAUGCUUGGUCCUGUCAUGAAAAACAGAAUUCUUUGAAAUAGCUAUUGCUGAUGUAUUGUCACAAAACAAUUCUGUGGGACUUCGUUGAUCAAAGUCUAGAUCAUUCAGCAUUUUCCUUAGCCAUAUCAAUUGCUUUGCUGCCACAUAUGCUGCUUUGUAUUCUGCCUCUACAGUAGAAUGUGCAACCACUGAUUGCUUCUUUGAGUUCCAACAGAAAAUGCUUCCUCCAAUAGCAAAGCAAUAACCUGAGGUGCUCAUCAUUUCUUCAUCACUUCCAGCCCAAUCACUAUCAGAAAAACCAACAAGUUUAACAGAACUUGAUUUCACAAAAUGCAUGCCAAACUCUAAGGUCCCUUUCAGAUAUUUCAGAACUCUCUUGGCUGCAACAAAAUGGAUUUGACUUGGACUUUGCAUGAACCUAGAGAGGUAAUUGAUAGCAAAAACAAUGUCUGGACGUGUAGCAGUUAAAUACAACAAGCUGCCAACUAAACUUCUGUAGGCUUUUCCAUCAGUUUUGGGAGCUCCAUCCUCCUUCAUUAGCUUUUGUCCCAAUACCAUAGGUGUAUUGACUGGUUUGCAAUUUUCCAUUGCAAAUUUUUUUAGUAGCUUCGUUGCAAACCUCUUUUGACAUAGGAAAUAACCUUGCUCCGACUGACUUACUUCCAUGCCUAAGAAGUAUGACAACAAACCAAGUUCAUUCAUCUCAAACUUAUCCUUCAUGUUGGUUUUAAACUCCUCUACCAGCUGCUCCUUGUCUCCUGCAAUCAAUAAAUCAUCUACAUACACUGAUACGAUCAGAGUAUGUUUGUCAACAUUUUUCACAUACAAAGUUACUUCAUUCAUGCUUCUUUCAAAGCCUAAACUCAAAAGAUACCCAUCCAAUCUACUGUACCAAGCUCUAGGAGCCUGUUUAAGUCCAUACAAAGCCUUCUUUAGCAAAUAUACUUUGUUUGAUGUGAUCUCCUUUUCAAAGCCAUCAGUUUGUUCAACAUAUAUUUCUUCAUUUAGAACACCAUUCAGAAAUGCAGACUUAACAUCAAACUGAAAAAUAUGCCCACCAUUUUGUGCUGCUAGAGCAAGCAAGAGUUUUAUUGUAUCAAGCCUAAAUACUGGAGCAAAUGUCUCAGUGAAGUCAAUACCUGGCUCUUGUGAAUAACCCUUCACUACAAGUCUUGCUUUGUGCUUGUUGAUACUCCCAUCUGCAUUCAGUUUGGUUUUGAAAAUCCAUUUCACACUAAUUACCUUCUUGUGAACGGGUCUGUCAACCAACAUCCAUGUUUCAUUCUUUUCUAUCAUCAUGAGCUCCUCCUUCAUUGUAGCUAUCCAUACUUGUGAGUUGAUAGCUUCUUCAAAAUCUAUUGGUUCUACUUCAGCAACAUUGCACCUGCUGUAAAUGUCAGCUAAGGACCUUGUCUCCCUUACUGGUUUGUCAUUGACAAUAUCAUCAUCCUCUGUAGCAUCCAGUUUAAUUUGAUACUCUUGUUUUGUCUCUUCAAUUGAUGCAGCUUCCCAGUUCCAUGUACCAUUCUCUGCAACUUUUACAUCUCUUGCAAUCACAACUUUAUUAGAUUUCAUAUCAUAGAUUUUAUAAGCCUUAGAUUUUGUGUUAUAGCCUAUAAGAAUUCCCAUAUCAGCCUUUUGAUCAAUUUUUCUUCUCUUUACUUCAGGUUGCAAGACAUAGCAAGGGCUGCCAAAAACUUUUAAAUGAUCAACAUUGGGUUUAAAGCCAUACCAGAUUUCAUAAGGAGUUUCAUCUCCUAACACUCUUGUGGUCAUAUGAUUUAGAAGGUAAGAUGCUGUGUUUACUGCUUCUGCCCAGAAUUUUAAUGGCAUUUUCUUCUCAUAUAGCAAACAUCUUGCCAUUUCCAUCAAUGUUCGGUUUCUCCUCUCACUGACUCCAUUCUGUUGUGGAGUGUAGGGAACUGUCAGUUGGUGUUUGAUCCCUUCUUUUGCCAAGUAUGCCUCAAAUUAUGGAGAGGUAUACUCUCCUCCAUUGUCAGGUCUCAAUAUCUUCAAUCUGUUUCCUAUUUCUACUUCAACUGCUGCUUUGAACUUAACAAACUCAGUAAACACAUCAGAUUUUGAUUUCAGAAAGUAAACCCGGCAGUACCUACUAUAAUCAUCAACAAAUAGAAGAAAAUACUUUGAACCAUUCAAUGAUUCAUUAUGCAUCGGCCCACACACAUCUGUGUGUACAAGCUGGAGUUUUGACAGUGCUCUAUAUGCAAUGUCAGGAAAAACAACUCUAGUUUGUUUUCCUAACUGACAGGCUUCACAAAUACUCUUUUGUUCCUGUAUAUCUGGUAAACUGUGAGUCAUCUGCAGGUCAGCCAUUCUCUUUAAAGUUGCAUAAUUGAAGUGCCCCAACCGUUUGUGCCAAAGAACAGAUUCAUUGUUCUCAUAAGUGUUAGCACUUAAACAUACUUCUCUCCAAUCAACAUUAAAACUUCUGUUCAUCAUUUUUGCAGAAAGCAGUAGCACUCCAUUUUUAUUGUUAAUAUCACAUACUCCAUCAUUAAAGAUUAUUGAGUAACCAGAUUCAAUUAAUUGUCCCACACUAACUAGAUUCUGAUUGAUCUUAGGUACAUAAAGAACAUUUUUAAGAGUUUUUGUACCUGACAAUGUUUCUACUUAAAUUGCUCCUUUUCCUUCAACCUUCACAUAGUCUCCAUUGCCAAUUCUAACUCUAGAUAGAUAGCUUUUAUCCAAGUCUCUGAAUAAGCUCAAAUCUGCUGUCAUAUGGUUAGUGCACCCACUAUCAUUGAGCCAUGAUGAGUCGUUUGCCUUUGCUGUGUUACACAUCUCCUGUAUUGUAGCUAUGAAUAAAAGAUCUUCCUUAACUUUUGAACAAUCGGCUACUUGAGCUUGUUUUACUGUUCCUGUUUUAUUUUUGUAGAAUCUUUGAAUGUGACCAAAUUGCUUGCAGUUUCGGCAUUGUGCAUUCUUGAGCCAACACCAGGCUUCAAGAUGAUUUGUUUUCUGACAGAAUUUGCAAGCAGGAAAAUGUUCUUUCUUCUCUUUCCUUCUAGUGAAGUUGUUGUUGUUGUUGUUCUGUUGCCAGUUAUUGGAUUGCCAGCCUUUCCCUUUUUUCUCUUUUUCCUUCUUGAUUGUUUUUGUAAAAAUUCUUAGCCCGACUCUUCUCCUUGUAAACUGCAACAAGAGCUCCUUCACUUGAUCCUUCUUGUCUAUAAGCUUGCCUUUGCUCCACAGCUUGCAAUGCAUUUACAAGUUCUUGCAGGCUCAUUUAAGAGAAAUCUUUAGAAUCUUCUAAAGAGCAAAUUUUAUGUUUAAAUUUUUCUGGUAGACUUACCAUAACUUUCUAUACUAUUCUUGAAUAUGGAAAAUCUUCUCCCAAAAGUCUCACUUGAUUCACAAGUUUUGAAAUUUGAGAAGAGAAGUCUUUGAUGGUUUCAUUUUCUUUCAUCUUUAAACCUUCAACCUUUCUUCUAAGAUUUAAAAUCUGCAUCUUCCUUGACUUCUCAUCACCAUGAAAUUCUGCUUUUAAUUUAUCCCAUGUUUCUUUGGCAGAUUUACACGCCAUGAUCCUUGUGAAAAUGUCUUCACUAACAGCAUUAUGAAGACAGGUAAGAGCUUUGAAUCGCUUUGCCUUUUCUUCAGUAAAAAAUUUCAUCUGUGCAAUCGUAGGAUUGUUUCCUAGUGGAAUUGGUUGCUUAUCGCUCUCCGAUAUCUCCCACAAGUCAAAAGCUUUGAGAUAAGUUUCCAUUUUCACAGCCCACACACCAAAAUUCUGCCCUGUGAACACUGGUGUUUUUGCUGGAAAAUUUAUAGAAUCCAUUUCUUAAAAAAAAAUCACUUAAUCUCCCGUGUUUUACUCACUAUCCCUUCAAAGAAAAAUGCUUUGAUUUAACCUCACUAAUCUCUCGUGUUUCACUCACAAUUCCUUCAAAGAUCAAAGAAUGCUCUGAUACCAAUUGUUGAUAAUAGGUAUAUAAAGAACUGAAUGUUGAUGAUAACCAGAAAAACAAAAAACAAAGAACUUGCAACAAAGAAUAAAGAGCAUAAUGUUUUUCAUAUUGGUUAGUGCCAUCCCUUAGCUUUUAUUUAUAGAUGAAAUCAAUCACAACACAAUUAAGAAACAUAACUAACAUAAACUUCUUCAUUAAUGGAGCUAUGUAACUUAUCCUAAAUAAGUUUAAUAUCUAACGAAGUAAAAACUCACUAAACAACAUUAAAAUAAUGAUGUUACUAAUAGAUAAACAUUAAUAAAAAAUAACAUAUAACUGAGACAUUAAUUUCAGCUUUGGUGCCAUAACUUCAACACAAACAACCAUCCCCUUUUCCAGGAAUUCCAAUGAUUGCGUAUGCAGAGCAUGAACAAUUCCUCUUGCAUUCCAGUUCACAGGCUGCACGACUCUUGCUCUUGUCCAUUCAAGCUGCAGACGAAGUGUCCGGAAGACUGUAAUUCUCUAUCUUCACAAACCCUUCUCCAUGCUGGCACAACAAAGACGUCUGUAGCCGCUUCCUGACACAACCACCAGAUCCAUCUCUCGUAGACCAUUCCUUUGGGUACUUGGGCUCGAACCCAGGUAAACAGGCACAUCCAAAUCUAUUAUGAUUGGUAAGUUCACACGUACUAUCAGCACCACACAGUCCCUAAUAGUCGCACUGAAACAGUGGGGUCUUCCAGUAAUCCUUCCAGUACUGACCAUCACUUUAUCGCCAUGUUAACGCCUUUACAAGUCCUGGAUGAUCCACUAUUAUUCUUAGCAGAUAAGAAUCAUCAGGAACUGUGUAGACAAAGUACUUUUCGUCUGGAUCAUUUACAAAAGUGCUUUUGUAUAAGUCCAUCUGACUUCUCCAUGGCCAAGGGGGAGAUCUACUAAUUGGCUUUUUACCAUUAUAGAAAAAGAAUUGUGGCGAGCCAUUUGGGUUGAUCCUAACUGAAAAGUCCCUGAACCCAGGGUCUUCAGCUGAUCUCCAUGAUGUUAGGAACCGAUCAAUUCCUAAUUUUCGAUCCAGCACCAGUUUCAUUCCAGGAAGCAGGAUGUUCGUAGGAUAAUCGAAGCUUUGCCAUACAGUUUUCCUGCUUCUUUUCCUGACCAAAAUCAAAUUUCCUGAAUCCAAGAGUUGAGCUGCACAAGUAUCAUUUUCUUCCACCGAAACAUUUGUAGACCACACUGGAAGCUUUUGGUCAUCUUUCCCAUGGAGAACGAGGUUUCCAUAUUGGUUUGUAAAGAGAAAUCCAGAGGAACCAAUGAUUGGAUCGUUCGUUUUUGCAACCCACACCACAGUUUGUUCUGGUAUUUUAUGGUACCAAAUUCCAAGAUAUCUAUUGCUAAAACUGCCAGGACUGAAAAAUCCUAGUGCGAAAAUAUUUUUCUUUGGAGAUAAGAAGGUCACCUUCUUUACUGGUUUGGUUCGUCUUUAAGGAGUCUCGGGAUGUAGAAGAUGAGAAAUGGAGCAUUAUAAGAGAAAAAAGCAGGAGCAGUUUUUCAGCUUCCAUGAUGGGGCAAACUGGACCUUGGCUUUUGGACAAGUGAAUUGUUGCUUUGUGGAGAAAGGAGAUGGUCUUCAGACAAGUGUGGGACCAUUAGAGAAGCAGCGUGAAAAAAAUGGUUUUUUUUUUUGUUUAUAGUGGUAAUGAUUUUAAAAAUAAAAAGUUAAAUGUAUUAAAAUAAUUUUUUUAUUUUUUUUUUAAUAUUAACCUAUUAAAGUAAUACAAAAAUAUAAAAAAAUUAAUUUUAAAUUAAUUUUUUUAAUUUUUGCAAAUCUUCAUUUAGACCACACUCCCAUGUCAUCAUAUAAUCGUGUCCUUUGUAUUCUAUAUUCGCUAGAAGGCAACUCAACUUUUUUUUCUUUUUAUGUUUGAUUUUAAUUUAUAAUAAACUAAUUUGAUAUAAUAUAUAUUAUGGUGAUAUCUAAGAUUUCGGAUGAUUAUUUAAGACAUGUGUUCUCUAAAUACCUCAAAUUUGUGAAGCCAGCCACCUAAGUCCAGCCACCUAAGUCAACAAAGGUGGGAGUCAACAAUGGUGGUGAAGCCAUCCUUCCUUAGUCACAAAUUGUAGGCACCAAACUUGUGCCACUUGCCUUGCCCCUUGUAUUUACAUGGAUGCUUGCCUAUAAAUAGGCAAUGCAUCCAAGCAUUGUAAACACACCACAAGAGAGAAAAUUGAGAGCAAGUAGAGUGAGUGAAGAGAGAGUAAUCCCACAAAAGUUGUGAGGUAUUUGUGAGAAAGUAAGUGAGGUGUUUUCUCCUAGUAAUAGAGAGAUUUCAGUUGUUCUCCUAUUGAUAGAGAGAGGUUGUAAUUCCCACAUUACUUAGUAAAAUUCUUCUAUACUUGUCCGUGGACGUAGCCAAAUUGGGUGAACCACGUAAAUUCUUGUGUGUCUAAUUUCUCAUUUUAUCCUAUCCUUUGCCUUUUAUCUUGUCGGGUUUGCAUGCCAGUAUCCUAACAGUGGUAUCAGAGCCUUCUGGUUGGUGUUGUUAAUACACAAAAGUUAUUCGUGUAUAUGGUUACUAUUCACGUCUACGGCACUAUUCACCUAUACGACACUAUUCAUCCAUACGGUACUGUUCACAUACGUUAUUGUUGGCGUAUAUAGAAAGUCAGUGCGGUGAUUAAAUACAGUCUAGGAAGUUCUGUCUAAGGAGAUUGGGUUUUAAGCGGGACCGUUUGUGACCCCUCCAAUCUUUCCUGGGAACUUACUUAGUGAAGUAUUAUUCACACGAUACUAUUUCUACAUACGUUACAGAUCUGUGAAACGGUGAUAGCUGAAUAGAUCUCGGUGAAUACAAUGGCAGCAAAGUACGAGAUAGAGAGGUUCAAAGGGAGCAAUUUCUCACUGUGGAAAAUGAGAAUCAAGGCAAUCUUAAGGAAAGACAAUUGCUUGGCAGCAAUUGGGGAUCGGCCCGCGGAGAUCACUGAUAAUGCAAAAUGGAAUGAAAUGGAUGGCAAUGCUAUUGCUAACAUACAUUUAGCAUUAGCCGAUGAAGUAUUAUCAAGUGUGGCGGAGAAGAAAACAGCUAAGGAGAUAUGGGAGACUCUAACAAAGCUAUAUGAGUCCAAGUCUUUGCACAAUAAGAUUUUCUUAAAGCGGAGACUUUAUACCCUUCGAAUGGCAGAAACCACGGCGGUAACUGACCACAUCAACACAAUAAGAACUCUAUUUUCACAACUCACUACGUUGGGUCAACAAAUAGAGGAAAGUGAACGUGCAGAGCUUCUACUUCAAAGUCUUCCAGAUUCGUAUGAUCAGCUCAUUAUCAACUUGACCAAUAAUAUCCUCACAGACUAUUUAGUCUUUGAUGAUGUUGCAGCCGCCAUCUUGGAAGAAGAAAAUAGGCGCAAAAAUAAAGGAGACAGAAAUAGUUCAAACCAAGCAGAGGCAUUAUUGGUGUCAAGAGGGAGAUCAACGGAGCGUGGCUCCAGUGGGAGUCAAAGGCAAGGGAGGUCCAAAUCAAGAAGCAAGAAGACUGUGAAAUGCUACAACUGUGGCAGAAAAGGGCACUUCAAAAGGGAUUGUUGGUUUAAAAAGGGUAUAGAGAACACUGCAGAGUCAUCAAAACCUCAAGGAUGUGUUGCAAGCACCUCAGAAGAUGGAGAGGUUUUAUAUAGUGAAGCAGCAACAGUCUCUACAGAUAGAAAAGAGCUCACAGAGGUUUGGGUAAUGGAUUCAGGAGCAACAUGGCAUAUGACUCCUAAUCGAGAUUGGUUUCAUACAUACGAACCCACCUCUGGAGGCUCAGUGUUCAUGGGUGAUAAUCAUGCUUUAGAGAUUGCUGGCAUUGGCACCAUCAAAUUGAAGAUGUAUGAUGGCUUAAUUCGUACUAUUACAGGAGUGCGUCAUGUGAAAGACUUAAAGAAAAAUCUUUUGUCCGUGGGACAAUUUGAUAGUCUUGGCUGUAAGAUCCGAACAGACAAUGGAAUAAUGAAAAUUGUCAAAGGAGCGCUGGUGGUUUUAAAGGCGAGAAAGACAGUUGCAAACAUGUUUGUAUUAAUGGGAGAAACACAUCAUGGGGCAGAAGCGUCAAUCGCAUCAGCCAGUCCUGCAGAAGAGAAGACGAUGAUGUGGCAUCAAAAACUAGGCCACAUGUCAGAGAAAGGUUUGAAAGUUCUCUCUGAUCAGAAGUUACUCCCUGGGCUUACAAAGGUUACUUUACCCUUUUGUGAGCAUUGUGUUACAAGCAAACAGCACAGGUUGAAGUUUGGCACAUCAACAACUAAGAGCAAAUGCAUCUUAGACCUGAUUCACUCUGAUGUUUGGCAAGCACCGGUUGUAUCCUUGGGAGGAGCAAGAUACUUUGUAUCAUUCAUAGAUGACUUCUCCAGGAGAUGUUGGGUGUAUCCAAUUAGAAGGAAGGCAGAUGUGUUCGCAGUCUUUAAAACUUUCAAAGCGCGGGUGGAACUUGAAUCUGAAAAGAAGAUCAAGUGUUUGAGGACUGACAAUGGAGGAGAAUAUACCAGUGAUGAAUUUGAUAACUUCUGUCAACAUGAAGGUAUCAAAAGGCAGUUCACAACGGCAUACACUCCACAGCAAAAUGGAGUGGCAGAGCGGAUGAACAGAACUCUAUUAGAAAGAACAAGAGCAAUGUUGAAGACUGCAGGUCUAGGAAAGUCAUUCUGGGCAGAAGCAGUCAAUACCGCCUGUUAUGUGAUAAAUCGAUCUCCGUCAACUGCAAUUGAGCUGAAGACACCGAUGGAGAUGUGGACUGGAAAACCAGCUGAUUAUUCUCGAUUGCAUGUAUUUGGAAGUCCUGUGUACGUGAUGUACAAUACACAAGAAGUUAGCAAGCUGGAUUCAAAAUCCAGAAAAUGUGUAUUCUUGGGAUAUGCUGAUGGAGUGAAGGGGUAUCGCUUGUGGGAUCCCACUGCCCACAAGGUAGUCAUCAGCAGAGAUGUUAUAUUUGCAGAAGGUAAAAUGCAAAUGGAAGAACAUAAUAGCAUUCCAAAGGAGACUACAGCAGUCCAGAUGGAAAAUACUCAAAAUCAUACUUCUUCUGAAGCUGCACCAGAGCAUGAAGAACAAGAACAAAUAGAGUCUGAAACUCCUGAAGUUCGACGGUCAACUCGUGAAAGAAGACCACCGGCUUGGCACUCAGAAUAUGUUACUGAGAGCAACAUUGCAUACUGUCUUCUAACAGAGGAUGGAGAGCCAUCAACUUUCCAUAAGGCUAUCAAAAGCACAAAUGUAUCUACGUGGAUGACAGCAAUGCAAAAGGAGAUUGAAGCUCUACACAAGAACAACACUUGGGAUCUUGUUCCGCUACCACAAGGAAGGAAGGCCAUUGGCAACAAAUGGAUUUACAAGAUAAAGCGUGAUGGCAAUGAUCAAGUGGAGCGGUACCGUGCAAGAUUGGUGGUGAAAGGAUAUGCUCAGAAAGAAGGAAUAGACUUUAAUGAGAUAUUUUCUCCAGUGGUACGACUUACUACAAUCAGAGUAGUCUUGGCAAUGUGUGCUAUAUUUGAUCUUCACUUAGAGCAGUUAGAUGUGAAAACUGCAUUUCUUCAUGGAGAACUUGAAGAAGAAAUUUAUAUGCUCCAACCAGAGGGUUUUGCUGAAACAGGCAAGGAGAACUUGGUUUGCAGGUUGAACAAAUCUCUAUACGGUCUCAAACAGGCGCCGAGGUGUUGGUACAAGAGAUUUGAUUCCUUCAUAAUUAGCCUUGGGUACAACAGACUUAGUUCAGACCAUUGUACGUAUUACAAGAGGUUUGAAGAAGAUGAUGUUUUCAUCAUUUUGUUGUUGUACGUGGAUGACAUGUUGGUAAUAGGCCCCAACAAAGAUCGAGUCCAAGAAUUGAAGGCACAAUUGGGUAGGGAGUUCGAUAUGAAGGACUUGGGACCAGCAAACAAGAUUCUAGGGAUGCAAAUUCACCGAGACAGAAGUAAGAGGAAGAUUUGGCUUUCUCAGAAGAAUUAUCUGAAGAAGAUCUUGCGUCGCUUCAACAUGCAAGAUUGUAAGCCAAUUUCCACCCCACUUCCUGUUAACUUCAAAUUAUCCUCAAGUAUGUCUCCUAGCAAUGAAGCAGAGAGGAUGGAGAUGUCUCGAGUACCGUAUGCAUCAGCAGUGGGAAGUUUAAUGUUUUCCAUGAUAUGUACAAGACCAGACAUUGCACAAGCAGUGGGAGCAGCUAGUCGAUACAUGGCAAAUCCUGGUAGAGAGCAUUGGAAUACUAUUAAGAGGAUCUUGAGAUACAUCAAGGGUACCUCAGAUGCCGCAUUAUGUUAUGGAGGAUCAGAAUUUACUGUCAGAGGUUAUGUUGAUUCAGAUUUUGCUGGCGACCUUGAGAAAAGAAAAUCCACUACAGGCUAUGUGUUCAUAAUUGCAGGAGGAGCUGUGAGCUGGGUCUCUAAACUUCAGACUGUUGUAGCUUUAUCCACAAUAGAAGCUGAGUACAUGGCAGCUACACAAGCUUGUAAAGAAGCAAUAUGGAUGAAGAAACUUAUGGAGGAGCUCGGGCACAAACAAGAGAAGAUUCUUUUGUAUUGUGAUAGUCAGAGUGCCUUGCAUAUUGCAAGGAAUCCAGCGUUUCAUUCAAGAACAAAACAUAUAGAUGUUCAGUAUCACUUUGUUCGCGAAGUGGUGGAAGAUGGAAGUGUGGAUUUUCAGAAGGUUCACACAAAGGAAAACCCAGCAGAUGCUUUGACUAAACCAGUCAGCACUGAUAAGUAUAUAUGGUGCAGAUCCUCUUAUGGCCUAGUAGAAACGUAAGCAGCAUGAAGAUAGCAAGUAUAGAAAGAAUAGAAGAAUCACAGAUGAUCAUGUGUGAAGACUUGAUUAAAUCAUCAAAGUCUUCAAGUGGGAGAAUGUGAAGCCAGCCACCUAAGUCCAGCCACCUAAGUCAACAAAGGUGGGAGUCAACAAUGGUGGUGAAGCCAUCCUUCCUUAGUCACAAAUUGUAGGCACCAAACUUGUGCCACUUGCCUUGCCCCUUGUAUUUACAUGGAUGCUUGCCUAUAAAUAGGCAAUGCAUCCAAGCAUUGUAAACACACCACAAGAGAGAAAAUUGAGAGCAAGUAGAGUGAGUGAAGAGAGAGUAAUCCCACAAAAGUUGUGAGGUAUUUGUGAGAAAGUAAGUGAGGUGUUUUCUCCUAGUAAUAGAGAGAUUUCAGUUGUUCUCCUAUUGAUAGAGAGAGGUUGUAAUUCCCACAUUACUUAGUAAAAUUCUUCUAUACUUGUCCGUGGACGUAGCCAAAUUGGGUGAACCACGUAAAUUCUUGUGUGUCUAAUUUCUCAUUUUAUCCUAUCCUUUGCCUUUUAUCUUGUCGGGUUUGCAUGCCAGUAUCCUAACAAAAUUUACUAGAUUAAUGAUAUUAUUGAAGAUGAUGGUUUUUCAAUUAAGAAAGAAUAUUAAUUUGGUGAAAUUGGCCAUAUUGUGAUGCAAAGAUAUUGUGAAUAUCACAAUACAUGACUUUAUUCUUAGUUUAUUGUGCAUGUUAUGAGAUAAAUUGAAAUUGAUUUGUCCUCCAAAAUCAUAAAUCAUAUAAUUGAGAUAGUAAAAUUCAAAAAAAAAAAUACUUUGUUGUUACUAAUCUUAAAAGGGAAAGAAUUGAUACAAUGGCGGACAUCAUAAGUUUUAAAUCCAUAAAACAACUAUUUAUUUUUUGUAUUUAAUUUUUUCAAUUUUUGUAUUAAUUUUUUCAAUUUUAUUCAUCUAGUCGAAUUGAUAGUAAUUUUCAAUUUUUUUAUUUAAUUUUUUCAAUCAUUGUUCAUCUAGUUGAAUUGAUUUUUUUUAAUUAAGGAUUUUUACAAGGACUAAAUUACAUAAAUGUUAAGGGUGUAAUUUCAUAUUUUAGAUUAGGACACAACUGUUUUUUAACUAACAAAUAUUUAUCGGACAAAACUGUUUUUUAACCUGUUAUACCCGCAAUCUAGUCAUUCAUCCCAUUGAAUUUAAUAACAUAUUUUUCAUUUUGUUACACAACAAUGCUUUUCUAUAUUAAAUUAAAAAAAUAAAAAGAGAAUGUAUGCAUUGCCUGAGCAAUGAACUCAAAAGCAUACCAAAUAAAAUAUCAUGAAGUUAAUAUAUUAUAUUUAUAUUUAAGCAAUUCAUUUAAUCUAACUAAAAAAACUGAACUUUUUGUUUUUAAAAAAACUAAAUUUAACAAAGAAAAAUAAAAAAAAAACCUAAGAGCUUCAACAAAUAAAAAACAAAAUGAACUGAAGCAAAUCUUCUAAAUUUAAAUUAAUUUCUCAAACUUAUAACUUAUUAAAUCCUAGAUUUAGAUUUAAUAAAGAAAUUUAAUUCAAUGAUAAAAAAUAAAAUAAAAAAAAAUCUAAAAAAAAAUUGUCAAAGCAAUAAAAGUAGCAAUAAAAAAAUAUUGAUCCAACUGAGGGUUCAACAUGGCUGAUCAUUAGCCUAUUUGGUUAUUUGUGGCUCAGGAACAGAGGGAAAAAGGUAAAGACAAAGCAAGCAUCAAAACAGAAGGUAGAUAGAGUAACUGUCCAUAAAAGAAUAGUUGACGAACACCACCCCUAUAGCAUAACAUAUGAUGAUGCUGUUAGGUUUCUUCCUUGACACUACGCAGAAUGGAUCAGUUGUUUAGAAUCAGGUUGGGAGUUUUAGCAGGGGGUACGUCUAGUGCUGAAGAGCUUGAUCUGUUGUGAUGUACAACAUAUUUGUUUUCAUUACAAAUCUAAUGGAACUUCAUAUUAGCAAUUAUUCAGACAGCACAGCUUCAGCGACAGGCAAUUUCAGUAAUUGUCACCUCAUUUAGAGAACACUGUCCAUCUUCUACGUCUAAUGCUAUAUCAGGAUUAUUGUCAGAUUUUCUAAAGAGGAAUGCAGGUUGUUUUGGAGAAGGAAUCUCUGUUUCGUUACUCAACAUAAAAACAACCGCCAACAUAGAUGGUCUGUCCGUGGCAUCUUCUUGCACGCACAGCAGACCAAUCUGCACGCAUUUCAAAGCUUCACGCGGAUCAUACAACUCCGUCAGUGAUGGAUCAACUAUCUCCAAUGCUUUUUCUUCUCUCCAUAAUUCCCACACCUGUAUUGUUCAUAUAAAUGAUUAACAUACAAGAAAUAAGAGCAGACAACAUCUAAAAUUGUGAACAUUGAAAUUCAGCCAAGAGCACCAAAGGCUAUCUUAUAACUCACAUAUCCAAUCAAGGUCAAAGGAGGAUUCUGUUGAUAAAAUCUAUUGUUCUUCCUGCCACUAACAAUCUCUAGCAACAUGACCCCAAAACUGAAAACAUCUGAUUUUGCGGAAAAGUUUCCAAACACAACAUAUUCUGGUGACAUAUAGCCACUGCAUCAGAAAAACAAUAGUAGUUUUAGUAUUCCUGGUAAUCAAGGAUAUUACUGUCACUCGGUCUUUGUUUUAGGCAAAGGUACUUACUAUGUUCCCACAACUCUCGUUGUCCUGUCUUCAGUUCGGUUGCCUUCAAAUAUUUUUGCCAUUCCAAAAUCUGAUAUUUUUGGGUUCAUAUCUGCAUCCAAUAGAAUGUUGCUGCAUUUUAAAUCCCUGUGAAUGAUUCUCAACCUGGAGUCUUGGUGAAGAUAUAAAAUCCCACGAGCUAUUCCAACAAUAAUAUCAAAGCGUUUUCGCCAAUCCAAUAACAAUCUUCUGCUUUCAUCUGUUGAAACAAUUAUUUUUCAGACAGGUAUAAUUUGACAACUAGUGUAAAUCAGGGCAAUAAAUACUUAAAAAGACUUACCGAAGAGAAACGAGUCCAAGCUUUUGUUAGGCAAGUAUUCAUAGAUUAACAUUUGUUCUCCAUCCUGAGUGCAAUAUCCUAGAAGUUUCACCAGAUUCCUGUGUUGAAGCAUUGCAAUUACCAUAACUUCAUUUUUAAAUUCUUCUGCUCCUUGUCCUGAACUUCUAGAUAACCUUUUUAUUGCGACCUCCAUUCCAUUAGGUAGCAGACCCUAAAAUCAUGUUACAAGAUUAAGCCUCUAAAUUACAAUUAUGCAAAUUAGAUAAAAACAAAUCUUAGUAGAAGUGCUGUUUAUCUAAAUGACAAGGGUGGCCAAAACCUUAUAAACAGAGCCAAAACCUCCUUGCCCGAGUUUGUUAGCUGGAGCGAAAUCGUUAGUGGCCGCCGUUAUGGUGCUGAGCUUGAAAUAUUCCAAUUCAGUAGAAGUGCUGUUUACCUGCAGUUCAUUACCUUUUUUUGCUCUCUUCUUGAGCCACAGAUAAGCAAACAGGCCAAUGAGAAACCACAAUAAUGCAAUUGAUGGUGCUAAAACGGCCAGCAUCGUUUUUUCACGAGAAUCAUUUGACUUCCUUUUAGUGUCAGCUACAUGAGAGUGAAAAGAAUAAAGAUUAACUCUAUAGGAGAAACCACCCCAUUUUCCAAUGGAAAUAUGACAAUACAUAUGGCAAAGGGUAGCCCUUUUGGCACCUAAAACGUACCAAUAUCUAUGGUUUCUUUCUUGCAGUGAAAGCAUAGGAAAGCUCUCAUAAAUCAAUAUAUGUAAUGACAAUCCUAUGAAGUAGUUACUGAGCAGAAAAAGGGUACCUAAUUCAUAUGCAUCAACACGAACAUACAGAUCAUGACUGUCACUCCUAUCAUAUUUAACGUCUACUAAUUCCUUGUACCAUGUCAAACAACCAUAAUUUUUUCCGGGAAUUGCAAUGAUUGCGUAUGCAGAACAUGAGCAAUUCCUCUUGCAUUGCACUUCGCAGUCUGCAAGACUCUUGCUCAUAUCCACCCAAACUGCAGCUGAACUUUCCGGAAGAAUUACAUUUUCCACCUUCACAAACCCUUCACCAUGCUGGCACACCGAAGACGUAUGUAGUCGCUUCCUGACACAACCACCGGACCCAUCUCUCGCAGACCAUUCCAAUGGGUACUUGGGCUCGAACCCAGGUAGACAGGCACAUCCAAAUUCAUUUAGAUUGGCGAGUUCACACGUACUAUAAGCACCACAAUGUCCAUAAUAGUCCCACUGAAACUGAGGGGACUUCCAGUAUUCCUUCCACUGACCAUCACUUUCUCGCCGUGUUAAAGCCUUUACAUGUCCUGAAUGAUCCAGUAUUGAUCUUAGCAGAUAAGAAUCAUCAAGAACUGUGCAGACACAGUACUUUUCGUCUGGAUCAUUUACAAAAGUGCAUUUGUAUAAGCCCAUCUGAUUUCUCCAUGGCCAAGGGCGAGAUCUAAUAAUUGGCUUUGUACCAUUAUAGACAAAGAAUUGUGGCGAGCCAUUUGGGUUGAUCCUAACUGAAAAGUCACCAAUCCCAGGGUCUUCAGCUGAUCUCCAUGAUGUUAGGAACCGAUCAAUUCCUAAUUUUCGAUCCAGCCCCAGUUUCAUUCCAGGUAGCAGGAUGUUCGUAGGAUAAUCGAAGCUUUGCCAUACAGUUUUUCUGCUGACCAAUAUCAAAUUUCCUGAAUCCAUGAGUUGAGCUUCACAAGUAUCAUUUUCUUCCACUGAAACAUUUGUAGACCACACAGGAAGCUUUUGGUCAUCGUUACCAUAGAGAACGAGGUUUCCAUAUUGGUCUAUAAAGAGAAAUCCUAAGGAACCAAUGAUUGGAUCGUUCCUGUUUGCAACCCACACCACAGUUUGUUCUGGUAUUUUAUGGUACCAAAUUCCAAGAUAUCUAUUGCUAGAACUGCCUGGACUGAAAAAUCCUAGUGCGAAAAUAUUUCCUUCGGAGAUAAGAAGGUCACCUUCUUUAAUGGUUUGGUUCAUCUUUAAGGAGUCGUGGGAUGUACAAGAUGAGAAUUGGAGCAUUAAAAGAGAAAAAAGCAGGAACAGUUUUUCAGCUUCCAUGAGUGGGUAAACUGGAUCUCGGCUUUCGGAAAAGUGUUAAAUUUUGCUUUGUGGAGAAUGGAUAUGGCCUUCAGACAAGUCUCCAGAGAAGUUACGUGACGGAAUUAGGCAUCUCUUUAAUGAGAUACUCUUUUCAACCUUCAAAGUCUAGGCCAUGACUUGUUUUUGUUAAAGAAUCAAUCCAGAUUUUUUGGAAACGACACCGUCCUCUGGUUUUAGAAAUAUGUAGUGGGUUGAGACGCAUACAAAAACAACAUGAAAAAGAUAAUAAACAAAAAAAAAGAUACAAUUGCGUCGAAAAAGACAUCAUCAACCAUAAUAAUUAUGAUUGUAUGCUAUUAUAUACUAGGAAAAACACCCUAAACAAAGCUUAAAAAUUAAUAAAAUAUUUCUAAAAUAAAUAGAUAAAAAAAUCUAAAUCAACUUGAAAAUAUGAUAUUUCCAAAAUAGUAAUUUCUAGUGCUAGUUUGGAGGCCUUAGCGAUCUUAGAUGAAAAUAGGGAACAUGACUUCUAGAAUCAAAAUUUAUAUCCAUUAUCAUAAGGUCAUGUAUUGGAUGAAAAUCUCCUACAUCAGUUUUUUUGUGUUGAAAAUAACUUGUCUUUGAGUUUAAAUUGUUUUUAUCUUGUUGUCUUGAAUGCUUAAUCAAAGCUCUCAAACUCCUUUCCUUUCUUCCCUUAAGGUAUAUAACAAUAUUAGAUAUUAGCUUUAGUUCUUUAUCAAUAUAUAUAUAUUGUAUUUAUAUAACUCUUGAAUAAUUCUAUCUUUGUGAUAUUAGUAAACUUGUAAUCAAAAGAUCAAUAUAACCUAAAUCAAUAAUUUAAUUUUGUUGGGCAUCUUCUAUGUUCUAUUUACACUUAAUUUCUAUUUUAUUAAUAAGGACACCAUUGGUGACAUUAUUGCUCAUAUAUAUAUAUAUAUAUAUAUAUAUAUAUAUAUAUAUAUAUAUAUAUAUAUAUAUAUAUAUAUAAUUUGACUUCUUUGUUAUUGUUUGUUUCUGAGUUUUUUAGAACUUGAUUUUGGUUCUUGAGAAAUAAUUAGAGUUGUCAGUGCUACGCAAAACAAUAUGGAAGGAUUUGAUCUUUCAUGUGUUGGGUCUAACAAAUCUAAGCUAUGUGGUUUUAAUUGCAAGAAAAAUUGGUUUUUGAGUUCAAUUUAGGGUUUAAUGGGAAGAAAUUGAAGUCUGAGGGUUCAAUUACAACUUUGAAAAGCUAAUUUAGUUAGCUGAAAACAUGACAUGACAUCAUUAACAUGAUACGGUGGACGGAGUAAUGAUGUACCCUUUCAAUGAUGAAGCCUGAAAACAUUUUAAUAGGGUGCAUUCUUAGUUUUCAAUGGAAUCAAUGAACAUACAUCUUGGGUUAUGUAUAAACAAAUUCAAUCUAUUCAGAUCAUUUGUUGCUCCUUAUUCUUAUUGCCCGGUGAUACUCACGGUUUACCAAUUGUCAUUGGUCAUGUGUAUGAGGCUGGAGUUCAUGUUUUUAUCAACGGUCUCACUCAGUCCUAAUAGUCCAGUUAGAAUAUAGAUGUUUGUCUUCAGUGGUGGUUUGGAAGGAUUUCAGACCUCCGUGUAUCUUAGAGGCCAGGUGAGUAGAAUAUAUUCAGCAUGUGAUGUCUGAUCAUUUUAUGUGAUGACCACACUCUAGUGCAAAGCACCAAAACUAGCAAGUUUACAGUUCCGUUACCACACACAUCGACGACUUCAUUCCAUUUGUUUUGCUUGUGGAGUGGAUGGUAAAAUUCUUUUUCAAUUAUAUCUAUUUUUUUAUUUAUUGUUUUUUAUAAAUAUAUUUAAUUAACAAUAUUUUUUUCUUAGAGGCUACUAUUUUUGGACGCGAACCAAGCCUGAUGGAGCGAUUGAUGACCGCCAAAAAAGGAUACAACAACUUGUGGAUAACCAAGCUCAAUACUUUGUGGUAUAUUGUUUUCAACCAUUUUUUUAUUAACUUAGUAUUUUUUUUUAAUUUAAUGACUUUCCUUUUAAAGGAUACAUAUAACACCAAGUUAAAAGAGAGAUAUGGUGACAAUCCCUAGACCCAUCCAGAUCUCGAUCCAGAUUUGUGGUUGGAGGUAGGAUUGUCUGGUGGACCCGAAAGAAAUUGGGUGUAAGGUCUCUCUAACACUACAACCGAGUUCUUGCAAAUAGACCGCAGUGUUUCAACCAUUAGAUGCUCGCAAUUAGUUCUAAGCACUUAAACUAUAGAGUUCGAGGUGAUUUUAGACUAGUGAGUUAAAUAUCAAAUGGCCCGUCUUGCUGCUGAUUAUGAAUGACUCAGUGCUGAGAUAGCCAAACUUCACCAAUUGGUAUUGGAGAUAAGAUCACAGAUGGGUGGUACUUGUGCUCCCUCUUAUUCGCUCCACGAUCCAGGCUAAGAGUUGCACCGACCUCCUCCUCCAACACCUUUAUUCUAGAUUAAUUGUAUUUGUGCUUAUAAAUGUUUAAAUUUGUAAUAAAUAUUUGAAUUUUAUAUUAAUUUAACUUUUUAAUUAUUUUUUUCUUUUUAAUAGAUUUUUUAAAAAUAUAUAUUUUGAAAUUAUUACUAAAAGGGCUACCGAUGAACAUAGUCUAUCAGUAUAUUCCAGAAAGUUAAAAAAGAAUUAUUGCAAAUGUCACUGCCACUGUUUACUCACCGACAUAAUAACAUAUGGUUUGUUUGAUGGUUACAUGCAUAUGGUUUGUUUGAUGGUUACAUGUCAAAUUUACCGACAGACAUACUAACAGUUGAAAAAAAAUCACAAAUGGAAUGACAUAUGGUUUUUCUAUCGGUGAUAUGUUAUAUUCAACGAUAGAAGUACCGAUGAAAUGAAGCAGGUAAACUUUUUUUUUUUUGCACACUUUGUACAUUAGUAAAUGCAUCUGUAAAAUUAUUACUGACAAACCACAAAUCACCAAUGAGAGUUUUUGACAGAUGAUUUUUAUCCAUGAUCAUGUCAGCAAGGAAACUUACUGACGAAUUGUGAGAAAAAAUACUUAUAGAAAAUUAUGUCGAUAAAUCUAAAAAUUCUUGUAGUGUCUCAAAUUUUAACCCAAAACCUCAAAAACCUUUAUAAUUCAAUAAACCCAUAAUAAUUUACCUAUAACACUUCAAUUAAUCCAUCAAUCUAACACUAAAACACAAACUUUAAAACCCUAAACCUUAACAAAACCAAAAUCAAAGCUAAAUACCAUAAUUAUACACAUUAAAGCAUAACUCUUACCUUAAACACUUAUUUCUCCAAAUCUCUUUAUAUUUCUCUCUUUUCUCUUUUCUCUUCUUCUUCUUCUUCCACUUCUCUCUCUCUCUCUCUCUCUCUCUCUCUCUCUCUCUCUCUAUUUUAGAUUCUCUUUUUUUUCUCUUGCUUUUAUAUUUAUCAAUUUCAGAAAAGAAAAAAACACUUUAAGAUACGUUACUUAUAGGACUAGAUAUGAGUUGUGCACUAGACUGGUUGAUGACAUUGAUUUUUCAAAAAGAGAGAAGCAAAUAGCCAUGCCUUUCUUUUUCAUGCAAAAAUUACCACUAUAAACAUGUUAGAACCAGCUUAUAUUAGUUUUUACCAUGUCAUGAUCACAGAAGUCAUGAUAUGCAAAAAAGUUAAGCGAAGACAAAUAUUAUGAAUAUAGUUUUGUCUACUUCUUUUACAUCCAAGAGUAUGUGAAAAUCACAACAAGUUUUCUUAAAAAUGAAUGCAGGUUGUUUUUCAAAAGGAAUAUUUGUUUCACUACGCAUUCAACAUGUAAACAAUUACCAACAUGGAUGGUGUUAUACUAUAAAUUUUGAUGGGAAAUAGAUAAAAGAGAAAUAUGAUAACGAUUUGAUAAUUGGAUUAAUUGAAAGAAACUUAGAAGAUAGGGUUCUUGCCACAUAUAAAAGAAGGAAUAUACACACAAGAUUAACUCUACAAGCAAGUAUAAUAAGCCAUGUAUUAUAGACUUGAAAUCAUGGAUAUAACUCUAAAAGAUAAAAGAUUAUGGAUAGUUAACAGACAAUUAGUGGAUAACGCUGAAAGGUGGGAGAUAAUCAAGAAUUGAUGUCACUAUACAAGGAAGAUUGUAGGGAAGAUCAUCAUCAACAUUGCAAUUUUAUCUACUUCUCAAGACCUUUCAAACUUGAAACCAGUAGGCAAUAGCUUGUAGGCGAUAAUUUUAUAGGCGAUAACUUUGUAGGCGAUAAUCAAGAAAGCUUGCAAUUUUCUUUGUAAUCAGUAGGCUUGCAGUUUCAAUUCUAUAAACUAAAAAUACCAAAAAGAUGUCCAUUAUCCAAGAGUUCUAAUUCGUAGAUGUAAUCAAAGUAUGAAUCACUCUAUAAAUGUAAGUAUUCUUUUCUUAUCCUAAAUUAUUGAGUUCACUUUACAUUCAAGUUGUUGUAAUUAUUUGGUUACUUCUUCAAUUGAACUUGUCACGACCCGAAUCCCAGAUCCAUGAUGGGCAAUGCAGGAAUGGUGUCGAAAGGACACCUCACCUAUGCUAAGUCUUAAAAAAGACAUAUCAAAAGAACAAGUUAUUUAAAAAAAAACACAACAUUUUAUAAUCUUCAGAAAUAUUAUAUUAUUUAAAACUAAUGAAACUAAAUGAUAGUUCAAAACUUCUCAUUAGUAAUUAAAACAAAAACAAUAAUCUAUAGUACUCAUUACAUUGUCAAAAUCCAAACUUAAUUAAAUCAGGGAAAUAGUGGAGUGUCUAAGAGAUCGAAUCAAAACUAAAAGGAAAGCCUCGCAAAACAAGCAAGGCAUACCGACCAAACUAAAGAACCAGGAACACUCAAUAAAGUACACUUGUUAACAUAAACUAAGAACCUAAAUAAUAUUAAAAAUGAGGGGUGAGUUCAACCAACUCAGUGAGGAAAUAACAUUUUAUAUAUAUAUAUAUAUAUAUAGUUUGCAAGUUAAUUUAUCUUGAUAUAAAUAUAUAUUAAGCAUAUUAUCAUAAAGUAGUGGAAUACAUGUUAGAGAUUAGAUGACACCUAAAGGUGACCAAAUGACACUCAAAUGUGACCAGAUGACACCUAAAGGUGACCAGAUGUGGGAUGAUCAGUCGCCAUAGGCUGAUGUCUCUCUCACCAGCUAUGUGCAUAUAGGCUAAUUACUCUCCGUUAACAUGGAGUUACUAACAAGUCCUAUAUCAAGGUAUAAUAGAUAUUCACAGAAUCAUCAAAGAAAUGUAUAUCAUAUCAAAUAGAAUAAAUGAGUACUUGAAAAAUAGAGCAACAUAUAUAAAUAUUCAAGAGAUUAACUAGUCAUACUCAUCAUAUAAUCAAUAUACAUAUUUAUUUAUAUUAUAUGCAUAUUAAAGAUUAUUCCACUCACCUGAAAAAUAUAGAACUAAAAGAAAUGUCAAAUGAAAGACCUGAAAAUCCUAUUGAGGAUCGUUAGAAGAACCUACAACAAUAUAUGAAAUAUACUAAAAAAAACCCAAAACAACACAAAUAAAAGAUACCAAUGUAUAAAAUAAAACCAGGUUUAGUAUCCUAAAUUUAGGGACUAAAACAACAAUUUUCCAAAACAGAGACCAAAACAUAAGUUUACCAAAAUUGGAGGACCAAAUUGUAAAUACAUAACCAUACUGAAAUUUCACCCAUAAACCAUCCUCAAUUCUGUCUAGAACGAACCAGGGAUGUAAUUUUCAUAAAGUUCAGGGACAAAAAUGUAAAUUUCCAAAAUUGAGGGACCAAAUUGAAAAUCCAAAUCAAUUAUCAAACAGAGAUUCAUCAUCCUUAACCUCAUAAUAACACUGGUUCAGAAUCUCAAAAUACAUUUAGGGGUAAAAUUAUAAUUUUUCCAAAGUAUAGGGACUAAACUAUACUAUUCAUAAAUCAAGGAUCAAAAUAAACUUUCAUCAUCUUCAACCUCAAGACCAUUAUGUCCAGAUUUUCCAGCAAGGUUGAAAUGAAUUUCUUAACCCAUAAAAAUAAAUUUAAACAAAUCAACUCACAAAUCAUUACUUCUAACAACAUACUAAUCAAUCACCUAACAUUAAACCCUUAAUAAUCAUAAAUCAAUUUUAACAACAUAAAUUUCAAAUCCUUAUAAACCCUAAUCUCUUUUUUAAUCAUUCCAUAAACAAACUAUAAUUGAAAGUAAUAUGAGAGAGAAUCAAUUACUUACUACUUCCACCUUUCUUAAACCAAAAACUCAAGAUCAAAAACUAAAAUAUUUGGUUUGAUGAGGGGAGGGUCACGAUGGCCACAAGAAUUAGAAAAGAAAAAACUAAAAUUCUCUUGUAACUUUUCUUUAUAUACUUAGGUUAAUUUAGGUUGGGUUUGAGCUGAACUAGGCUUGAAUUUGAGCUAAAAGUUUGGGUUUUACAAAACUACUGUCUAUAUGAAAUUAAAUUAAUUUAAUCAUAUUCAUAUUCAUGCAACUCUGUAAUACAAAUUUAAAAUUAUAUGAGUGGAUCUAAGACUAAAUUUAGAGUUCAAAACAGUUAACUUAAAACUCCAAUCUUUAAGUUGUAAAGUAUUCUUAAUUAAUUGAGGCAGAUACAAAAAAAACUUAUAUCAAACAGAUGGCUUGUUCGUUGCAUGUUCUUGCACGCAUAACAACCCAAUUCGAAUGCAUUUCAAGGCUUCUUUAGGAUGAUACAACUCCUUGAGUGACAAAUCAACUCAUCUCUAAUGUUUUGUCUUUGUAUAAGAGGAGGGACAACAGAUGUCAAACAUAUCUCAUCUUGAUCAUUUACAAAACAAGUGUUCUAGGUCUUCCUGGGUGUUUUCAUGGCCAUGGGGUAGUUCGCCAGAUACGGUUUUGUGCAUGCAAGAAGACGCAAUGAGAAGACAUUCCAUGUUAGCUGUUGUUCUCAUGUUGAGUAGUUCUGGAGUAGCUAUUCCUUCUCCAAAACAUCCUCAUACAAUAUCUGAGGAAGAAGAAUACGACAAGGAACAACCCGACUUCGAUUCCACCUGUUGGCCUGCAUGCUGACAACACCAAGAUCCAAAGUUCAAAGUUAAAACUUCUGUUUCAAUCUUUACAUUCUAUUCUAGUAUCUUUCAGUGAACUUUCAUGCAUACCGAAAAGAAAAUUUCUUCAGUAGUAAAUUAAGGAUGUUCCAAAACCAACUAAAACUCAUGUCCCUAGGAGAGAGGGGAAGGCAAAGCGAAAACAUGACUAUUUAGGGAGGUUGAAACUGUUCUUCAAAUUCAGACAGCUCUAAUCUUUCAUUACUUUCUUUUGUUUUUCAGUAUCUUGGUAUGCUUUGUAUUUCAGCACAUUAUGACAAUUACGUAUUAUAUAGUUUAUAGCCUGUUAGAAUUCAUGAGAAACUGCCUCAGAAGUAUGAAACAAGUUUAGUUGGACUUAGUCUUUGAUUAUUGUUUUAUAUCAGAUUUUGCUCCUUUAUGUUCUGUUUUCAGUUAGUAGAAGUAGUGCCAAUAAUAUCUGAUUAUUGGUGAGAAUUUUUAGCUUUUUCAGUUUGGUUGUAAGCCUUUAAAUAGGCAUUCUUAUUUAUGAAAUUAUAUGCUCUCUGCUACAGCUCUUCUAUGUUAAAAUCAUCUAGCCUUCAACUGCAAGUUUAAUUGUUUCAAUCUCUGCAGCUUUAACAUAGCCUGCAUUGAAAUUUGGAAGAGAACAUUUGCAUGUAUGAACUUCCUGAAAAGAUUACUGUUAUAAUAAAAUUAGAGAUGCUUGUAACGAAUUAAAAAGAGAACAUUAGCAAUUAUUCAUAUCGUACAACUUCAGCGACUAGCAAUUUCAGUAAUUGUCACCUCAUUUACAGAACACUGUCCAUCUUCUACUUCUAAGGCUAAAUCAGGAAAUUUGUCAGAUUUUCUAAAGAGGAAUGCAGGUUGUUUUGGAGAAGGAAUCUCUGUUUCACUACUCAACAUAAAAACAACUGUCAACCACAGUUUGGAGAAACAUUGCUGCUGCUGGUGGACUGGCUGAAACUUUGGAGCAGAGCGCGGUUCGCGUUCAUGACGAAACGACGGGCUGUUUCGUAGCACAGACGAUGGAUAGUUCUGUGGGGCAGAUCGAAGGGCUGAUUUGUUUGAAGCCAUUUUGGGGAAAACUUGCUAGCAUUUUUGGGCAGUGUUAGUGUUCAAAGGCCUGCGAAGUUUGGUGGCUUAACUAAUCUAUGGGCGACGCAAGGUGAUGACAAAGGGAUCAGAUCAAAAUGGGUGUUGAUUCGGCCAUCAAAACCAUCGAUGGAAUGGCAGACUUGGGAGCAGGGGCCAGCGAAGCGACUGCUGGAGUUUCUGUAUUUUCAUCAAAGCCUAAAGGGAAGGAUGGGGCGAAAAAGAAAAGGAAGCAAUUCAGUAAGGGAGAGCCCAAACCUGCUGCUGACAAUGGAAGGUCAGACAAGAAGGCAAAUCGGUAAGGGUUUGAAACUGAAUUUACACUGCUUUUCUCUUGCGAUGGAAAUUACUUUGUGUGGGAUUAUUGCCCAAGAAGGGGAAACCUUGACGCUGUCAGUGUGGAAGAUGGUGUUGGGGAUGUGGCAUAUGUGAAUCUUAUGCAUGUGCUUGACGACCGAGAUGGAAUUUAGUCAUCAUGGGCCAACGUAUCGGUGAGGAUGUUGUCUGGCCUUGCUGCCUUGUUGGUGGCAGAACUUGGUAGUUUUGUUCAUCUUGACGAAGGAUUGUUCAGGGUGGUGGAAGCAAAAUUCAGCGACGAAGUUGGGGAAGAUUUGGUCGAAUGGCCAGACGAAUCUGGGAAGAUUUGGUGUGGCUUUGCUGCUUUGGGGGAGGCAGAAUUGAUGUCUUCGGAGGAGACCUUGACGAGGGACAGUGUAGGGUAAAGAAGACAGAAUGGAUGACUGAAACGAAACUUCAGUUGCGAGUGGCCAGCCUAGUCAAUGAGGAUUUGGACGUGGUCAAACUGCCUUGGGCAAGGCAGAAUUGGAGGAGUUUCGUAACUUUGACGAUGGAUGGAUCAUGGUUUGUUAGAACUCUAGGCGUGAGGAUGCGUCAACGAAAGCACACUACUUAGAAAUUUGGCAGCGAUGGACAGUGUCAGCCUUGCAUUAGCUGAGACGAAUUCGGCAGGAAGAGUUGAUUGUUGUACAAUGGACAAGUAAGCAAUAUUUAAAUUUUAUACUUGCAAUGUUGGCACACUGAAUGGUUGGAGAAUUAGAUGUUCGUAUGGGAGUUCAUGUGAUUCUUCAAAGGGAUUUUGUGUGAAUGUAUUUUGUGAAGAGGGAUGGAUACCUAGGAUGCUUGUGAUUAGUGUCCAAACUUCAUGAAAGCAUGCUUGCGAGUAUGAUAUGUUUGGCAUUUGUGGAAAACUAACUGGUCAAAACAGAAUUGUGUCACAGCUUGGUUUUGAAACAUGUUGACAAAGAAUUUGGUGGACUGAAUUGCUGUUGAAUGUGGUCAAAGCUAGAGGUUUUGUGGGGAGAAACAUGGAUUGUGACGAGGAACAGAUGCGGUGCAAGGGUACUUCAAAUCUGUCUGAUGAGGGCGUCAGGUUCUUUUGGUGGGGGUGGUUUGUAAUAGUGACAAAUGUGCACGAGGUGCACAUUUCGGUAGGCUGUCCAAAAUAGAGCCUAAAGGUGCUGGCAACCAUGCCAACAGUGGGAUAAAUCGGCAGCGCAGAUUUGUGCAGCUGUAGGUUCGUCAAAGGAAAAUCGGCAGCGCAGAUUGUUGAUGAACAUUGGUUGGACGAUGGACUGUCUAGGCCAAGCAGGAAAACUUGUCAGGGGAUAGGCUGACGAGAACAGGGGCUGUCGCAGAAUUCAGCAGCGCAGACAUUGGCAGCCUGCACGUAGAUGCGAAUUCGGCAGCGUGCAACAGCUUGUGCAAGUCGUUGGUUCGACUUGGCACGAUCUGAAACUUGGACGAAGGACUGUCCAAGGCAUGCGAGAGACCAGCAACAGACGCAGCAAGAACUGGCAGUUGGGACUGCUAGGUGGGCAUGCAGAACAUGGGUUAGUGGUAGUUAUGGAUAUCCAAGAUCAUGGGAUCAUAGAGGCUCAAUGUGGGGGCUGACCAGGGGUUGUUCUCAACCCACUAAGAUCAUGGGGGAUCAUGGGGGAAAACUUCACAUCACUUGGUAGAAAAUGGGACCACUAUGUUCAUGGGUGAACAUGGGUGAGAUAGUGUCUCACUACUUCCUUAAAUGUAGAAAUGGAAGUUGUACCUUGUAAAUGUUUGUCUAUAAAUAGUGUUUACAUCUCUUGGUUAAUGGGCAACAUGUAGGGGCAUGCAGCAACAUGUAGAACACGAGAUAGGGUUGUAAGCUUGGUGUAGCAUGUAAUCUUUGUGCAUAGCACACAUAAGGAUUUGUGUAUAGUUCCCUUUGUUUACGAGAUUAAUAAAGGUUGAGAAAGAGUUCUUGUAAAGCUUGUUGUACACUUUGAUUAACUCAUUCUACUUGUGUAUUCCGCUUGUCUUUUAACUUGGGAAAGUGGGGAAACUUAUCGAGUGAGGGAAAUACUUAGUUACUAGGUAAACACGAGUGAGAUUGGUGAGAAUAGGCUAAGUCUAGUGAGCGACUAGGUUGCUGCACGGGUUUAUUUAAGGAGCGAAAAUUUACCUCGUGACAGUCACUUUCUUUAUUUUAUUUUUUAAAAUUAGAAAUUAUCAUGAAAAAAAUAUAUUAUUAACUAAAAAAACUCUAUAAAUUAACAUAUGUUCUCCAACCUGAAUGCGACAGCGUAGAAGCUUCAUAAGUUCCUGAGGUGAAGCUUUGCAAUUACUGUGACUUUAGUUUUAAAUUCUUCUAUUCCUUGUCCUGAAUUUCUAGAUAACCUUAUAACUAUUAAGAAUGGUGGAGACAAAGUCCCACCACCAUUCUAGUACAAGAAGACCGCCACCAUUCGGUGGGUUGUUGGCAGUCAUGUUCAACAGUAAAUUGGCUGGAUUAAUCUUCUUCACCUAUUGAACCAGAAACCAGCCAUCAAUCCGACCCAAUCCAUAUGGACUGACCCAAACUAAAGAAUGAUGUAAGCAUGACAUCAUCAUUCCACGACAGAUGUCUAGUUAGUGAUCAAUCAGCUUGACACGUUAGCAAGAUGGACCAAUUAAUAUUUGAAGGAUGAUAUAAAGGUCAUUUCGGUGGGUGAUGAAGUUAAAGAAGAAGAAGGUGUACAUGUUAACUCAAUGUGAGUGCUGGAUUGCUAUGGGAGAAUUAAUUUGAGAAGUCAACCUUAUCAAAAUGAAUUUGGCAUGGCUUCAUGCCUUGAAGAAAGACAUUGUAAUCCUCCGGUAGAAAACUUUACCAUGAUUAAUUAAAUAGUGAGAAAUAUAAUAAAAAUAUUGGUAAAUUGUAAAUUCUAGAUCAAAUUUUAUAAUAUUAAUAAAAAUAUUAAUAAUUUAAACCAUUGAUAAAAUGGGUUAGUUGAAAAAUAAAAUGAAAUAGGAUUAAUUGAAUCAUUAGAAAAUAAAUUUUUGAGAGAUAUUUUUAGGCUUGCGGUUAAACCAAAAGGUACCCAAACUUCACACGUACUAUAAGCACCACACAGUCCAUAAUAGUCGCCCUGAAACAGUGGGGCCUUCCAGUAAUCCUUCCACUGACCAUCACUUUCUCGCCAUGUUAACACCUUUAGAAUGAUCAGGAACCGUGUAGACCCAGUAUAUCAUCUGGAUCAUUUACAAAAGUGCUUUUGUAUAAGCCCAUUUGACUUCUCCAUGGCCAAGGAGGAGAUCUACUAAUUGGCUUUGUACCAUUAUAGACAAAGAUUUGCGGUGAGCGAUUUGUGUUGAUCAUAAGAGAAAAGUCUCCAAUCCCAGGGUCAUCAGCUGAUCUCCAUGAUGUUAGAAACCGAUCAAUUCCUAAUUUUCGAUCGAGCCCCAAUUUCAUCCCAGGUAGGUGGGUGCUUGUAGGAUAAUCGAAGCUUUGCCAUACAAUGUUUCUGCUUCUUUUCCUGACCAAUAUCAAAUUCCCAGAAUCCAAGAGUUGAGCUGCAAAGAUAUCAUUUUCUUCCACUGAAUCAUUUGUAGACCACACAGGAAGCUUUUGGUCAUCGUUACCAUAGAGAACGAGGUUUCCAUAUUGGUUUAUAAAGAGAAAUCCUGAGGAACCAAUGAUUGGAUCGUUCCUGUUCGCAACCCACACCACAGUUUGUUCUGGUAUUUUUUAUGGUACCAAAUUCCAAGAUAUCUAUUGGUUGAACUGCCAGGACUGAAAAAUCCUAGUGCGAAAAUAUUUCCUUCGGAGAUAAGAAGGUCACCUUCUUUAAUGGUUUGGUUGGUCUUUAAGGUGUCUUGGGAUGUACAAGAUGAGAAAUGGAGAAUUAUAAGAGAAAAAAGCAGGAACAGUUUUCCGGUUUCCAUGACGGGGCAAACUGGACCUUGGCUUUUGGACAAUUUGAAUGUUGCUUUGUGGAGAAAGGAGAAGUUCUUCAGACAAGUGUGGGACCAUUAGAGAAGUAACGUGAAAGAAGUUGUUAUUGUGGGAUUUUCCUUUCCAUGGACGGAUUUUUUUAGAAUAAUAUAGGAAUAGUGGUUGUUUUUUUAAAUAUUUUUUAUUUAAAAAAUAUAUUAAAAUAAUUUUUAAAAAGUAUAUAUAUAUUAAAAUAAUUUUUAUUUUUUAAUAAAAUUUAUUUUUAAUACCAACAAAUUAAAAUGAUAUAAAAUAUAAAAAAAAUGAUUUAAACAAUAUUUUUUAUAAAACUUUUGUAAAUCUCUAUUCAAACCAUACUCGAGAUUAUCUUAUCCGUUGUAUACUACAUACCCUACUCGAAGGUCACUCAAUUUUUUUCUUUUUAAUUUUGAUUUUAAUUUAUAAUAAACUAGUUUGAUAUAAUAUAUAUUAUGUUUAUAUCUAAGAUUUUGGAUAAGAUAUUGUCAUCUAGCCAGGUGGCACGCAUCGUUUGGCAGAGACCACAGGGGUAGGAAUUUUUGCCUUAAGGUGUUUUUUCUAUUCUGGCUUUUCAGUCUAAGUUUUGUAUAGUUGUGAGACCUUUUACUUAGGGUAAGUGAAAAUAUCAUAUUCUCAAUUAUGAGUCUGAUGAAAAUAAUAUUUAUUUAAUAUUCUAAUAUUUAUUUGAUUUGAUUUUUAUUAGUUAUGUCAAUUAAUUUAUUAUUUAAAACAAUGUUAUAUAUACUUUAGUGGCAUUCCAUAAUUGAUAUUUAAAAUUUAUUAAAUCAGAAUUAUUUUUAUUGUUUAACUACAAUUUUCAAAUUUAAGAAACUUUGAUUUAUUAAUUUCCCCAUGCACUGCAUCACUUGAACUGUAGUCUUUAGGGUUUUCUUUCAAGUGGGAAGCAUGAGAAAAUAAACAUGAUACAAGCAUCAAAACUAACAAAUAUCUAUCGGACAAAACAGUUUUUUAAGAACUGAUAUCGUUUUUUUUAAGGAAAAAAAAUCAAUCAUUAAUAUAAGAAUUGACACAUAUUAGAAGAUACUGUUUUUAAUACUAAGACAGUUAUAUAUUAAAAUUUAUUUUUUAAGUAUUAAAAUAAAAAUAUAUCAAAUAAAUAUGGGUCAACCUGAAUCAAUCAUUUAAAUUUGCGAUAAAAGUUAUAAAACCACAAUAACCUCAUAAAAAAAUAAUCAAAUAAUUAUGUUCAAUUCAAAAGCAAUCUAAUAACGAAAAAAUGAAAUUCAAAAUUAAAACACUCAAUUAAAAAAAAGUUUUUAAAAAAUCUAAAUAAAUCCAAGUCAAUUUAUUAAAUCCAUGAUUUGAAUUAUCUAUUCCACUAGAUUUAAAAAAAUCUAAAAAUAAAAAACAAACAUGACAUCAUGUAUCAUGUGGGAUUAAAAAAGAGAGGCAUUCAACUAACAAAGGUUUUCUAUAUUUUUUUUAAUCUUCAGGGGGCUGAAAAUGCAUUAAGUAAAAAAAAAAAAAACAAUUAACAAUCCAUCUAGGGGCACGACCCACUACCCACCUGACCUAUACAAAAAUAAAAAUUAAAAAUAAAAAUAUUUAAUGAAAAACAAGUUUAAAAAAAAUAGAAAUAAAACUGAGUUAAUCUAUUAUACCCGUAAUUUAGGUCAUGCAUUCCACUAAAUUUAAUAACAUAUUAUUUAUUAAGUUAUUUUUUAUUUUGUUAUACAUCAAUCAAGGAUGCAAGAUGUUUUUUUGUAUCAAAUAAAAAAAUUAAAAUAAAACAAACAGGAUAGGCAUGUGGAACAAAACAAUGGUCUAUUUUUCAAAGUUAAAUAAAAAAAAUAGUUUUUUAUAAGCCAAUUUAAAAAGGAAAGGAAAAAAAGAAGAGGUCGCAUGCAUCACCUAUGCAAUGAUCAUAAAAGCAUACCAAAUAAAAUAUCAUGCAGUGAGGAUAUGAUAUUUAUAUCUAAACAAUUCACUUAAUUUAACUAAAAAAAUAUUAAAAAAAUUAAGAAAAGCUAAAUUUAACAAAAAAGACAAAAAAAGGACUCAAGAAAACCUAAGUAAUUUUUAAAAUUAGUAACAAAACCCUAUAAACAGUAAAUAAAAAAAAUGCAUUAUUUAAUUAAAUCAAAUGUUGAAUGAUGAAACUUAAAAAAACAUGAGUUUAAAAAAGAACAAAAAAUAAAUCGGAACAAAUCUUCUAAAUCUAAGUUAAUCUUCUAAAUUUAUAACCUAUUAAAUCUUAGAUCUAGACUCAAUAAAAAAAGCUCAAUUUAAUGUUGAAGGAUGAAAUAAAAAAAAUCAUAAUUUUUUUUGUCAAAGCAAAGAAAGAAGCUAUAAAAAAAUAAAGGUGGAUGAAAUCGUUAAAAAAAAUAAAUUUUAAAAAUGAUCUCAAAUAAAAUAAAUAACAGUUAAAAGAAUAGAUACCAAAUUUGAUAGAUUAAGAAAAUUUUAAGGAUAAUGAAAUUGACAAUAAUCAAAUGAAAAAAUAAGAAUCAAAUCAAAAGGAAAAAAAAUGCCAACCAGGGCCAAAUUACUAAAUGGACUUACAUCACACGCACCACCUAAAGAGAUAGGCCAUACUAUAAUGAAUUGAAAAACACUAAAGAAAGCUAUUUUUGAUAGUUGUAAGCCACCACACAUACCUAUUAGACACGAUAGAGAGGUGUAUUCACUAGCAUGUUCAAUUAAUGCAUUAACCUUUUUUUUUCUUUAUAUUUAUUAAAAGACUAAAUUGAUCACAACGACAACAACAACAAAAACAAAAAUAAAAAGAAAGUAUGAAUUAGCCCUUAGAGGCAUCGUUAGAAAAUUUUGAUUUCAAGGACAAUAUAAUCAUUUUAUCGUGCUAUAAAAUAUAAAAUAUAAGAAAUGCCUCUAAACCUAAGGAGCAUAGUUUUUUAAAGGCAUUUAAGUAAUUAUACUAUAUAUAAAAAAUAAAAAGACCAUGAAGCUCAUGAUUAAUUUUAUAAUGACUAAUAGAGCAUGCAAAAAGAUCGCAUUACCCUUGAGAGAUAGACAAAGUUUUUCGGUUGAAAAGGGAAAAGUAGUAAAUUCACUACUAUAAUCCAUAAUAAUUCAAGACAUAUUUAUAGUAAUUUUUUCAUGGGGUUUAGGUUUUUGUUAAUUCUACAUGGAAAUCAGGAGUUGAUGUAUUUACAAUAAUCAUUUAACUGGCUUGGUAUCUUGUAUAAUAUAUAUAUAAUUGCAAAACAAAUUAGAGAUUUCCUUGAGUUUAUUAUUCUAGAAAUCAACGCAAAAAAAAUAAUUUUUCAAUUAUUAUUUUUUUAUAUAAAUUUUAAGAUGAAAGGAUUAAAAUUGAUAUCUAAAAUUAUUAUAUAUUUAAAAACUAAGGUUGUCAAUUCCGUUUCGGUAGGUGUUUUGUUUUUUCAAUUGGAAUGGAAUGUUUCAGUUUCGGAGUGUUUCGGCAUGCCAUUUCGUGGUUGUACUGUUCAUAUAUAUAUAUAUAUAUAUAUAUAUAUAUAUAUAUAUAUAUAUAUAUUCAACAAAUAUAAUUCAAAUUCAAGAUAAAUUAAUUAUAAAUUAUGCAAUACAAACACAAUGUCAAACAAAUAUAAUUUCAAAAUUUAAAAUAUUUUUAAAUAGUCAAGAUUAAAUAGAUCUUUAACUUAAAGUAAUUCAACUUAAACAAAAUAUCAAAAUAUUAUGAAAGUAAAAUGUUUUAACACAAAUAUUUUAAAUAUAAAGUUAGGUCAAUGUUAUCAAGGCUAAUGGAAUCUAAAGCAUCCCUUGUUUUGCUCAAAUUCCUACAAAGUAUAAACAUGAAAAAAACAACAUGAAUAUAAACCAUAUAUAUUAGUGAUAAAUCUAAUUUUAAAAAAUUAAUAUCAUUGUUAAUGAAAAUAGUAAUAAUAUUUUUCAAUAUUAUUAUUAAUAUCAUUGUUAUUGAAAAUAGUAAUGAAAAUAGAUUUUUAUACUUGGGUGGUUUAAUUAAUUAAAUUGAACAAGGUUUAAUUUGAUUCAAUGACUUUUCAAGAGCGGAAUAGAACAUGUGGAAUGGAACCGGAAUGUUUCGGCCAAAAUUUAGCUGAAAAAUCCGAAACGGACCGAGAUUUAAAAUGAGAUGAAAAUUAUUCCAUUUUGUUCCGUUUUUUGAAUUGAUAUGGAAUGUUUCGGUCAUUUCGGGCGAAACGGAUUGGAAUUGACAACCUUGUUUAAAACAAAGAAUGCAAAUGGAUUGAAGAGUUUUAAUUUGGCAUGCACAUGAUCAAGAUAAAAACAAUUUGAACUCCAUGACGAGUUCUUUCUAACAAAAGAAGACUAAUGAAAGAGAUUACUAUUCAGGAUCAAGGUAAAAGAUUCCAAAGGCUUUGUUUUUUUAAGGGUAAAAAGUUCAUACUCAUCAGAGUUCAGAAGGGUCCAAAAAUUACUAUUCAAGAUUUUCUAUCUUUUCUAGUUAAUUUAUGAUUUUUUUUAUUUAGAUUAAAACUUUUUUAUUAUUUUUCAGCUUUAAUGAAGAUGUUUUUCCUAGUUUUCUUAUUACUUUUAUUAUUUUUUCUUUAUUUUCAGGUUUUAUUAUUAGUUUAGGUAAGUUCUUAGGUUUAUUGAAGGAAUUGUAAACCUCUUAGAGUGAUAGAUUAUUUAAAAAAAAAUAUUCAGUUAUAAAAUUAUAAAUUAGGGUUUUUUGUGUGAUUUUGUUUAGCAUUAUUUUGUAUUCUUGUGUUUGUUGUUUUUCUUGUGUUGCUUCAAUUUGCAUGAGUAGUAUACAAAAUUCUAAUUCAUAAUUUUAUUAUUGAUAAAAAUUCUAUUUAUACUUGAAAAAAUAUCUUAAACAAAACUGAAAAAAUAAUAAAAAUUCCAAAUCAAAUUAAAAAAAAUCUUAAAUCAACUAAAAAAAUACUGCAAAUCCCAAACAAUAAUUGCCAUGGCCCGGACAUGCUCGAAUUUUUGUUAUGAAGAGCUUGAUCUGUUGUGAUGCACAACAUAUAUGUCCCAUUGUUUUCUGCCGCUUUAAAAUAUUUGUUCUGACUGUCUUGAGGAAAGGCAUUCACUAUCGUUAGCAAAUCCAAUGGAACUUCAUAUUAGCAAUUUUUCGGAUAGCACAGCUUCAGCGACAAGCGAAUUCAGUAAUUGUCACCUCAUUUACAGAGCACAGUCCAUCUUCAACGUCUAAUGCUAUAUCAGGAAAUUUAUCAGAUUUUCUAAAGAGGAAUGCAGGUUGGGAGUUUUAGCAGGGGGUACGUCUAGUGCUGAAGAGCUUGAUCUGUUGUGAUGUACAGCAUAUUUGUUUUCAUUACAAAUCUAAUGGAACUACAUAUUAGCAAUUUUUCAGACAGCACAGCUUCAGCGACAGGCAAUUUCAGUAAUUGUCACCUCAUUUAGAGAACACUGUCCAUCUUCUACGUCUAAUGCUAUAUCAGGAUUAUUGUCAGAUUUUCUAAAGAGGAAUGCAGGUUGUUUUGGAGAAGGAAUCUCUGUUUCGUUACUCAACAUAAAAACAACUGCCAACAUAGAUGGUCUGUCCGUGGCAUCUUCUUGCACGCACAGGAGACCAAUCUGUAUGCAUUUCAAGGCAUCACGCGGAUCAUACAACUCCGUCAGUGAUGGAUCCACUAUCUCCAAUGCUUUGUCUUCUCUCCAUAAUUCCCACACCUGUGUUGUUCAUAUAAAUCAUUAACAUACAAGAAAUAAGAGCAGACAACAUCUAAAAUUGUGAACAUUGAAACUCAGCCAAGAGCACAAAAGGCUAUCUUAUAACUCACAUAUCCAAUCAAGGUCAAAGGAGGAUUCUGUUGAUAAAAUCUAUUGUUCUUCUUGCCACUAGCAAUCUCUAGCAACAUGACCCCAAAACUGAAAACAUCUGAUUUUGCGGAAAAGUUUCCAAACACAACAUAUUCUGGUGGCAUAUAGCCACUGCAUCAGAAAAACAAUAGUAGUUUUAGUAUUCCAGGUAAUCAAUGAUAGUACUUUGUCACUCGGUCUUUGUUUUAGGCAAAGGUACUUACUAUGUUCCCACAACUCUCCUUGUCCUGUCUUCAGUUCGGUUGCCUUCAAAUAUUUUUGCCAUUCCAAAAUCUGAUAUUUUUGGGUUCAUAUCUGCAUCUAAUAGAAUGUUGCUGCAUUUUAAAUCCCUGUGAAUGAUUCUCAACCUGGAGUCUUGGUGAAGAUAUAAAAUCCCACGAGCUAUUCCAACAAUAAUAUCAAAGCGUUUUCGCCAAUCCAAUAACAAUCUUCUGCUUUCAUCUGUUGAAACAAUUAUUUUUCAGACAGGUAUAAUUUGACAACUAGUGUAAAUCAGGGCAAUAAAUACUUAAAAAGACUUACCGAAGAGAAACGAGUCCAAGCUUUUGUUAGGCAAGUAUUCAUAGAUUAACAUUUGUUCUCCAUCCUGAGUGCAAUAUCCUAGAAGUUUCACCAGAUUCCUGUGUUGAAGCAUUGCAAUUACCAUAACUUCAUUUUUAAAUUCUUCUGUUCCUUGUCCUGAGCUUCUAGACAACCUUUUUAUUGCAACCUCCUUUCCAUUAGCUAGCAGACCCUAAAAUCAUGUUACAAGAUUAAGCCUCUAAAUUACAAUUAUGAAAAUUAGAGAAAAACAAAUCUGUAGUAUUGAGAAGCCAUUUAGUUUUUAGCUAAAUGCAAGAAACGCUACCUUAUAAACAGAGCCAAAACCACCUUGCCCGAGUUUGUUAGCUGGAGAGAAAUUGUUAGUGGCCGCCGUUACGGUGCUGAGCUUGAAAUAUUCCAAUUCAGUAGAAGUGCUGUUUACCUGCAGUUCAGAACCUUUUUUGGCUCUCUUCUUGAACCACAAAUAAGCAAACAGGCUAAUGAGAAACCACGAUAAUGCAAUUGAUGGUGCUAAAACGGCCUGCAUCGUUUUUUCACGAGAAUCAUUUGACUUCCUUUUAGUAUCAUCUGCAUGAGAAUGAAAAGAAUAAAGAUUAACUCUAUAGGAAAAACCACCCCAUUUUCCAAUGGAAAUAUGACAAUACAUAUGGCAAAGGGUAGCCCUUUUGUCACCUAAAACGUACCAAUAUCUAUGGUUUCUUUCCUGCAGGGAAGAGCUUAUUAACUACAGUCAAGAGCAGUGACAAGCAUAGGAAAGCUCUUAUAAAUCAAUAUUUGUGAUGACAAUCCUAUGAAGUAGUUACUGAGCAGAAAAAGGGUACCUAAUUCAUAUGCAUCAACACGAACAUACAGAUCAUAACUGUUACUCCUAUCAUAUCUAAUGUCUACUAAUUCCUUGUACCAAUUCAAACAACCAUAAUUUUUUCCGGGAAUUCCAAUGAUUGCGUAUGCAGAGCAUGAACAAUUCCUCUUGCAUUCCACUUCACAGGCUGCACGACUCUUGCUCAUGUCCACCCAAGCUGCAGCUGAACUUUCCGGAAGAACUACAUUUUCCACCUUCACAAACCCUUCUCCAUGCUGGCAAAACGAAGACGUCUGUAGCCGCUUCCUGACACAACCACCGGACCCAUCUCUCGCAGACCAUUCCAAUGGGUACUUGGGCUCGAACCCAGGUAGACAGGCACAUCCAAAUUCAUUUAGAUUGGCGAGUUCACACGUACUAUAGGCACCACACAGUCCAUAAUAGUCGCACUGAAACACUGGGGCCUUCCAGUAAUCCUUCCACUGACCAUCACUUUCUCGCCAUGUUAACACCUUUAGAAGUCCUGAAUGAUCUACUAUUAUUCUUAGCAGAUAAGAAUCAUCAGGAACUGUGUAGACCCAGUAUAUUUCAUCUGGAUCAUUUACAAAAGUGCUUUCGUAUAAGCCCAUUUGACUUCUCCAUGGCCAAGGAGGAGAUCUACUAAUUGGCUCUGUACCAUUAUAGACAAUGAUUUGCGGUGAGCCAUUUGGGUUGAUCAUAAGAGAAAAGUCUCCAAUCCCAGGGUCAUCAGCUGAUCUCCAUGAUGUUAGGAACCGAUCAAUUCCUAAUUUUCGAUCCAGCCCCAGUUUCAUUCCAGGAAGCAGGAUGUUCGUAGGAUAAUCGAAGCUUUGCCAUACUGUUUUUCUGCUUCUUUUCCUGACCAAUAUCAAAUUUCCUGAAUCCAAGAGUUGAGCUGCACAAGUAUCAUUUUCUUCCACUGAAACAUUUGUAGACCACACAGGAAGCUUUUGGUCAUCGUUACCAUAGAGAACGAGGUUACCAUAUUGGUCUACAAAGAGAAAUCCUGAGGAACCAAUGAUUGGAUCGUUCCUGUUUGCAACCCACACCACAGUUUGUUCUGGUACUUUAUGGUACCAAAUUCCAAGAUAUCUAUUGCUAGAACUACCUGGACUGAAAAAUCCUAGUGCAAAAUUAUUUCCUUUGGAGAUAAGAACGUCACCUUCUUUAAUGGUUUGGUUCGUCUUUAAGGAGUCUAGGGAUGUACAAGAUGAGAAAUGGAGCAUUAAAAGAGAAAAAGGCAGGAACAGUUUUUCAGCUUCCAUGAUGGGGUAAAGUGGAUCUUGGCUUUUGGAAAGUGUCAAAUUUUGCUUUGUGGAGAAUGGAUAUGGCCUUCAGACAAGUCUCCAGAGAAGUUGCGUGACGGAAUUAGGCAUCUCUUUAAUGAGUUACUCUUUUCAACCUUCAAAGUCUAGACAAUGACUUGUUUUUGUUAAAAUAUCAAUGUAGAUUUUUUGGAAACGACACCGUCCUCUAGUUUUAGAAAUAUGUAGUAGGUUGCAGACACAUACAAAAACAACAUAAAAAAGACAAUAAACACAAAGACCGUAAUAAUUAUAAUUCAAACUUUUAUUAGUCAAUAUUUUUCUAAACAAAUUUAAAUAUUAAAGCUUUUAAUAAAUCACCAUAAACAAAACUUAAAAAUUAAUAAAAUAUUUCUAAGUAAAUAAAAAACAAAUUUAAAUCAACUUGGAAAAUAUGACAUUUUCAAAAUAAUAAUUUCUAGUACUAGUUUGGAGGCUUUAACGAGCUUAGAUGCCUUCAUAAAUCAAACCCUAUACAGAGAUCAUGGCUUCUAGAAAUAAAAUUUAUGUUCAUUAUUUUAAGGUCAUAUGUUGGAUAAAAGUCUUCUACAUCAAUCUCCUCGUGUUAGAAAUAACUCGUCUUCAAGUUCAAAUUAUUCUUGUUUUGACCUCAUGAAUGCUCAAUCAAAGCUCUAAAACUCCCUUCCUUUCUUCCCUUAAGGUAUAUAACAAUAUUACAUAUAAACUUAAGUUCUUUAUUAAUAUAUGUUGUAUCUAUAUAAUUUUUGAACAAUUUUACCUUUGUGAUAAUAAUAAACUUAUAAUUAAAAGGAUCAACAUAACCUAAAUUAAUAAUUUAAUUUUGUUACUUUGCACAUAAUUUCUAACCUAUCAAUAUGAACACCAUUGAUGACAUUAUUGCUACUUUGCAAUCAUUGUUUAUGCUAUUAUUAUUAUCAUAAGUUUGGCUAGGUGAUCAUAUAUAUAUAUAUAUAUAUAUAUAUAUGAUUUUAGUGUUCUUUGUUUUUUUUUUCACUUGGAUCGUUUUUUAGAACUUGAUUUUGGUUCUUGAGAAAUAAUUAGAGUUGUCAGUGUCACGCAAAAAAAUAAGGAAGGAUUUGAUCUUCCAUGUGUUUGGUCUAACAAAUCUAAGCUACGUGGCUUUCUAACUUCUUUUUUUUUUUUAUGUGUUUCUUGUGCUAUGUUGUUGAUUCCUCUUUUUGUUCCAUGAUCUUAGGAGGUUUUUAAAUAUUGUAAGGAUCUCUUGCUUUCUCAAUUUAUUAUAUUUUGUUGCGCUCUAUUAUUAUUUUUUUUUUUUUGCAUAUAUAUUGUGUUUGAGCAUAGCAUGUGUUGUUAUUUAUUUUUGGACCUCACAUAAACAUACAAAAUACAAAAAAAAAUUAAAAAAAUGGAAAACAAAUAUACAUUAGUGGGAAGAACAUGAAAGAUAUCUAGAAAAUUGUCACAGACUAGUAGGGGAGAAUCAAAAUAUUCAAAGUUAAAAAAUUGACAGUUCAAUUUUGAAUCAUGAAAGCCCUAUUAACAAGAAAAGUUCAAUUUGAGAAGAAAAAUUCAAAAUUAGAUGUUUAAUAACUCAAUUGAAAAUUUUCAAGGUUUAAUUGUAUUUAUUGAGGACUUAAUUGCAAUAAAAAUUAGUUUUAAAGUUCAAUUUGGACUUUAAUGGGAAGAAAUUGAAGUUUGGGGGUUGAAUUGUAAUUUUAAAAAGCUAAUUUAGUUAGUUAAAAACAUGACAUGACAUCAUUAAUAUGAUGCGGCAAAUGGAGUGAUGGUGCACCUUUCCUGUUGUAACCCAAUUUUGACCCAUUGGCUUUUAAAUUUAAUUUUACAUGGUUUAAAAUUUAAAAUUAAAAGAUAAGAGAUUUAUUUCGAUGAAAAGUGUGAUUUGUCAACUUGCAUGAAAACUAGAGACUACAAUGUGCUUUUGUCAUUCUAUCCUUAUCUUUAAGAUAAUCCCUGUCUUCAAGAUAAUCCUUGUCUUCAAGAUAAAAAUAGUUAUCUGUUUCCAAAUUUGAUUCUUAAUCAAAUUCAAACUUUAAAGAAGAGAAUGAGUUUAAUUGAAACUUUGUUUCUCACACGCGAAGGGACUCUGACACUAUAAAUACAAAUAUCAGUGUAUGCACAAAGAGGGGAAGACAAUAUAGAGAAAAAACAAAAAAAAAACAAAGGAGAAAAACAGGGGAGACGAUAGAAGUAAGAAAACAAAGGAGAGAACCCAAAAAAAAAAACCAAGAAUAAAGGGAGAAGAGAUUGAAAAGAGGAGAAGAAGGAGAGCAUUCUCCUGCUGAUGCCUGCACUGCUACCUUUGCCUUCAGCUUCACUAGGUAAAGUCUUCUUCAUCUCUCUGUUUUUGUGUAAUUGUUGCAAGAAAAUAGUGUCAAUGUAACUUAAUUACCUUCAUACUAUGCAGUGCACGUGUGGGUUGAGCCACGCUUACUUGCUGCCAAACCGGGUCACUGGCUUGGGGCUAGUGACCAAGCUGGGUUGGCUGGGUCCAACCCAGCCCAUGUUGGUUAGGCUAGACCCAGCCCAAAAAAAAAAAAAAAGAGAGAGGGUCAAAUCUGGGCUUUAGGCUCAGCCAGCCCACAUUAUGUUUAUUAAGGGUGUGUUUGGCAAAACACACCCUUAUGCCUUGGCUAUAAUUUUUAUGCUCAUUUUAGUUUGAUAUUUAGCCAAACGAGUCCCUUUUUGAUAUCAGAAAAUUCCAAAAAUAUUUGAGGAUCUUUGUUGAUUUAUUUGUGGGCCCCUCGCACUUUGAUUUAUUUUUUUUCUUUGCGUUUUGUAUUUGUUUUAAGUUAUGUGCUCAAUCUGGGGCCUAUUAUUGUUAAAUACAAAUAUGUCACGCAAUAUUUUUUUUUUUAUUUCCAUCUAAAAAGGGCAAAUAAUAAUAAAGGAUAAACAAGAAAAAAUAUGACAUAGAAAAUUUCUUCUUCAAAUGUAUUUUUUGUGAAAAUAUUCACUGACGCCAGAGUUAGGAGUAUCGUAUUUUUUGGAUUUGUGCGAUAUUUACCAACGUCAGAGUUAUAAAUAUUCGUAGGAAUUGUUCACUGAUACCAGAGUCAGGAACAUGAAAGGAAGAAUAAAAAAAGGGAAAAGGAGAACAAAUUCUUAAGCAAUUUUAAAGAAAACCAGCAAUGCAGCCUCCCUCAAGUAAGACGCUUAGGGGGGUGAUAGCAUUUUUUCUUUUGCAUAACCAGUCUUGUACCAUAAAAUCUUUGUUGAUCAGUUAAGGUUCCUAGUGACCGUAAUACUAGGUGGCGACUCCUUGAACUAGAUAUUUUCCCCUAAAAGAACAAGAUGUCAGAUAUCUGUUCUUUUUUCUAAUAGAGUGAUAAUUUUUAAUCGGUCACCGCGAUGUCCGGGUGUGACACUUCCGAUGGUGAAACCUGAAAAUAUUUUAAUAUAGUGCAUCCUUAGUUUUCAAUUGAAUCAAGAAACCAGCAUCUUGGGUUAUGUAUAGACAAAUUCAAUUCAUUCGGAUCAUUUGAUGCUCCUUGUUGGCCCGUGAUACAUUUUACAAAUUGUCACCAGAUAUGUGUAUAAGGCCGAAGUUCAUGUUUUUAUCAACAGUCAUACCUGGUUAUAAUAGUCCGAGUUAAAAUAUAGAUGUUUGUCUUCGGUGGUGGUUUGAAAGGAUUUCAAACCUUCAUACAUCUCUGAGGUUAUAUGAGCAAAAUAUAUUUAGCAUGUGAUGUCUGAUCAUUUUGUGCGACAAUCACACUCUAGUGCAAAGAACCAGAACUAGCAAGUUCACGAAUCUGUUACCCACACACUGGCAGCUCUAUUCCAUUUGUUUCACAUACGAAGCCGAUAGUAAGAUUUGUUUUUCAUUAUAUAUAUUUUUUAUUUGUUGUUUUCUAUAAAUAUAUUUAAUUAACAGUUUUAUCUUGCAGUAUACAGAUUUUCGACAUAAACCAAGCCCCAUUGAUGACCGCAAAAAAGUUAAGGGUGCAAUUUCAUAUUUUAGAUUAGCUAGGACACAUUAUGCUUAAUUGAUAAUUCCUAGAAAGUAUUUUAAUUCAUUGCAAGCAUUCGUGCGUUUUGGAUAAGAUAUGGUCAUCUAGCCAGGUGGCACGCAUCGUUUGGCAGAGACCACAGGCGUUGGAAUUUUUGCCUUAAGGUGUUUUUUCUAUGUUAACUUUUCAGUCCAAGUUUUGUAUAGUUGUUAGACCUUUUAGUUAGGGUAAGUGAAAAUAUCAUAAUCUCAAUUAUGAGUCUGAUGAAAACAAUAUUUAUUUAAUAUUCUAAUAUUUAUUUGAUUUGAUUUUUAUUAGUUAUGUCAACUUAAUUUAUUAUUUAAAACAAUUUUAUACUUUAGUGGCAUUCCACAAUUGAUAUUCAAAAUUUAUUAAAUCAGAUUUUUUUUAAUUUCUUAACUAUGAUUUUUAAAUAUAAAAAACUUUAAUUUAUUAAUUUCAAAGAUAUUAUUUUUUAAUAUUUAAAUAGUUACCCUUAAGAGAUAUUAUGCACAACCAUUUAAGUAAUUAUAUUGUAUAAAAAAUUAAAAGCCCAAGAAGCCCAUGAUUAUUUUUAUAAUGAUGAAUUAAGCAUGUGAAAAGACCACGUUAUCCUUAAAAGAUAGGCAAAGUUUUUAGAUUGAGAAAGGCAAAAUAGUAAAUUCAUUACUAUAAUCCAUAAUAAUUCAACACAUAUCUAUAAUAAUUCUUUCAGGUUUAGGCUUUUGUUAAUUCUACAUGGAAAUAAGGAGUUGAUGUAUGAUAUAUAUAUUUUUGAACAUUAUAAUAUUUGAUUUCAAACAUGUUGUAAGCGAAAAUGGAAAAACCGGUAAAAGGGAGAAAAUUGACAUUGAAAUUGUGGGAUCGGAUAAUUGGUCUUUCCAAUGCAUUUUUCAAUUUCUUUAUAUAUAAAAUGCUUAAAAAACUGGAAAGACUGGAAAGAGAGUUUUCCAUAGUUAAAAAAGAAGAAGAUCUGAACCAAAAAUUUAUUUAAACCUAACACAAUAGCAACCAAUUUGUUUUAUGUUGACUGACACGGUUUGAUCGAAGAAUUCUAGUCUUUACCAAACUUAGUUAUGUAGAACUUUUUCCCAUAAUAAAUUUAGAGAGACUUAAUACCACGCCUCGAACCAAAACUCAUGAAAUUAUUCAAUGUGCAUGAAAGAAAUUUGAACUACAAAAAUAAAAAUUAUAUUUAAAAUAAUAUUCAAUAAAAAAAAUACUCAUAAAUUAAUUAAGUCUAAUAUAAAUCUAACUUUAAAGUCAGAUAAAAACAAAUGUAGUGAUCAAAGAUAAUAAAUUGAUACUUCCAAAACAUCUAGAUGACAUUCUAAGCCUCUUCCAAAAUUAAAUAAGUGGUGAGUGCCACAUACUGAUAACAAUUCUUCUACUUAACUAGAUCAAAUAUAUCAAAACUUAUAAAUUAAUGCUAUUAUAUUAUUUAAUAAUUUUACAUAAAUUUACCUUGUAUUUUGCCCAUGUUUUAUAUAUAAAAUAUUUUGAUGUUAUUUGUUUUAUGUUUUGAAGGUACUUUUGGAUGUAAGAUUCAAAAAUGAGUAAUUUGGUGAUAAAAUUCAGACUAUGUUCCAGCCAGUGUCGAAUAUUGAUAUAUUUGACAUUUGAUCGAUAUUUUACGCAAAACUUUUGUAUUGGUCGAAAUUAAGUUAUUCCUAUGGAAUUAGAAAGUGACAUUUAUACUUUUUUAUACAUAUAUGGCAAGAAAAAAAAGAGCAUUGAAAUCCCAAUCUUCAAAGAUAAGUCUUGCAUUCUACUAGUUUUGAUCUUAAAUCAUUUCGACCUGAAUAUCUUGAGUUAUAGAAGUCUAUUUGAUGCAAAUUCAAUUUUGUUGGAUUUCUGAUUUAAAGACUUAUCAACCUACCAAAUUAAAAAAAAAAAAAAGAAGAAGCUCAUAUGAGAGAUAUGAUAUUUCUAAGACAACCUAUAAAUUCUAUUAACAGACAGGUUUUGUGAAGAAAGAAGUCUCAAACAUCCAAACCGACAUGACAAUUAUUUUUUAAUAUGAAAAGGAUUUUUAUUUGGGCAAAUUAACUUCACGAAGUUCAAAGUCAAAGCUUGAAGAUUUUAUGCAAGACUAUUUUUCUUUCUUUAUAAGAAAGUAGUUAUUAUAUUACUUAAAUAUAGCUUGUCUACUUUUUAAAUGACUUUUAUUUGUUUAGAAUACAAACGGACUAGUAGGAAUGUGAGGAUUAUGGUUUCCUAUCAUAUAAAAAGAAAGAGAGAGAGGAAGAGAGGGAGGCGGCCAAAAAAAAAAAGAAACUCUCAUCUUUUUUCCUACACUCGAAAUUAUGUUUUCAUCUUUUCUUUUUCUUAGAUUUUUUAUAGUCAUACAAGACUAAGUUUUUUUUCUUGGUUGAAAGGACACAGAAGCUUUCAGAUUUAAAAAAAUUAUGAGAUCUAUUUUAUGUUUUCUUUUCAGUUUAUAUGAUGAGUAUGAAUGUUUUUCUAUGCUUUUUUCUAUGAUUGUUUAGUUUGAUUGAUUCAAACGGUCUCUAAGUUAUUAUUCUAACCAAUCUAUUGCUAAUUAUUUAACCGGCAGCUAAGUAUCUUGUAUAAUAUAUAUUUUUUAGAACAUUAUGAUAUUUGAAAAAGGAAAAACGGGUAAAAGGGAGAAAAUUGACAUUGAAAUUGUGGGAUCGGAUAAUUGAAAUUUUUCAAUUUUUUUAUAUAUAAAAUGCUUAAAAGACUGGAAAGAGAGUUUUGCACUUUCUUGGCCAUGGUCCAUACAUGCUCAAAUGUCUAUAUUCUAAGAUGAAAAAACUAAAAUUAAUGUCUAAAAUUGAUAUACACUUAAAAUGAAGAGUUUUAAUUUGACAUGCAUAAAAUUAAAUAAUAGUAAUUUGAAUUCAUUGACGAGUUUUUUCUAACCAAAUGAGACUAAUAAAGGAGGAUUUUUUUUCAAUAUACAACUUUAUAUUAAUAAGUACAACUUUCAAUUUCAUGAUUAGCUCAUGGUAUAACUUUGGUAAAAGAUUUCGAAAGCUUUAUUUUCUUCAGGGUAAAAAGUCCAUACCCAUCAAAGUUCAAAAGGGGGCCAAAAAAUUACUAUUUAAGAUUUUUUAUAUUUUCUAGUUAAUUUAUGAUUUUUUUCUAUUUAGAUUAAAAAAUUUUAUUAUUUUUUUUAUUUUUAUUUAAGAUGUUUUUCCUAGUUUUCUUAUGACUUUUAUUACUUUUCAUUUAUUUUCUAAAUUUAUUGUUAGUUUAGUUAAGUUUUUAGGUUUAUUGAAGGAAUUACAAACCUCUUAAAGUGAUAGAUUAUUUGAAAAAAAAAUAUUCAAUUAUAAAAUUAUAAAUUAAGAUUUUUAUGUGAUUUGUUUUAGAAUUAUUUUGUAUAUUUUUGUUUUUAUCUUUCUCGUGGUACUUUCAUUGCAUCAGUAGUAUAUAAAACUUUAAUUUAUAAUUUUAUUAUUGAAUAUUUAUCUUCAAAUAAUCUCUUAAAAUACAAGAUAAAAAUCUUACUUAUACUAGAAAAAACACCCUAAACAAAACUAAAAAAAUAAUAAAAGAGCUUCAAACUAAGUAGAAUGUUUUUUUAAAUCAACUAAGUAAAUAUUGCAAAUCCCAAACAAUAAUUUCUUAGACUUAUUUGAAAGUCUUUUCAUAUUUGGAUUGAUACAAAACUUUAACUUUAUAAUAAAUAAAGCACAAAAUUUUAACCUAAUUCAGUAGUUGAAUUAAAAGGAAUUCCCAUUAAAAUAAAGUUGGAUUCUAAAAAAAAAAUAGUUUCCUACAUCAUAAAACACUACUUGUACUCGGCCUGUGCUAGUUUUUUAAUUUUAUUUAAAGGUACUAGGUUUUUUAAAAAAAAUCAGAAAAAAGAAAACGCAAGGACAUGGUUAAAAUAAAGAACUUUUUCCCAUAAUAAAUAUAAAGAGACUUAAUAUCACGCCUCGAACCAAGACUCGUGAAAUUAUUUUAUGUGCAUUAAAAAAAUUUUAACUUCAAAAAUAAAAUUUAUAUUCAAAAUAACAUUCAAUUAAAAGAAAAUACAUUGAAUCAUAAGUUAAUUAAGACUUUAAUAAUAUAAAUCUAACUUUAAAGUCAAAUAAAAACAAAUGUAAGUCUAAAUCAAAGAUAAUAAAUUGAUUUAAUUAUUUAAAUAUUAAAGUCUAGAAAUUAACUAUAAACUUUCAAAACAACUAGAUGACAUUCUAAGCCUUUUCCAAAAUUAAAUAAGAGGUGAGUGCCACACACCGAUAAUAAUUCAUCUACUUAACUAGAUCAAACAUGUCAAAACUUAUAAAUUAAUGCUACUAUAUUGAUUGAUAAUUUUACCCAUAUUUACCUUGUAUUUUAUCCAUAUUUUAUUAUUUUAUGUUUUGAAUGUACGUUUAGAUGUAAGAUUCAAAAAUAAGUAAUUUGAUGAUAAAAUUCAGACCAUGUUCUAGCUAGUGUCGAAUAUUGAUAUAUUGACAUUUGAUCGAUAUUUUACGCAGAACUUGAGUUGUAUGGUUGAAAUAAAAUGAUUCCUAUGGAAUUAAAAAGCUAACAUCCAUACCUUUUUAUACAUAUAUGGCAAGAAAAAAAAACAUGAAAAUCACAGCCUUCAAAGAUAAGUCUCACAUUUUGCCAGUUUUGACCUUAGAUCAUUCCGACUUGAAUAUCUUGAGUUAGAAAAGUCUAUUUGAUGCAAGCUCAAUUUUGUUGGAUUUCUGACUCAAAUACCUAUUAACCUACCAAAUUUCAGCUAAAAAAAAGCUCAUAUGAGAGAUAUGAUAUUUCUAAGACAACCUAUAAAUUCUGUUAACAGACAAGUUUUAUGAAGAAAUAAGUCUCAAACAUCCAAACCGACAGGACAAUUAUUUUUUCAUAUGAAAAUGGUUUUUAUUUAGGCAAAUUAACUUCACUAAAUCCAAAGUCAAAGCUUGAAGAUUUUAUAUAAGACUAUUUUUCCUUCUUUAUAAGAAAGUAAUUAUUGUGUUACUUAAAUAUAGAUUGUCUAUUUUGGAAAUAACUUUUAUAUUUUUAGGAUACAAACUGACUAAUAGGAAUGUGAGGAUUAUGGUUUCCUAUCAUAUAAAAAGAAACAGAGAGAGGAAGAGAGGGAGGCGGCAAAAAAAAAAGAAGAAGAAACUCUCAUCUUUUUUUCCUACACUUGAAAUUUUGUUUUCAUCCUUUCUUUUCCUUAGUUUUUUUAUAGUCAUACGAGACUAAGUUAUUUUUCUUGGUUGAAAAGAUACAGAAGCCUUAAGAUUUCAAAAAAGCUAUGAGAUCUAUUUUAUCUUUUCUUUUCAGUUUAUAUGAUGAGUAUGAAUGUUUUUCUAUGCUUAUUUUCUAUGAUUGUUUAGUUUGAUUGAUUAGAACGACUAAGAUUUUAUUCUUACCAAUCUAUUGCUAAAUUUUCUAUCAAAAUCAGAGUUGUGAUACUUAACUUUUGAAGCGACUAAGUUUAAUAAUUAUGAAAGAUCUAUGCUAUUAAUUUUAGGGAAAACAUUCAAUUAAAUUGAACAUAGACUGCAGACAAUUAUGUUGUCUAGAUUUAUCAACCUAUUUAGUUCUUAAGGCUACCGUUGAAUUAAAUUGUUAGUGCGAAUACAAUGGCUGUUUAAUGGUUAGAUUAGUUAUACUGCAUGUUAGUUAACUGAUUAAUAUUAAAAAAAUAUAAAUAUUCAGAAUAUAAAUUGAUGAAUUGUUUCAAUAAUCAGUUUUGAUUUCUGUCAUUGAACAUUUACUUGAAAUGUUUUUCUCUUAAUAAGUUUCGGUUUAUUUAACUUAGUUUUGAGUACUUUAUUUUGUUUACCCUACCAUAGCUUAGAUAAUUUCAACCCCCCAACUUUGAAUCAUUUAGCAUAAAGACCCGAACUAAAUCUUCCUCGUGGGAUCGACCUCUUGCUUGCUCUAUAUUAUCUUAUUUGUUUAAGUUAGGGUAAUUAAUUUGUGUGAUCACGAUAUUGCAACACAAAUACAUAUAGCUUAAAGUAUAUUCAAAGAACUUUUGCAAUCAUAAACAUAUUUUUAUAAAUCACUUAACAUUAUUUACAAAAUCAUUUACAUGUAAUAAGAAACCUAAUUCCUAAACCUUUCUAAAUAACUCUAAAAUGCAUAAAAAAAAACUGAAUUAAAAUAUAAGGAUCGAAAACACAUAACUCAAACUGGUAAAAAAAAAUAAAGAUUUUGACCAUAAAUCAAAUCUCCUCCUUGAGCUUCCUAUCCUUUUCUCUAUUGAUAUGGGUUUUAAUCGUAUGACAAGAUAGAGUGUAAGUUACUAUAGAGUUUUAUUUUAUUUUUAUCCUUUAAAUUAAUAUGUAAUUACUAAUAUAUCUAUUGUUACUAUAAUACCUUUAAUUAAUAAAAAAAUAGAAAAUCUAACUUAUUAUUUUAUUUUAUUUAUUAUUACUGUUUUUUUUCCUUUCACACUUAAAAUGAAGAAAAUUGAGCCAAGGUCAACUUGGAAAUGACAAUGAAUUUCAUUUAUACAUAUCACAUGACAAAAUUGACAAAAACAAAUUCUUUAUAUAAACGUAGCUUGCUUUGAGAGUACUUUGACACAUGCAUUGGGAUCAAUAUUCUUAUAAAUUCCUAUAAAUUAUAUUUAUUUAUAUAAUUAUUUAUUUAUCAAUAUAAUUUAUUUAUUUUUUAAAAGUCUAGUUUCCAAUUGUUUUUUACUUUCAAAACACAAUUUAUUGAAUCAAAAUAUUUACUUAUUUCCCACAAUUCUUUCUCUCCAAGGGUACAGGACAUUAUUGGCGAACUGUCUCAUAGCCAUGGAGAGGCCAGAUGCAAUUAUACAAGGAAAGCUUUGUAAGCAUUCAAGAUGAAAUAUGCUGUGUCUAUAUACACACACACCUGUUGAUGUACAUUUCAACCUGCUGACAUUAACAGAUUAAAUGUAGAAAAAGUACCACUUCCUGAUUCUUCAGUUGCAGUUUGGGUGAACACAAGUUUGAGUCGUUCAUGCGCUGCAUAUGCAAUUGUAGAUACUCCAGGAAGAGAAAAGGAUGCGUUAGAUAUGAUCUGUAUAUUCGAGUCGAUGCACUUAAAUUUGUACUUGUUUUGCGCUGAAUUUCCCAAUAAAAACUACUAUUUUCAGAAACAUUUUUCAUAAACAAAAAUAUUAGUGAGAAAAGGCGUCUGAUCCUCAAAGUUAUUGUCUUUGUUCCGUCUCAAUCACAAUUGAGUUCUCUGUACUCUUCUCAUUCUCAUGCAGAAUGCAAGGGCAUCAAAUGGUUCUCUUGAAAAGGAAUUGCUGACCGUUCUUGUUCCAACUGUGGGUUCCACAUGGCUGAUCAUUAGCAUAUUUGGUUAUUUGUGGCUCAGGAACAGAGGAGAAAAAGGUAAAGACAAAGCAAGCAUCAAAACAGAAGGUAGAUAGAGUAACUGUCCAUAAAAGAAUAGUUGACGAACACCACACCUAUAGCAUUCCAUAUGAUGAUGCUGUUAGGUUUCUUCCUUGACACUAAGCAGAAUGGAUCAGUUGUUUAGAAUCAGGAUAGGAGUUUUAGCAGUGGGUACGUCUAGUGCUGAAGAGCUUGAUCUGUUGUGAUGUAUAACAUAUUUGUUUUCAUUACAAAUCUAAUGGAACUUCAUAUCAGCAAUUAUUCAGACAGUACAGCUUCAGCGACAGGCAAUUUCAGUAAUUGUCACCUCAUUUACAGAACACUGUCCAUCUUCUACGUCUAAUGCUAUAUCAGGAUUAUUGUCAGAUUUUCUAAAGAGGAAUGCAGGUUGUUUUGGAGAAGGAAUCUCUGUUUCGUUACUCAACAUAAAAACAACAGCCAACAUAGAUGAUCUGUCCGCGGCAUCUUCUUGCACGCACAGCAGACCAAUUUGUAUGCAUUUGAAGGCUUCACGUCGACGAUAUAACUCGUUCAGUGAUGGAUCCACUAUCUCCAAUGCUUUGUCUUGUGUCCAUAAUUCCCACACCUGUGUUGUUCAUAUAAAUCAAUAACAUACAAGAAAUAAGAGCAGACAACAUCUAAAAUUGUGAACAUUGAAAUUCAGCCAAGACCACAAUAGGCUAUCUUAUAACUCACAUAUCCAAUCAAGGUCAAAGGAGGAUCCUGUUGAUAAAAUCUAUUGUUCUUCUUGCCACUCACAAUCUCUAGCAACAUGACCCCAAAACUGAAAACAUCUGAUUUUACAGAAAAGUUUCCAAGCACAGCAUAUUCUGGUGACAUAUAGCCACUGCAUCAGAAAAACAAGAAUCUGAAGUUUUAGUAUUCCUGGUAAUCAAUGAUAGUACCUUUUCACUCGGUCUUUGUAUUAGGCAAAGGUACUUACAAUGUUCCUACAACUCUACUGGUCCUAUCUUCAGUUUGGUUGCCUUCAAAUAUUUUUGCCGUUCCGAAAUCUGAUAUUUUUGGGUUCAUCUCUGCAUCCAGUAGAAUGUUGCUACAUUUUAAAUCCCUGUGAAUGAUUCUCAACCUGGAGCCUUGGUGAAGAUAUAAAAUCCCACGAGCUAUUCCAACAAUAAUGUCAAAGCGUUUUCGCCAAUCCAAUAACAAUCUUCUGCUUUCAUCUGUUGAAAUAAUUACUAUUCAGACAGGUAUAAUGUGACAACCAGAGUAAAUCAGGGCAAUAAAUACUUGAAGAGACUUACGGAAAAGAAACGAGUCCAAGCUUUUGUUUGGCAAGUAUUCAUAGAUUAACAUUUGUUCUCCAUCCUGAUUGCAGUAACCUAGAAGUUUCACAAGAUUCCUGUGUUGAAGCUUUGCAAUUACCAUAACUUCAUUUUUAAAAUCUUCUAUUCCUUGUCUUGAACUUCUGGAUAACCUUUUUAUUGCAACCUCCAGUCCAUUAGCUAGCAGACCCUAAAAUCUUGUAACAUUUAAUCUAGAUGAUUAUUCAAAUUAGAGAAAAAAAAAUGUGUAGUAUUGAGAAACUAUACCUUAUAAACAGAGCCAAAACCACCUUGCCCGAGUUUGUUAGCUGGAGAGAAGUUGUUAGUGGCCACCGUUAUGGUGCUGAGCUUGAAAUAUUCCAGUUCAGUAGAAUUGCUGUUUACCUGCAGCUCAGUACCUUGUUGUUUUUCCAAUCAUGAAGCAAAAGUGAAUUUCUCCCCACAACAAGAGCAGGAUAAAUACAUGACUUGGGACGGCAUAACAAAUAGAGAUUAGAGAGUCUUGUGUUACCUUUUUUUGCCCUCUUCUUGAGCCACAAAUAAGCAGAUAGGCUAAUGAGAAAACAUAACGAUGCAAUCGAUGGUACUAAAAUGGCCAGCAUCGUUUUUUCAUGAGAAGCAUUUGACUUCCAUGUAUUAUUAGCUGCAUGAAAGUGAAAAGAAUAAAGAUUAACUCUAUAGAAAAAACCACCCCAUUUUCCAAAGGAAACAUGACAAUACAUAUGGCAAAGGGUAGCUCUUUUGGCACCUAAAAAGUACCAAUAUCUAUGGUUUCUUUCCUGCAGUGAAGAGCUUAUUAACUACAGUCAAGAUCAGUGACAAGCAUAGGAAAGCACUUAUAAAUCAAUAUUUGUAGUGAAAAUCCUAUGAAGUAGUUACUGAGCAGAAAAAGAGUACCUUAUUCAUAUGCAUCAACACGAACAUACAGAUCAAAACUGUCACUCCUAUCAUAUUUAAUGUCUACUAAUUCCUUGUACCAUGUCAAACAACCAUAAUUUUUUCCGGGAAUUGCAAUGAUUGCGUAUGCAGAGCAGGAGCAAUUCCUCUUGCAUUGCAGUUCACAGUCUGCACGACUCUUGCUCCUGUCCACCCAAGCUGCAGCUGAAGUGUCCGGAAGAAUUACAUUUUUCACCUUCACAAACCCUUCACCAUGCUGGCACACCGAAGAAGUAUGUAGCCGCUUCCUGACACAACCACCGGACCCAUCUCUCGAAGACUAUUCCAAUGGGUACUUGGGCUCGAACCCAGGUAAACAGGCACAUCCAAAUUCAUUUAGAUUGGCAAGUUCACACGUACUAUAAGCACCACAAUGCCCAUAAUAGUCGCAGUGAAACUGAGGGGCCUUCCAGUAAUCCUUCCACUGACCAUCACUUUCUCGCCAUGUUAACACCUUUACAAGUCCUAAAUGAUCUACUAUUAUUCUUAGCAGAUAAGAAUCAUCAGGAACUGUGUAGACGCAGUAUAUUUCAUCUGGAUCAUUUACAAAAGCGCUUUUGUAUAAGCCCAUCUGACUUCUCCAUGGCCAAGGAGGAGAUCUACUAAUUGGCUUUGUAGCAUUAUAGAAAAAGAAUUGUGGCGAGCCAUUUGGGUUGAUCCUAAGAGAAAAGUCUCCAAUCCCAGGGUCAUCAGCUGAUCUCCAUGAUGUUAGGAACCGAUCAGUUCCUAAUUUUCGAUCCAGCCCCAGUUUCAUUCCAGGUAGCUGUAUGUUAGUAGGAUAAUCGAAGCUUUGCCAUACAAUCUUUCUGCUUCUUUUCCUGACCAAUAUCAAAUUCCCAGAAUCCAAGAGUUGAGCUUCACAAGUAUCAUUUUCUUCCACUGAAACAUUGGUAGACCACACUAGAAGCUUUUGGUCAUCUUUACGAUAGAGAACGAGGUUACCAAAUUGGUUUAUGAAGAGAAAUCCAGAGGAACCAAUGAUUGGAUCGUUCCUGUUUGCAACCCACACCACAGUUUGUUCAGGUAUUUUAUGGUACCAAAUUCCAAGGUAUCUAUUGGUUGAACUGCCAGGACUGAAAAAUCCUAGUGCGAAAAUAUUUCCUUUGGAGAUAAGAAGGUCACCUUCUUUAAUGGUGUGGUUCGUCUUUAAGGAGUCUUGGGAUGUGCAAGAUGAGAAUUGGAGCAUUAUAAGAGAAAAAAGCAGGAACAGUUUUUCAGCUUCCAUGAUGCAGUAAACUGGAUCCUGGCUUUUGGAAAAGUGUUAAAGUUUGCUUUGUGGAGAAUGGAUAUGGCCUUCAGACAAGUCUCCAGAGAAGUUGCGUGACGGAAUUAGGCAUCUCUUUAAUGAGUUACUCUUUUCAACCUUCAAAGUCUAGGCAAUGACUUGUUUUUGUUAAAAUAUCAAUCCAGAUUUUUUGGAAACGACACCGUCCUCUAGUUUUAGAAAUAUGUAGGAGGCUGCAGACGCAUAAAAAACCAACAUAAAAAAGACAAUAAACACAAAGAAAGAUAGAAUUGCGUCGAAAAAGACAUCAGCCAUAAUAAUUAUGAUUCAAACUUUUAUCACUCAAUAUUUUUUAAUUAAAUUUAAAUAUUAAAGCUCUUCUAGACUAUUAUAUACUAGGAAAAACACACUAAACAAAACUUAAAAAUUAAUAAAAUAUUUCAAAGUAAAUAGAAAAAAAUAAUCUAAAUUAACUUGAAAAAUAUAAUAUUUUCAAAAUAGAAAUUUAUAGUUAUAGUUUGGAGGACUUAACGAACUAAGAUGACUUCAUAAAUCGGACCUAUAGGGAACAUUGUCUCUAAAAUCAAAAUUUAUGUUCAUUAUCAUAAGGUCAUGAUGUAUCGGAUGAAAAUCUUCUAUAUCAGUUUUCUCAUGUUGAAAAUAACUCGUUCUUAAAUUUAAAUUGUUCUUGUUUUGAUCUCGUGAAUACAUAAUCAAAGCUCUUCAACUCCUUUCCAUUCUUCCCUUAAGGUAUAUAACAAUACUAGAUAUCAACUUUAGUUUUUUAUCAACAAAUGUUGUGUAAGCCCUAGAUAAAAUAAAAUUUGAUAGUAGCUAUCUUGAAUGGUUACCUUAAUGAAAAGAAAUGAAUGGAAAAUAAUCAUAAUAUAUAUAUAUAAUUUCAUAAAUAGCUGAAAAAUAAAAAAUACAAAAACAUGAAUAAGUACCGGAUGGAAAUGGAUUAUGAUGAAAUAAAUCUACUGGGAUGUAAAUUAAUGAAAAUCAAAAUAACUUGGAUAAAAAGGUGGUCUAACCUGUAUCGGUACUUAGAAAUUUUAUGUUAAAAGCAUGAAAAGUUACUAUUAAGGGACAUGAAUGAAAUUAAUUAAAUUGUUAUAAUUUAUAAGUUAUUAACAAGGGGAAUAGGCCGGCCAUAGGAGAGAAAGAAAGGAAAAAGGAAAAAAUCAAGAGAAAAACAAGAAAACGUGAGAGAGCUUUGAAACUUGUAAGAUUGAUAGACGACUGAAAACAUUAAAUUAAAUAAGAAUCAAGUAAAGAAAAAUAGAAGAAAUGAGAGAAGGGUCAGCCAUACUAACAGGAGAAGAGAAGUUGGGAGAACUUAGAUUGGUAAGCAUGAAAAAUUAAGAUUCUUACUUGAAUGAAGUGUUUUUAAGUUUAUUUGAGUAAAUUCUCAAACUAUGACAAUUCAAUUUGAUUUAAUUUCUUAUAUUCUUGACCUUUUAAAUUAGAGUUCUUAUGAGAAAUUUAAGGAUUUCAAAAAAAGAAAUAAGCAUGAUGGAAUUAAAGUGCAAUACUAUAGAAAUAGUGAAUUUAAGUAGUAAUUAAGAAAGAAAUUGGAUUAUAACUAAAAAUGAGAAAAUAGAGGGAUAAGGUUUUGAUUGUUUUAUAUUUAAAAAAUAAUGUUUUUUAUCUUAUUUAAAAUAUUCAAAGUAUGACAAGUCAAAGAAACAUCAUAAUAAUAUAAAAAGAUAAAUGGUAAGAAUAGUUCAUUAUAGUCGCCCUGAAACACAGAAACAGUGGGGCCUUCCAGUAAUCCUUCCACUGACCAUCACUUUCUCGCCAUGUUAACACCUUUAGAAUGAUCUACUAUCAUUCUUAGCAGAUAAGAAUCAUCAGGAACCGUGUAGACCCAGUAUAUCAUCUGGAUCAUUUACAAAAGCGCUUUUGUAUAAGCCCAUUUGACUUCUCCAUGGCCAAGGAGGAGAUCUACUAAUUGGCUUUGUACCAUUAUAGACAAAGAUUUGCGGUGAGCGAUUUGGGUUGAUCAUAAGGGAAAAAGUCUCCAAUCCCAGGGUCAUCAGCUGAUCUCCAUGAUGUUAGAAACCGAUCAAUUCCUAAUUUUCGAUCGAGCCCCAAUUUCAUCCCAGGUAGGUGGGUGCUUGUAAGAUAAUCGAAGCUUUGCGAUACAAUGUUUCUGCUUCUUUUCCUGACCAGUAUCAAAUUCCCAGAAUCCAAGAGUUGAGCUGCACAGAUAUCAUUUUCUUCCACUGAAUCAUUUGUAGACCACACAGGAAGCUUUUGGUCAUCGUUACCAUAGAGAACGAGGUUUCCAGACUGGUUUAUAAAGAGAAAUCCAGAGGAACCAAUGAUUGGAUCGUUCCUGAUUGCAACCCACACCACAGUUUGUUCUGGUAUUUUAUGGUGCCAAAUUCCAAGAUAUCUAUUGGUAGAACUGCCAGGACUGAAAAUCCUAGUGCCAAAAUAUAUCCUUCGGAGAUAAGAAGGUCACCUUCUUUUUUAGAUUAAAGGUGUCCGAUCUUUGCGUGUAUCUCGAUUAAUUUUAUAAAUUUAAAAUUAAUAAUUAUAUAAUUAUCCAAUGACUAUCAUAUUAGCAAUUACUCUCUCAAACUUAAAAUCAUAAAAAAAAUCAAACUUUUUAUUCCUAUCUUCCUAUCACUGGAUACUUACUAGAUAGUUGAAGGUCACUUUCUUUAAUGGUGUGGUUGGUCUUUAAGGAGUCUUGGGAUGUACAAGAUGAGAACAGUUUUCCAUUUUCCAUUUUCCAUGAUGGGGCAAACCGGACCUCGGCUUCUGGAGAAAGGAGAUGGUCUUCAGACAAGUGUGGGACCAUUAGUGAAGUUCGGUGAAAAAAGUCUUUAUUUUGGGAUUUUUCUUUAUGGGUUGGGUGCUUGUAACAGUGGUUUUUAAAUUGUUGUUUUUUAAAAAUAUAUUAAAAUAAUUUUUAAUAUCAAUAAAUUAAAAUGAUUUAAAUAAAUAAAAAAUUUAAUUUUAGACAAUUGUUUUUUUGAAUUUUUACAAAUUUCUAUUUAAAACACUACGAAGGCCACUCAAUUUUUUUUUAAGUUUGAUUUUAAUUUAUAAUAAACUAGUUUGAUAUAAUAUAUAUUAUGGUUAUAUCUAAGAUUUUUGAUGAUUAUUUAAGACAUGAGUUCUCUAAUAUACCUCAAAUUUACUAGAUUAAUGAUAUUAUUAAAGAUGAUGGUUUUUGACAUAUAUUAAUUAAAGUAAUUAGCCAAAUUGUGAUUCAAAGAUGUGAACAUCACAAUAAUGGAAAUUGAUUUGUCCUACAAAAUCAUAAAUCAUCAAAAUAAGGAGUUUUUUUUUUUUUGAUUUACGUGGGGUGUCCGGGCCAGCUUACGCGCACCACGACUAUUCCCCACGGCCCACUGUAGUUUUUUCAAUCAUCAUUCAUCUAGUUGAAUUAAUUUUUUUUUCAAACUAAGGAGUUUUAGAUUAGGACACAUUAUGCUUAAAUGCUAAUUCCUGAGAGAGUAUUUUAAUUCAUUGCAAGCAUUCGUGCGUUUUGGAUAAGAUAUGGUCAUCUAGCCAGGUGGCACGCAUCGUUUGGCCGAGGCCACAUGCAGGGGUAGGAAUUUUUGCCUUCAGGUGUUUUUUCUAUUCUGGCUUUUCAGUCCAAGUUUUGUAUAGCUGUGAGACCUUUUGCUGACGGUAAGUGAAAAUAUCAUAAUCCCAAUUAUGAGUCUGAUGAAAAUAAUAUUUAUUUACUAUUCUAAUAUUUAUUUUAUAUGAUUUGAUUUUUAUUAGUUAUGUCAAGUUAAUUUAUUAUUUAAAACAAUGUUAUACUUUAGUGGCAUUCCAUAAUUGAUAUUUAAAAUUUAUUAAAUCAGAAUUAUUUUUAUUGUUUAACUACAAUUUUCAAAUUUAAGAAACUUUGAUUUAUUAAUUUCCCCAUGCACUGCAUCGCUUGAACUUUAGUCUUUAGGGUUUUCUUUCAAGUGGGCAGCAUGAGAAGAUACGCAUCAAAACUAACAAAUAUCAAUCGGACAACAUAUCGUGUUUUUAUGUUUUUUUUUUUUACUUUUAGUUUUUAAAUGCAAGAUUCAAGAAGAUACUGUUUUUUAAUAUUAAAAUAGUGAUAUAUUAAAAUUUAUUUUUAAAUAUUAAAAUAAUAAUAUAUUAGAUAGACGUUAAUUAAAUUUAUAAUCAAAGUUAUAAGACCGUAACAACUUUAUAAAAAAAAUUAAAAUAAAUAAUUAUGUUCAAUCUAAAACAAUCUAAAAAUAAUCUAACAAUAAAGAAUGAAAUUAAAAAUUAAAAAAAGGUUAAAAAAAGAUUUAAAUGAACCUAAGUGAUUAAUUUGUUAAAUCUACGAUUCGAGUUAUCUAUUCCACACUUGACAACUUUUUUUUUCUCUUAUAUUAUUUUGCAUUUAAUUACACAACAAAAAAUCUAAAAAUAAAGAACAAACAUGACAUGCGUGUUGGAUUAAAAAAAAAAAUUUAACUAACAAAGGUUUUUUAUUUUAUUUUUUAUCUUCAGGGGAGCUGAAAAUGCAUUAAGUAAAAAAUAAAAACAUUUUUCAAAAAAUUAACAAUCCAUCCAGGGGCAUGACCCACCCUUCCACCUGACCUAUAUAAAAAUAGAAAUUAAAAUUAAAAAUAUUUAAUGAAAAACAGGUUUUAAAAAAUAGAAAUAAAAACUGAGUUAAUAUGUUAUACCCACAACCUGAGUCAUUCAUCCCACUGAAUUUAAUACCAUAUUAUUUAUUAAGAUAUUUUUCAUUUUGUUAUACAUUAAUGGAUGCAAGAUAUUUUUUAUAUCAAAUAAAAAAAAAACAAAUAGGAUAGGCACGUGAGACAACACAAUGGCUUAUUUUUUAAAGUUAAAUAAGAAAAAAUGGUUUGUUAUAAGCCAAUUUAGAAAGGAAAAAAAAAAGAAAAAGAAGAGGUCGCAUGUAUUAUCUAUGCAAUGAUCACGAAAACAUACCAAAUAAAAUAUCAUGAAGUGAGUAUAUCAUAUCUAUAUCUAAGCAAUUCACUUAAUUUAACUAAAAAAACAAAAUUUAUUUUUUAAGAAAAGCUAAAUUUAACAAAAAACGAAAAAAAAAACUCUAGAAAACCUAAGUUAUUUUUAAAAUCAGUAACAAAACCCUAUAGACUGUAAAUAAAAAAAGAAAACUCAAUAUCUAAUUAAAUCAAACAUUGAAGGAUGAAACCAAAAAAACAUAAGCUUGAAAAAAAAACAAAAAAUAAAUUAGAACAAAUACUCAAAAUCUAAGUUAAUCUCCUAAAUUCAUAACCUAUUAAAUCUUAGAUCUAAACUCAAUAAAACAUUACAAGAUUUAACAGUUUGAUAUAAUAUAUAUAUUAUGUUUAUAUUUAAGAUUUUGGAUGAUUAUUUAAGAUAUGAGUUCUCUAAUAUACCUCAAAUUUGCUAGAUCAAUGAUAUUAUCGAAGAUGAUGAGUUUUCAAUUAAGAAAGAAUAUUAAUUUGGUGUUGAUCGAUAUUGAUGUUGACACUUUUGUUAUACUUAAAAUUAGAAUCAAUAUUCACAACAUAUAUUUAGCAGAGUAAUUGGCCAUAUUGUGAUUCAAAGAUAUUGUGAAUAUCACAAUACAUGACUUUAUUCUUAGUUUAUUGUGCAUGUUAUGAGAUAAAUUGAAAUUGAUUUGUCCUCCAAAAUCAUAAAUCAUAUAAUUGAGAUUGUAAAAUUAAAAAAAAAAGUUUAGUAAUGGUACUUUGUUGUUACUAAUCUUAAAAAGGGAAAGAAUUGAUACAUGCGGAUGUGAUAAGUUUUAAAUAGGGGUGAGCAAAAAAACCGAUAAACCGAUUAAACUGAGAAAACCGGAAAAAAAAUAACUAAAAAAAUUGAAUCGAAAAAAAAAACCGAAUUAACCAAUUAAAAAAUCACAAAAAAUUUCCGGUUCGGUUCGGUUUCGGUUUCUAAAGUCUAAAACCGAUUGAACCGAACCAAACCGAACCGGUUCAACUAACCAACACUUAAAAAAAAAAACAAGUAUAAAUACAUUGUUUUCUAACCCUGGAAUAUCUGCCAUCAGCCGCCCCCCCUCUCCCUCUCAUUUUACGCUCUGCUUUGCUUUGAUUUUCAUCCCCUCCCUUAUGGAUUUGGAUUCUCCUGUUGAGUCUCUGUCAGAAAUGGAAUUGGAAUAGUAGAUCCAUUCUUUUUCUUUUGUUUUUCAUAUAGGAUUUCUAACAAGUGGAUUUCUACACCCCCCUGCCAUUUGAUUAAUUACAAUGAAAUGGAUGAACGAUCCCUCGAAGAAUCAAACCCACUCCCAUCUACGUCCAUCAAAAUCUGCUGAUCAAAUCACAUAAAGGUCUGUUAAACAUAACCCAUUCACCAUACUGUGUGGUUGGCUCAACUGAGACAGAGAGUGACGAAGAAGAUUACUUGGUUGGGUUAACUCGCCAAAUGGCUGGGUUUGGCCAUGGAAGCUUGAAUGGGUCUUCACCUCCAUCAACUUGGGAUCUGCUGUACGAGGCUACAGGAGAAGUUGAGAGGACCAUUGGGUUUGAACCGGUUUGGAAGGGAAAAAAACCAAACCGAACCGAACCGAAAUUAAAUAUAGAUUGUCUACUUUUUAAGUGACUUUUAUUUUUUUAGGAUACAAACGGACUAGUAGGAAUGUGAGGAUUAUAGUUUCCUAUCAUAUAAAAAGAAAGAGAGAGAGGAAGAGAGGGAGGCGGCAAAAAAAAGAAAGAAACUCUCAUCUUUUUUCCUACACUCAAAAUUAUGUUUUCAUCUUUUCUUUUCCUUAGAUUUUUUAUAGUCAUACAAGACUAAGUUUUUUUUCAUGGUUGAAAGGAUACAGAAGCCUUCAGAUUUAAAAAAAUUAUGAGAUUUAUUUUAUCUUUUCUUUUCAGUUUAUAUGAUGAGUAUGAAUGUUUUUCUAUGCUUCUUUCUAUGAUUGUUUAGUUUAAUUGAUUAAAACGGUCUCUAAGUUAUUAUUCUAACCAAUCUAUUGCUAAGUUUUCUAUCAAAAUCAGAGUUGUGAUAUUUAACUUGUGAAGCGACUAAGUUUAAUACUUAUAAAAGAUCUAUGCUAUUAAUUUUAGAGAAAACAUUCAAUUAAAUUGAACAUAGACUGCAGACAGUUAUGUUGUCUAGAUUUAUCAACCUAUCUAGAUCUUAAGGCUGCCGUUGAAUUAAAUUGCUAGUGCGGACGCAGUGGUUGUUUAAUGGUUAGGUUAGUUAUACUGCAGAUUAGUUAACUGAUUAAUAUUAAGAAAAGAUAAAUAUUUAGAACAUGAAUUGAUGAAUCGUUUCAAUAAUCAAUUUUGAUUUAUGUCGGUGGACAUUUACUUGAAAAGUUUUUCUCUUAAUAAGUUUCGGUUUAUUUAACUUAGUUUGAUUACUUUAUUUUGUUUACCCUACCAUAACUUAGAUAAUCUCAACCCCCCAACUUUGAAUCAUUUAGCAUAAAGACUCAAACUAGAUCUUUCUCGUGGGAUCGACCCCUUAUUUGCUCUAUAUUAUCUUAUUUAUUUAAGUUAGGGUAAUUAAUUUGUGUGAUCGCGAUAUCGCAACACAAAUACAUAUAGCUUAAAAUAUAUUCAAAGAACUUUUGCAAUCAUAAAUAUAUUUUUAUAAAACACUUAACAUUAUUUACAAAAUCAUUUACAUGCAUGAUCCACCUAAUUUACAAAACUAUAAUAUUUAUUUGAAAAACUCAUUUUGUACGUAAAUAUAUAUUUUCUAACUUAAAAUAACAAACCAAAGUGAUGAAAUAUUACUUGCGUGUUAUGCAAAUCCAAUAUUAGUCUUAGAGACAACCAAGCACUCCUAAUAACCUAAUAAUAACAAUCACUAUAAAUUAUAUGCUCACUGAUAUCCGAUGCAAUAUAUGAGCUUGUUUCUAAUUCUUAGUUUAAUAAAAAAAUUAAAUAUAUCACUUGCUUAAAUGACCCUAUAAUUCCCAUGAAAAAUCACUCAAUACUAGAAAUGUGUUAUUACAACCCCUUAUUUUACUUAUAAAAUAUCUAUUUUUAAUAAUUAAAUACCAAAAAUCACCCAAUACUAGAACCAUGUUAUUACAACCCCCUAUUUUACUUUAAAAAUAUCUAUUUUUAAUAAUUAAAUACCAAAAAUAAUUAUGUAAAACAUAUGACUAUUAUAGUUCAAAUUAAAUAACAUUAUAAAAUCUAUUAGGAAAGGAUAAUAAAUAUUUUUAUUUCAACUAAAACAAUAUUAUAAGUAUAAUUAAAGUGGAGGUGUCAAAAAUUAUUAAGUGCAACUAUUUUUUUAAAAUAAUUUAUUUAGUAAAUAAAUUAAUUCAUAUACAAAUCAAGUUCUUUAUGAAAUACUUUUCAUUUAUUCAAAUUCUACAUGAAAAGAAAUUGAUAGUGGUAUAUUAAAAUGUUUAAAACUUAAUUAUAAAAGUUAUUCAUCACUCUUCAAAAUAAAUUUUAGUUAUUAACUACUAAAUUUCACUAAUAAAAAAUAUUUUUUUCAUAAAUUUAAAAAUACUUAAAAAAAUAUUAAAAGCACACUAAAAUUUCCUAUUAACAUAUUAAAUAGAAACAAUAAACUUUAGGGUCAUAAAAUAUUCAGGGAGAAUUGCACUCUUUAACUAAAAAAAAUUAAAGAAUAUUUAUAAACUUAUAAAUUACAAAUUUAAGUGACUUACAUCCGACAGACAUAAUUUUUAAUCCAUAACUUUGAUUAGUGCAAAUGACCCAUCAAAUUAAAGAACUUACAACAUACUAUAACUAGGUAAUAAAUCCCAACCAUAACAAUCAUUAGAAGAUUAGAUUCUGACAGUCCAAAAUUACCAACUCAUCUUUUUUUUUUUUCAAAUCCUUUAAUUUCACUAUUACUUCAAAUUAAUCUACUAAAAACAUGUAAAAUCACUUGUAAUGAGUUCCUAUCAAUCUAUGACACCAUUAGUAUUAUAUCCUGUCCUUAAAAGUAAUUAAAAACCAAAUAUACAUAAUUCCAAAACCUUUCUAAAUAACCCUAAAAUGCAUAAAAAAAAUUAUUUAAAAUAUAAGGAUAGAAAAAACAUACCUCAAAUUGGUAAAAAAAAAUAAAGAUUUUGACCAUAAAUCAAAUCUCCUCCUUGAGCUUCCUAUCCUUCUCUCUAUUGAUAUGGGUUUUAAUCGUAUGACAAGAUAGAGUGUAAGUUACUAUAGAGUAUUAUUUUAUUUUUAUCCUUUAAAUUAAUAUGUAAUUACUAAUAUAUUUAUUGUUACUAUAAUACCCUUAAUUAAUAAAAAAUAGAAAAUCCAAUUUAUUAUUUUAUUUUAUUUAUUAUUACUAUUUUUUUUCUUUCACACUUAAAAUGAAGAAAAUUGAGCCAAGGUCAACUUGGAAAUGACAAUGAAUUUCAUUUAUACAUAUCACAUGACAAAAUUGACAAAAACAAAUUCUUUAUAUAAACUUAGCUUGCUUUGAGAGUACUUUGACACUUGCAUUGGGAUCAAUAUUCUUAUAAAUUCCUAUAAAUUAUAUUUAUUUAUAUAAUUAUUUAUUUAUCAAUAUAAUUUAUUUAUUUUUUAAAAGUCUAGUUUCCAAUUAUUUUUUACUUUCAAAACACAAUUUAUUGAAUCAAAAUAUUUACUUAUUUCCCACAAUUCUCUCUCUCCAAGGGUACAGGACAUUAUUGGCGAACUGUCUCAUAGCCAUGGAGAGGCCAGAUGCAAUUAUACAAGGAAAGCUUUGUAAGCAUUCAAGAUGAAAUAUGCUCUGUCUAUAUAUACACACACCUGUUGAUGUACAUUUCAACCUGCUGACAUUAACAGAUUAAAUGUAGAAAAAGUACCACUUCCUGAUUCUUCAGUUGCAGUUUGGGUGAACACAAGUUUGAGUCGUUCAUGCGCUGCAUAUGCAAUUGUAGAUACUCCAGGAAGAGAAAAGGAUGCGUUAGAUAUGAUCUGUAUAUUCGAGUCGAUGCACUUAAAUUUGUACUUGUUUUGCGCUGAAUUUCCCAAUAAAAACUACUAUUUUCAGAAACAUUUUUCAUAAACAAAAAUAUUAGUGAGAAAAGGCGUCUGAUCCUCAAAGUUAUUGUCUUUGUUCCGUUUCAAUCACAAUUGAGUUCUCUGUACUCUUCUCAUUCUCAUGCAGAAUGCAAGGGCAUCAAAUGGUUCUCUUGAAAAGGAAUUGCUGACCGUUCUUGUUCCAACUGUGGGUUCCACAUGGCUGAUCAUUAGCAUAUUUGGUUAUUUGUGGCUCAGGAACAGAGGAGAAAAAGGUAAAGACAAAGCAAGCAUCAAAACAGAAGGUAGAUAGAGUAACUGUCCAUAAAAGAAUAGUUGACGAACACCACACCUAUAGCAUUCCAUAUGAUGAUGCUGUUAGGUUUCUUCCUCGACACUAGGCAGAAUGGAUCAGUUGUUUAGAAUCAGGAUAGGAGUUUUAGCAGUGGGUACGUCUAGUGCUGAAGAGCUAUCUGUUGUGAUGUAUAACAUAUUUGUUUUCAUUACAAAUCUAAUGGAACUUCAUAUCAGCAAUUAUUCAGACAGUACAGCUUCAGCGACUAGCAAUUUCAGAAAUUGUCACCUCAUUUACAGAACACUGUCCAUCUUCUACGUCUAAUGCUAUAUCAGGAUUAUUGUCAGAUUUUCUAAAGAGGAAUGCAGGUUGUUUUGGAGAAGGAAUCUCUGUUUCGCUACUCAACAUAAAAACAACCGCCAACAUAGAUGGUCUGUCCGUGGCAUCUUCUUGCACGCACAGCAGACCAAUUUGUAUGCAUUUCAAGGCUUCACGCGGAUCAUACAACUCCGUCAGUGAUGGAUCAACUAUCUCCAAUGCUUUGUCUUCUCUCCACAAUUCCCACACCUGUGUUGUUCAUAUAAAUCAUUAGCAUACAAGAAAUAAGAGCAGACAACAUCUAAAAUUGUGAACAAUGAAAUUCAGCCAAGAGCACACAUGGCUCUCUUAUAACUCACAUAUCCAAUCAAGGUCAAAGGAGGAUUCUGUUGAUAAAAUCUGUUGUUCUUCUUGCCACUCACAAUCUCUAGCAACACGACCCCAAAACUGAAAACAUCUGAUUUUACAGAAAAGUUUCCAAGCACAGCAUAUUCUGGUGACAUAUAGCCACUGCAUCAGAAAAACAAGAAUCUGAAGUUUUAGUAUUUCUGGUAAUCAAUGAUAGUACUUUGUCACUCGGUCUUUGUUUUAGGCAAAUGUACUUACAAUGUUCCUACAACUCUCCUGGUCCUAUCUUCAGUUUGGUUGCCUUCAAAUAUUUUUGCCAUUCCAAAAUCUGAUAUUUUUGGGUUCAUCUCUGCAUCCAGUAGAAUGUUGCUACAUUUUAAAUCCCUGUGAAUGAUUCUCAACCUGGAAUCUUGGUGAAGAUAUAAAAUCCCACGAGCUAUUCCAACAAUAAUAUCGAAGCGUUUUCGCCAAUCCAAUAACAAUCUUCUGCUUUCAUCUGUUGAAACAAUUAUUUUUCAAACAGGUAAAAUUUGACAACUAGAGUAAAUCAGGGCAAUAAAUACUUGAAGAGACUUACGGAAAAGAAACGAGUCCAAGCUUUUGUUUGGCAAGUAUUCAUAGAUUAACAUUUGUUCUCCAUCCUGAUUGCAGUAACCUAGAAGUUUCACAAGAUUCCUGUGUUGAAGCUUUGCAAUUACCAUAACUUCAUUUUUAAACUCUUCUAUUCCUUGUCUUGAACUUCUAGAUAACCUUUUUAUUGCAACCUCCAGUCCAUUAGCUAGCAGACCCUAAAAUCAUGUUACAAGAAUAUGGUAAAAAAAUACCUUUAAGGUGACUCAUAUGUCAAUAACAAUUAAGGUUGAAAGUCCAUUGGACGGCCAAUUACAUCCAUGAUAAAUGGAGAUGCAAAAAUUAAGUUAUAUAUAAAGGGUUCUUAAUCUAUUAAAAAAAAUAGUUAUGAAAAGUUUUGUAUUUUCCAUCCGCGUAGUAAACCUAAAGUUUCACAUGGAUUAGGGUCUGUUUGUUUACGCGGUUGCGGCUGCGUUUUAAAUAAACCGUAGAUUUAAGCUGUUUGGUAAAGAUAAAAAUGAGAUUUAUUGUUCAUGGGCCCCAUUGUUUUCUGCGUUGCAAACGCAAGGGGAGAAGAAGCAGCUUGGAGCUGCUUUUUUUGCAAACUGUGUUACAGCACAGUAACCAGAGGCGCGCAACUUUUUCUUCUGCUUCCAGUAACUAGAGGCGCGCAACUUUUUCUUCUACUUCCAGUAACCAAAGGCGCACAACUUCUUCUUCUUCUGCACUUCCAUGUCUCCACUGUUCACGUGAACAGUGGAGACAUGGAAGUGCAGAAGAAGAAGAAGAAGAAGGAGAAUGAGGGGCUGGGGAAAACAGGGAAAGAGUCCAACUCCUGCACCAAGCAAACAAUGAAAAGAGAAGGAGCAGAACAGAGGAAUAGAAAAGUGCUCCACUUUCAUCUUCCUCCCGCUUUGCUUUUAUCAAUAUUACACUAUUCAAGUGAAUUUUAAUUCACUUGAACAGUGUAGCAACACACGUGAAUUUAGUACACGAGUGUUGCUUUGCCCAGCCGGGUCACUGGCUUGGGCCAGUGAUCGGGCCGGGCUGGCUGGGUUUAGCCCAGCCUAUAUGGGUUGGACCAGGUCCAAUCCAAACCUAAAAGCAUUGACCCAGGUCUGUUCCAAACCUAAAUGCAUUGAACUGGGUAUGACCCAGUAAAAUAAAAAAAUCCAAAAAAAUUUCACAGAUAUUGUGUUUUAUUUGAAAAACUAAUGUUUAACAUAAUUCAAUGGCACUAUAUAAUUACAUUUGAAGGAGAUUGUAUGAUGACGUAGCAUUUGUAGAAUUUGAUCGCAAUUCCAAUUUUGUUCUUGAUGAUAUUUUACCUGAUGUUAUUGCACGCUCAGGAAACCAUGGAAACUGUAAUCCUUGUUGGAUAGAUUUCAUACGUGAUAAAAUUACAUAUAAUUUUAUGCAACAAUAAAAUAUAAUUUAUAUAAAGUAUUGUUUAUUUUAUGAUGUAAUAUCAGUACUUAAAUCGAUAAUAUUUCAAUGAAAAACCACCAAUAUUAAUAUAUGUCUUUUUUAAUUAUUUUAUAACCUUAGUUUAAAAGAUAUUCUUUAAUUAAAUACAUUAAAUUACUUUUUGUUGAACCUCAAUUUCAACCACAGUUUUAACCAAACAUAUAUUUUUCCAAACCAACCUCAACUAAAAGUACUUUUUAUAAAACAACUUUUUUCAAACCACAACCACAACAGCUACCGCAAUACCAAACACAGACUCUUUAUUCUUAAUACCACAAAGAUUUUUGAACAAUUAUUUCAACACAUAAUGAAUCAUUAUAGGAGGCAUGUAUCCUAUUAAUUUUCUAUUAUGUACAUGCAUAUAUGCAUGCCAUAUUGAUGUUAUCCUAGAUGUUGUAUUAGAGUAGAGUCUUCUCCAUUCAUGGCUUGUAAAAAUGAGUUUUUGGAGUAUCUUUUAGUCCAACAUCAAAGUCAAACUCUUGAAAAUAUUCAACAUAAUCAUUAGAAAUUAUUGGUCUCCUUGUUUGAACUAAGUGCCCUUGAAUUGAUUAGUGUUUAAAAUUAUCUAAAUAAUUUUUUUGAACAAUAACUAAUUUUUUUUUUAUCUUUAUGCAACCCAUUUAAAUAUUAUGUUUCCUCAAAUUUUAUCCUUUUAGCAAAAUCACUCCUAUUGAAAUUGAGAUCCUUGAUAAAUUUAGCAUUUCUUGCCUUAACUAUUCAUGCAUUAUGAGAAGAAAAAUAAAACAUAUAUCCUUCAGAGUUCACUAUAUAACCAAUGAAAUAUCUACUAAUUAUUCUUGGGUCUAAUUUCUAUAGUUGAGGAUUAUUAAUCCUUACCUCAAAAAAUUGGACUUCUAUCUAUUUCAUAAUUCAAAAGGUAUCUUAACACAUUUUUAGGAUGAAACCCUAUUUUAAAAUAUAUACAACAAUCUUUAAUUCUAACUCUAUAAAGACAUUGGUAAAUUAAAAGUACCAAUUAUGUUCCUUACCAUGUCUAUAAGUGUACGAUUCCUUCUUUUAGCUACAUUAUCUUAUUGUGGUGUGUUAGACAUUGUAUAUUGUACAAUAAUGCCCUCUCCUUUAAGGCAAUGAACCAGACAUUUAUCAAUUUUCGUGUAUCUACCAUAAUACUCUCCAUCUCUAUCUGACCUUACAAACAUUAUGAUAUAUUUUUUUCUCCACCUUAACCUUAUAGGUCUUAAAAGCAUCUAAUGCUUCAGCUUUAUCAAAUAAAAGACAUAGAUACAUAAAUCUACUAGAAUGAUCAUCAAUGAAUAAGGUGAAAUAUAUUUGAUUAUUUAAGCAUAGAGUAAUAAAUAGUCCACAAAUGUCAGUACAUAUGAUUUCAAAAAUUUUAGCAUAACACCUUUAAUGGUAUUGUUAGUUUGCUAACCCUUUAUGCAAUCUACACAAAUACCAAAAUCAAUAAAAUUAAGAGUGUUUAAAACUAUAUCAUUCACUAAUCUUUUAAUUAUUUCAAUGAAGAUGUGAUCUAAUCUUUUAUACCAAAACAUAAAUGAAUUCUCAUCCAUUUUGCUCUUUUUAAUUAUAGAAUCAACAUGCAUUGAUAAAUAGUUGAGUUUAAAAGUAGAGUCUAGAUUGAUUUUAUAUAAAUCAUUAAUUAACGUUCCACCACUAGUAGAAAGUUUAGUUUUUAAAAUACUAAAAACAUUUUCAUCAAACAAAAAUCCAUAACCAACAUCACAAAAUCUAGAAAUUAAAAACCAAAUUUUUAGAAAAUGGUGGAACAUAGAAGAAUUUUUCAAAUCCAAAAUAAGUCCAGAUUUUAAAAUUAAUCUAGAAGUCCCCACAACUUCAACUUCAAAGCGUAUCUAGUUUCUUGAAUAGAUGUCUUCUUCAUUUUCCUUUAGCUUUUUUAGUGUAAUAUUUUAAAAGAAAGAAAGGUUUUAAUAAAAAAAUGGCAAGAAUAUCUUUGAAUGAGUAGAUAUUAGAUAUAAAUGAAUGAGAGAGAUUUUGAUAAUUGCACAAAACUUGUUAAAUAUAAUAAGAAGAGUAAGACAAAAAAAAGAAAGAGAUUUAAGUGUUUGACUAUAAUUUCUUUUAGCUAAUAGUCUAGACAUUUAUUAUUAUUAUUAUUAUUAGAUAUUAAAUUGAUGUUUUGUGCAGAUAAGGUAUUAUUUUCUAUAUCUAUUGGGAUAUAUGAUUUAUUUGUUCAUUAAGUGUUUAUUUUAAUGAUGCAAUAAAUUGUAAUACAUGAAAGGAAAUACUUGAUUAUAAAAUGAAAUCACUAUGAUUUAUAUGUUGUAUUUUUUAUUUAAGUACUAUAUAUUUUGAACUCUAGAAAAAUAUCGUUACUUCUCUGUUCAUGUCAUGUGGGCUAAGUGGAAAAAUAAUAAUAAAAAUAUUCUUAAAUUUACCAAUAUAUACCAUGUAGAUUUUAAAUUAACUGACAAUUAAAGCUUAGAACUCAUUGAACUAACUCUAGUAGAAGGCCAAGUACAUCCAUGAUUGAUAAAUGGAGGGGUAAAAAUUUAGGUUAUCUGUAAAGGGUCCAUAUUCUAGCAAAAAAAAAAAAAAAAGUUAUGAAAAGCCAUGUGUCUUCCAUCCAAUUAGUAACUCUAAAACUUUACAUGAAUUAAAAGAUUUUAUUAUUAUUGAAACCACAAAAAUAGAUUUCUGUACAAUUAUCUCAAUAUUUAAUCAAUCAUUACACCAAGAGGAAUGUAUCCUAUUAAUUUUGUACCGUGUUUAUAUGCCUGGCGUAUUAAAGUUUUCUUACAUAUUAAGCAUCUAAACUACCAAUAAGCUAGAAAAAACAAAUCUGUAUUAUUGAGAACACAUUUAAUUUUCAGCUAGAAAAUGAAUUGAGAAACUCUACCUUAUAAACCGAGCCAAAACCACCUUGCCCGAGUUCGUUAGCUGGAGAGAAAUUGUUUGUGGCCGCCAUUAUGGUGCUGAGCUUGAAACAUUCCGAUUCAGUAGAAUUGCUGUUUAUCUGCAGCUCGGUACCUGGUUUUUUUGCCCAUGAAUCAAAAAGUGAACUUCUCCUCAUAACCAGAGGAGAAUAAAUACAUGACUAGGGAAGCAAAUCCAAAUAGAGAUUUGAGAGUCUUGUCUUACCUUUUUUUGCCCCCUUCUUGAGCCGCAAAUAAGCAGUUAGGCUAAUGAGAAACAACAAUAAUGCAAUUGAUGGUGCUAAAAUGGCCUGCAUCGUUUUUUCCCGAGAACCAUUUAGCUUCCUUGUAUUACCAGCUGCAUGAGAAUGAAAACAAUAACGAUUAACUCCAGACGAAAAACCACUCCCUUCUCCUAUGGAAACAUGGCAAGACAUAUGGCAAAGGCUGUCCCCUUCGGCACCUAAUAAGUAUCUAUAUCGUUUCUUUCACGUAGUACACAGCUUAUUAAGUACAGUCUAGAGCAGUGACAAGAAUAGAAAAGCUCUUAUAAAUCAAUAUUUGUAAUCACAAUCCUUUGAAAUUGUUACGGAGAAGAAAAAGGGUACCUAAUUCAUAUGCAUCAACACGAACAUACAGAUCAUGACUUUCAAUCCUAUCAUAUUUAAUGUCUACUAAUUCCUUGUGCCAAUUCAAACAACCAUCCCCUUUUCCGGGAAUCACAAUGACAGCGUAAGCAGAGCAUGAACAAUUCCUCUUGCAUUCCAGUUCACAGUACUCUGCACGACUCUUGCUCAUGUCCACCCAAGCUGCAGCUGAAGUGUCCGGAAGAAUUACAUUUUCCACCUUCACAAACCCUUCUCCAUGAUCGCACACCGAAGAUGUCUGUAGCCGCUUCCUGACACAACCACCGGACCCAUCUCUCAAUGACCAUUCCAUUGGGUUCUUGGGCUCGAACCCAGGUAAACAGGCACAUCCAAAAGCAUUAUAAUUGGCAAGUUCACACGUACUAUAAGCACCACAGUAUCCAUAAUAGUCGCACUGUAACUGAGGGGACUUCCAGUAUUCCUUCCACCGACCAUCACUUUCUCGCCAUGUUAACAUCUUU